rnacentral:lncRNA from 1 species
AUUGGUGGCUGUUGUGAAAACGGUGGUUGGUGUUGCUGCAAAAAUGGUGGUUGUUGUUGUUGUUGCUGCGAAAAUGGUGAUUGUUGUUGUUGCGAAAAUGGUGGUUGCUAUUGCUGUGAAUAUGGUGGCUCUUGUUGCUGCGAAAAUGGUGGUUGUUGUUGCUGCGGAAAUGGUUGUUGUUGUUGUUGUUGCUGUGAAAUUUGCGCAACGGCACUUGCCGCCGCAAGAGCGAGGAGGGAAAAGACGAGGAAUGUCUUCAUUGUGGAUUGAUGUCAACUAGUGUUGCUUGGUUUUGAUGCUUGUGCUUGUGAUGAUCUUUAUACUUCAUGCCUAUUUAUAGUAGCCCGGGCACCACCUCUUUUCUUCUUUGCAUCAGCUUUAAUAAAUUUGUUUGGCUGCAUCUGAAAUGAAUUUUUUUGGUACAUUGUGUUUGGUUGCGCUAGCUACAAGCGUACUUUUGGAUUAAUCAUCAAAGUUGCUUUUUAGUUGUGCAUAUGAUCACACACGAAGUACAGAAACCCUGAUGUUUGUUAUAUAUGACUCAUCUUAUUCACUUUACAUGUCACACACUUAUCAAGAUAGUAUCACUUUUGCAACCGAGUUUGGAACCUUGUAUAGGCUAUCAACCAUAAACUAAAAAGGCAAAACUUUUGUAGGACUAAGUUGCAAUCGUGUGUGGGCUGUUAAGAUAUGCUCGAUUAUUAAAGCCUUGCGUGUGGAGGGUUCUUCUAGAGUUGGUUGCUUUUUAUAACUAAUUUUGUAUUUUCCACUAAGAUGAUAAGAUGAACCGACGCCUAUAGAGCAUGACAUGACUCAUCGAAUUCCCUUUAUAUGAAAAGGAUGAUAAUUGCUUACAAGAUACUCCUACUAGCAUAUAUUCGGUCCUAAGUCUAGACAUGUCAUCAUUAGUUCCGUGUUUUUGUUUAGAUAAAUCAUCAGUUCCAUCUAUUUGUGAAAGCUUUUGGGGGGGGGUGACAGUUUUUUUUGGCGCUAGGGGAAAAAUCUUUUUUGAUCUAGGGGGAAAUGAUAGAUGGGGCUGGAACAGAGGCCCGCAGCCUAGAGCGAGAGAUUAGGCCCAACAUAAGCGCUGUGUGUUAGGGCACCAAUUCGAAUUGGGCUAUAGUUUUCGUAGGCCCCAAUGUCACAAGCCGAACUCACACUCCGCAGAUCUGCGUCAUCUCCUUGCUCGUCCUCCUCGCCGGUCAGACCUCUCGUCGGCGUAGCCUCUCCUGGAUCCCACCGCCUGCGGCCGGUCACAUACGUCUGAGGCAGCGGAGGCGGAAGCCUCCCUCCUGCCCUCCGCACCCGCUACCACCACCAUUGGUCGACAAAAAGGUCACUUUUGAAGCUCCUUCGUCGAUUGCGGGCCGUACGUCGACGGCAGCCACUCCGGCCUCCCCGCUAAAACAAGGUAUCGAUCCUGGCCGUCUGUCUCCUCCAACGAUUCAAUUCACAUGAAUUCGAGAGGCGUACCCAUCUCCAUGCCAGCCACAUGAAUCAGGAGGGUCAUGAAGCAGGAUUCAUCUGCGUAGCCUGAUAGUGACAUACAUUUGUGGCUUUGGUAGCUAAGCAACUUUGUGCUUUCUAUGGAUGUCACUUCAAAAGUUCAAAUAAUCAUCAAAUUUCCGCCUUUGGGUGCUGCAGGUGGAGUGGAGGACAUUCAGUUUCCCUCUGAUGUCCGAGAAGUCCGUCUUCGGUGCAGCAAUUGUGGGUGUCAAAACCGGGGGAUCUCGGGUAGAGGGUCCCGAACUGUGCGUCUAAGGCGGAUGGUAACAGGAGGCAGGGGACACAAUGUUUACCCAGGUUUGGGCCCUCUCGAUGGAGGUAAUACCCUACUUCCUGCUUGAUUGAUCUUGAUGAUAUGAGUAUUACAAGAGUUGAUCUACCACGAGAUCGUAGUGGCCAAAUCCUAGAAGCUAGCUUAUGAUUAUGAUUGUUGUUGUCCUACGGACUAAACCCUCCGGUUUAUAUAGACACCGGAGGGGGCUAGGGUUACACAGAGUCGGUUACAAGGGAGGAGAUCUACAUAUCCGAAUUGCCAAGCUUGCCUUCCACGCAAAGGAGAGUCCCACCCGGACACGAGAUGAAGUCUUCAAUCUUGUAUCUUCGUAGUCCGGCCGAAGGAUAUAGUCCGGCUGUCCGAGGACCCCCUAAUUCAUGACUCCCUCAGUAGCUCCUGAACCAGGCUUCAAUGACGAUGAGUCCGGCGCACAGAUUGUCUUCGGCAUUGCAAGGCGGGUUCUUCCUCUGAAUACUCCAUAGAAGAUUUCAAACACAAGGACAGUGUCCGGCUCUGCAAAACAAAUUCCACAUACCACCGUAGAGAGUAUAAUAUUUUCACAAAUCUAAUCUGCUGACAACUUUUCAUAACGUGACAUCACGCCAUGGCCUGGUCAUUAUUUGAACCGUUUUUCUCAACCAACUACUACACAUAUUGCGAGGCGGUUUUCUUGACAUGUCUUGUCAAAGCAGAGAUCGUGUCCCCUUAUCAUGAGAUUCUAAUCAAUAUGGGCGUGGGUAACCCAACCGCGCCAUCAAUCACGAUGCUUGGGGAAUAAGCGAGUUUACCAGUCAAGUGGGGAGGCAUAGAAUCCCUGCUGCCUUUAUAAGGGGAUAAGGACUCCCUUUCGCACCCACGCUUUCUUCUUCCCGAUCCAUUCCCCUUUGCCCGAGCUCCAGCAAUAGAGCGUUCGUCUUCUCUGCCCACAAAGGCCUUCCGAAAAUGUCCGGAUCAUGAGCAGGAGGCAAGUGGAUGGCCUCUACUGUCGAGGAGAAGCAUAUCAAAAAGUUUUGGGAGGCCGGGUAUCUGGCCAAAAAAAUCGACCACCGUCUCCCGACGGCGGGACAGAACGUUCCUACUCCGGAACCCCAAGAGAGGGUUGUAUUCCUCCCUCAUUUUGUCUGCGGGCUAGGGUUUCCCCUCCACCCGUUCGUUCGCGGCAUCAUGUAUUAUUACGGGAUCGAUUUUCAUGAUGUAUCCCCCAAUUCCUUCCUCAACUUCUCGACAUUCAUCAUCGUGUGCGAGGCUUUUCUCCGCAUCUCGCCACACUUCGGCUUAUGCCUGAAGAUCUUUAAUGUGAAGGCCAAGGUGGUGAGCGGCGAGCACGCCGAGUGUGGGGGCGCCAUGGUGAGCAAGAUGCCCAAUGUCACCUGGCCAACAUGUACUUUUAAUGAUUCCAUCAAAUAGUGGCAACAACAGUGGUUUUACAUUACUAAGCCACGCAGCACGGAAUGGGCCGCUGCUCCAGAGUUCCGAUCCAGAGCCCCUCUGCGGCUUACGUCCUGGCCCAAGAAGGGCCUGAACUGGUCUUCGUCUGACGAACUGUCUAUGCUCCAGACGCGCAUUAAAGAUAUGGAAGACAAGAACAUCGAACUUGUCAUUGUAGUCCAGGUGAUGUUAGUUCGCGGGAUCCUGCCUUGUCAGCACCAGACUUGCAAUAUGUGGGAAUUCGAUCCGGCCAAGCACCAGACCCUGUGAAAACUCUUUGGAUCCUCGCACGAAGACAUCUGGAAGGUGCUUUUCAAGUCUGGAAAAUCAUGGACGGACUCGGCCGAGGACCGUGGGUAUCAACUGUCCCGCCCUGCAAGCUCGGUAAGUUUUAUGCGUUUUACCCGCAUAACCCAAGGGAAAUGCCUAAUGUGUUUUCCUCAAUUCCCCUAGGGCUGGACGAAGAAGGCGGGGCGGAUCCACUGUCCGGUCCCGUUGCCCGAAGAACCGGCCGGCCCACUUCUGACGAAGAUGCUGGCCCCGGCGCCAUACAAGGCACCGAAGAAGAAGACCAAGGAGGCCAAAAAGACCCGAGGCGGCCUUCGUCGCCGCGGCACUUCAGCCACAAUAUCCGAAGGCUCCAAACCCCGUUCUGCCUCUGAAGAGGACGAGGAGGAGGAAGACGAAUCCCCAGUGGGGGGAAGAAAAGAAGAGGGCGGCCUCCAUACACUUGGAGGCCGAGUCACCUAAAAGGGGAAAAGAUCCUCUUCGUGAAGAGUCCACUGCCGCCGCCGACAGCAGCCCGGCAUGGGAUCCCAGGGCCCAGCCCCUGGUGAACUCGUGAGUAUAAAAUCCGAACACGUUUAUGCGUCCAGACUCAUCAUGGCAUAAUAUUUUAACCUGAGCUAUAUUUUUUUCAGUCCGGCGAGGUCCCGCACCAAAUGAUCCUCAUCAGAGGAUUCGCUAAGCUCGGAUGCUAUAGAGAGCGGGACGCCCCCAAAGGCCCCUUCCCCCAAAUGUGUGCAUAACACCGAGGCUUCGUCCCAGAAGGACCCCGGCCAAGGAGGGGGGGAAGAGAUCGUGAAAGCAGCGCCUGGAGUUCAAACUUCGGGGGCCGGAGACAUGGGGGAGAAGAUUCCCAUGGGAGUCGACGGCGGGAGCCAUCUUGAAUUCGGCUCCCAGCCGGGCGCAAUUCCGGAGACCAAUACGGCUCGAAAAUCAAGCAGGCGGCCUCCCUCGGUUGGAGGGGGCGUGCCUGUUCCACCGGCAAUCUCUGUCCAGCCAGAGGUGCCGGAUGUUUUGUUGGCGGCGCUGAAGAGCGCCUCCAUCGUCGAUGAACACCGUGCCCUGAUGGGUGUGGUGAUUAAGGAGAUUCAGUCUGCUGAGAGUGGACUGAAUGAAGCUUGUAUCAGCCUUAUAAGAGGCUUUGAGGUAUGUUUUAUGAGGUUUCGAAGAGUGUCAUAGUAUGGAUAGUAGCCCCUGAUACACUGUUCGGUGCAAGAAAGGACCGAACAAAGGAUCAAUUUUAUGUUCGCAGGAAGACUCACUUGAUGACAUCUAUCUCUCUUCUUUUAUAAGCAGGUGUCUGCAGUGGCUGCUGCCUCUCAUGCUGCGGAGGUCUCCGGACUAAAUCAAAGUCUGGAGCGGGCCGAAGAAGAACUUGGCCAGUUGAAAAGCCAGUUGGAAGAUAAACAAGGUAUGCGCAAGCAGGGGCGGAAUUGGGCCUAUGGCAACUAGGGCUAUAGCCCCAGGCGUGGCCCAACUAGUGCUAUUAGAUCCAGAUGAAAAUUUUCAGAUUUUUAGAUUUUAAGAGGCCCAGCCCCAGGCGUGACCACCCAGCUCCAGGCCUCAGCCGCUCAGCCCAUGUACCUUCUGAGGCUCGCAGCCCAACUAGCUCUGCAUAUUUUGCUCCUAACAAAAGCUAUGCAUCGCCAAGCAGCAGGAAGCCAUGCCCACGUUUUGCCCUAAGGAAACGUUUUUGCUAACAAAACAACGCCCACGUUUUCCCCUAAAAAAACCUUUUUGCUAGAAAAACGACGCCCAGGUUUGAUCGUUGGUCUGUUGCGAUUCCAAAGGAAUCGAUCGCACGACGAUUCGAUCGAUCUGACAAAACAUAGUUGCCUUGUUCCGUGCGCCGCCUGAGGUGUUUCCCUUCCCCUCGAUGGCUCGACAGACCUGCGCAUGGCCUCGUCACUUCGUCGGAGCAGCCCCCUCCAAGUCCAACCUUCUGGUCUUUUCCAUCUCCACAACCGGCAACGUCUUGUUCUUCUCCGUUUCCACAACCGGCUAGACUGGUAUUUUCUACUUUGGUGUAUCGUCUAUCUUUUUGCUAGAUCCAAGAUGAUUAAAUUGUACUCGUAUUACUUUAGUCAAUUUUUGUUUCGGUAAUUUGUAAAAGCAAAAAUAGAUAGAAACCCAAGAUGAAUAGGAUACGUACGAUUGUUUUAAGCAACAUCCAGCCAGCCUUCAUCGAACAAUACCAACAUCAUCAUUGUUAAACUAUUUUGUUCUAUUAAAUUUCCUCUUGUGGUAAAAAUGAAUUCAUAUAUCAUUUUUAAAGUGAAGUUGUGAUUCCCGCCAGAAAAAACUGAAUUUGUGACGUACUUGUAACAUGCACUGGUUUGUGUGGUAUAGUUACUUAGUUUUAGUCCUAGGCUUUGAGAAAUCCUGGCUCCGCCUCUGUGCGCAAGCCUUGUUCGCAUUUGGUGCAAACAAAUUCUCAUUAUGAUAAAAUAUGUUUCAUUAUUUGCGCCAGGGGUGAUGACCGAAGUCGAGGCUUUGAGGAAGGCAGUUGCCGAGGCCGAGGAAAAGGCGGCCGCAGAGCAGGCUCUUCGUGAGAAGCACGAGGCCAGGGUUAUUGAAGCUGAGCAGGAGCUUCAAGAGUCCGUGAAGAAAUGCGAGACCUUGGAGCAGAGUUUAGCGGAGAAAGAAUCCGAACUCGCCAGGGCUCAUCAGGCCGCGCGCGAUGCCCAGGGGGAAACCCAAGGCGCCCUGCAGGAGAUCCAAGAGGCGAGGACGAUCACGGCGGGUAAGGCUUUUUUCCAUGUAAAGCAAGUAUUUGAGGAGAAAACCAUGUUUCUAAUUUUGAGUUCGGAUUUCUCCAGGGGUAUUUGCGGAACUACCCCGCAGCAUAUCGGAUGCCGCCCAAUUCUACCGAGCCAAAGAAGGGAACACUGCGGAUAAUCUCUUCUGGUCGCAGUAUUUAGCACCGAUUUAUCCGCUGCCUUUUGCCGACCAAAUGAAACAACUGAUCGAACUGCAUAGGGCGGCCGAACUAGCCAUGAAGGAUUUGAUUAUCCGGCUAUGGCCUGCCGAGCCGAUUCCAGGCAGCUACUUCGGGCUCGUGAAGCGGCUUGUGAGUGCCUGCCCUCGACUUGAUGUCAUCAAGCGGUCGGUCUAUAUAGAGGGUGCGCGAAUAGCCUUCACUCGCGCAAAUGUGCACUGGGGGAAGAUGGAUGCUGAAAAGCUGAUGACCGAGGGACCGCCAGAGGGGAAGGAGCACCGCAAGCCCGAAUUAUAUUAUGAAAGUGUCCUCAAAGGAUCAUGCCUAGCGGCGGAGCAAUGCACCAAGGACAUUAUAUUUCCAUGAAUACAAUCAUGUUGUCAUUUGUAAUGUCGAACAAGGUCAUUUCUAUUAUUUAUUGCCUGUUAUAUACAAGUUUAUCCUCCUACACGGCCGUUUUAUAUAUUAAUCCUGAGAGUUGGCCAGUGAUAUGUCUCCAACAUAUCUAUAAUUUUUUAUUGUUCCAUGCUAUAUUAUAUUCUGUUUUGUACAUUAUUGGGCUUUAUUAUACACUUCUAUAUUAUUUUUGGGACUAACCUAUUAACCGGAGGCCCAGCCCAGAAUUGCUGUUUUUUUGCCUAUUUUAGGGUUUCGCAGAAAAAGAAUAUCAAACGGAGUCCAGACUGAAUGAAACAUUCGAAAGCAUGAUUUUCGGAACGAACGUGAUCCAGAGGACUUGGACCCUACGUCAAGCAAUCAACGAGGAAGACACGAGGUAGGGGGGCGCGCCUACCCUCCCUCAGGCGCGCCCUCCACCCUCAUGGGCCCCCUAUUGCUCCACCGACAUACUCCUUCCUCCUAUAUAUACCUACGUACCCCCAAACUACCAGAUACGGAGCCAAAACGCUAAUUCCACCGCCGCAACUUUCUGUAUCCACGAGAUCCCAUCUUGGGGCCUUUUCCGGAGCUCCGCCGGAGGGGGCAUCGAUCACGGAGGGCUUGUACAUCAUCACCAUAGCCCCUCCGAUGAAGUGUGAGUAGUUCACCUCAGACCUACGGGUCCAUAGUUAUUAGCUAGAUGGCUUCUUCUCUCUUUUUGGAUCUCAAUACAAAGUUCUCCCCCUCUCUUUUGGAGAUCUAUUCGAUGUAAUCUUCUUUUGCGGUGUGUUUGUUGAGGCCGAUGAAUUGUGGGUUUAUGAUCAAGUUUAUCUAUGAACAAUAUUUGAAUCUUAUCUGAAUUCUUUCAUGUAUGAUUGGUUAUCUUUGCAAGUCUCUUCGAAUUAUCAGUUUGGUUUGGCCUACUAGAUUGAUCUUUCUUGCAAUGGGAGAAGUGCUUAGCUUCGGGUUCAAUCUUGCGGUGUCCUUUCCCAGUGACAGUAGGGGCAGCAAGGCACGUAUUGUAUUGUUGCCAUCGAGGAUAACAAGAUGGGUUUUAUAUCAUAUUGCAUGAGUUUAUCCCUCUACAUCAUGUCAUCUUGCUUAAAGCGUUACUCUGUUCUCUUGAAUUUAAUACUCUAGAUGCAUGCUGGAUAGCGGUCGAUGUGUGGAGUAAUAGUAGUAGAUGCAGGCAGGAGUCGGUCUACUUGUCUCGGAUGUGAUGCCUAUAUACAUGAUCAUACCUAUAUAUUCUCAUAACUAUGCUCAAUUCUGUCAAUUGCUCAACAGUAAUUUGUUUAUCCACCGUGAAUACUUAUGCUCUUGAGAGAAGCCACUUGUGAGACCUAUGGCCCCCGGGUCUAUUUUCCAUCAUAUUAAUCUUCCAACACUUAGUUAUAUUUAUUUCCUUUUAUUUUACUUUGCAUCUUUUAUUUCUCUUUAUCAUAAAAUACCAAAAAUAUUAUCUUAUCAUAUCUAUCAGAUCUCACUCUCGUAAGUGACCGUGUAGGGAUUGAAAACCCUUUAUCGCGUUGGUUGCGAGGAUUUAUUUGUUUGUGUAGGUGCGACGGACUCGUGUGUGGCCUGCUACUGGAUUGAUACCUUGGUUCUCAAAAACUGAGGGAAAUAGUUACGCUACUUUGCUGCAUCACUCUUUCCUCUUCAAGGGAAAACCAACGCAAGUGCUCAAGAGGUAGCAGCCAGUCGUCGGCUUCUGCCCCCACGUAGGAAGUACGGGGGUGUUCGGGAUAAACCACGUAAGGCAGCAAAACAUGGGAGUCGGGCAAACCCAACAUUUGACCCAAGACAUGAUUCGGAGCUGAUGCAUGUAAUGCUAUAAGUUCGGGGUGCCGAACUUCCAUGAAGGCGUUCGAACUUUAUUGCCGUAUUAUGGCUAAAACGAAGCCCUUGGCCUAUUUAAAGCAUAUCACGGUGUACGGAUGCCACUUGACAAAAGAAUUUCAAUAAGAAAUAACAACAGAUAAGCGUUAUAUAAACCCACAUGUUGUAUUUGAAUAGUAAGUCGAUGUGUGUGAGUACGGGUAAUGUGAUAAAAAAAGAAAUAUGACUGUGGAACCUGCUGAGACCAGGGGGAAGAAGGUGUGUGCGGAUCCGGAGUAUAGUCGGAUGGUCAUCGCGGGGAAUAUCUAAGGAUUCCCUUGCGCGUUCGAGCUGCUUCCAUAUCGCCAGUCCUGGUCUGCGCAAAGUUGAACCUACAAACAAAAUGUAAGAAAUGCUUGUGUGCCGCAGAGCGGUUGAGCCGCGGUAUGUGGCCUGUCGUGGCUUUCGCCGGAGUGUUUAAUUGAGCUCUGGACGAGCCGGGCUAUCUUGCCGCGAAGUAGUUCGAAGUCCUUUGGCGGUGUCCGGGAAUCGGGUCGUCGAGUCGAGGUUCGGUUGGGAGGUGCCACUUGUAGCUUCUGUUGUUAAAGCAGCAGUAUACUCUUUGGUGUCGUGGGGAAGUUCGGCCUUGCCAUUAACCGUGAUGACGCCUAAUGUCUACUACACAACCUUCUUCUUGUAGACGUUGUUGGGCCUCCAAGUGCAGAGGUUUGUAGGACAGUAGCGAAUUUCCCUCAAAUGGAUUACCUAAGGUUUAUCAAUCCGUAGGAGGCGUAGGAUGAAGAUGGUCUCUCUCAAGCAACCCUGCAACCAAAUAACAAAGAGUCUCUUGUGUCCCCAACACACCCAAUACAAUGGUAAAUUGUAUAGGUGCACUAGUUCGGCGAAGAGAUGGUGAUACAAGUGGUAUAUGGAUGGUAGAUAAAGGUUUUUGUAAUAUGAAAAUAUAAAAACAGCAAGGUAACUAAUGAUAGAAGUGAGUGUAAAUGGUAUUGCAAUGCUAGGAAACAAGGCCUAGGGUUCAUACUUUCACUAGUGCAAGCUCCCUCAACAAUAAUAACAUAAUUGGAUCACAUAAUUAUCCCUCAACAUGCAACAAAGAGUCACUCCAAAGUCACUAAUAGCGGAGAACGAACGAAGAGAUUAUGGUAGGGUACGAAACCACCUCAAAGUUAUUCUUUCCAAUCAAUCCGUUGGGCUAUUCCUAUAAGUGUCACAAACAGCCCUAGAGUUCGUACUAGAAAAACACCUUCAGACACAAAUCAACCAAAACCCUAAUGUCACCUAGAUACUCCAAUGUCACCUCAAGUAUCCGUGGGUAUGAUUAUAUGAUAUGCAUCACACAAUCUUAGAUUCAUCUAUUCAACCAACACAUAGAACCUCAAAGAGUGCCCUAAAGUUUCUACCGGAGAAUCAUGACGAAAACGUGUGCCAACCCCUAUGCAUAGGUUCAUGGGCGGAACCCGCAAGUUGAUCACCAAAACAUACAUCAAGUGAAUCACGUGGUAUCCCAUUGUCACCACAGAUACGCACGACAAGACAUACAUCAAGUGUUCUCAAAUCUUUAAAGACUCAAUCCGAUAAGAUAACUUCAUAGGGAAAACUCAAUCCAUUACAAGAGAUUAGGGGGGCAGAAAACAUCAUAAGAUGCAACUAUAAUAGCAAAGCUCGCUGAGGGAGUCCUGGAUUAGGGAUUCUCCGGAUAGCCGGACUAUAUCCUUUGGCCGGACUGUUGGACUAUGAAGAUACAAGAUUGAAGACUUCGUCCCGUGUCCGGAUGGGACUCUACUUGGCGUGGAAGGCAAGCUAGGCAAUAUGGAUAUGUAUAUAUCCUCCUUUGUAACCGACCUUGUGUAACCCUAGCCCCCUCCGGUGUCUAUGUAAACCGUAGGGUUUUAGUCCGUAGGACAACAUACAAUCAUACCAUAGGCUAGCUUCUAGGGCUUAGCCUCUUUGAUCUCGUGGUAGAUCAACUCUUGUAAUACUCAUAUCAUCAAGAACAAUCAAGCAGGACGUAGGGUAUUACCUCCAUCAAGAGGGCCCGAACCUGGGUAAACAUCGUGUCCCUGCCUCCUGUUACCAUCCGCCUUAGACGCAUAGUUCGGGACCCCCUACCGGAGAUCCGCCGGUUUUGAAACUGACAUUGGUGCUUUCAUUGAGAAUUCCACUGUGCCGUCACCAUAAGGCUUGAUGGCUCCUUCAAUCAUCGCUAGCGAUGCGGUCCAGGGUGAGGCUUUCCUCCCCAGACAGAUCUCCAUAUUCGGCGGCUUUGCACUGCGGGCCAAUUCGUUUGGCCGUCUAGAGCAGAUCGAGAGCUACGCCCCUAGCCAUCAGGUCAAAUUUGGAAACUUGAGCUACACGCCGACAUCCGCGGAGACUUGAUCUUCGGCGGAUUCGAGCCCAGGUCGGACGCGCCGCACAGUCGCGAUGAGCAUGACGUAACUCUGUCAUCGGACAAUGUUCGGGAGAUCGCAUCCGCAACUACUCCGUCCAUCAAUCCGGAGCAAGUCGCACCAUCCGAGAGCGGAGGGAUGGACCCCGCCAUGGAGGCCGCACUGUCAGUGGCGAUAGAGCCGGAUACUGACUUCACCCCUUACGAGAGCCGUGUCGCCGAACCACUGGAUUCAUCUCCGGCCACGGACUCCGAGCCGCUCACAUCCAUGCCCGUCUAUUCCGACUGGGCACCGAUCAUGGAGUUCACCUCCGCGGAUAUCUUUCAGCACUCACCUUUAGGAGAUGGGCUAAAUUCAUUAAGGUCUCUCUCCCUAUCAGGAGAACCUUGGCCGAACUAUGUCCGGCUAGAAUGGGAUGCGGACGACGAAGAAAUUCGCUGCCCACCCACCACCCACUGAGUAGCCACGGUCGACGACUUAACCGACAUGCUCGACUUCGACUCCGAAGACUUCGACGGUAUGGACGACGAAGCUGGAGACGAAUAGGAACCACCGCCCUCAGGGCGCUGGACCGCCACCUCAUCAUAUGAUAUAUACAUGGUGGACACCCCCAAAGAAGGCAAUGGCGAUGAGACAACGGAGGAUGACCCCUCCAUGAAGCAACCCAAGCGCCGACGUCAGCGGCACCGCUCUAAGUCCUGCCACAACAAGAGUAGUGGUACCGGCACAGGAGAUAAUAACACUCUGGAUAGCACCGAAGACAACAAUUCCCUCCAGCACGGUGUAGAGCUAGAGGACGAACAAGCUAGCCCUCCAGAGCAGGCAGCAGAUGCAGAACCGGAGGAGGACAAUUACAUGCCUCUCUCCGAAGACGAGGCGAGCCUCGGCGACGACGAGUUUAUCGUGCCUGAGGACCCCGUCGAGCAAGAGCGCUUCAAGCGUUGGCUUAUGGCCACGGCAAGUAGCCUGAAGAAAAAACAGCAACAACUUCAAGCUGAUCAAGACUUGCUAGCAGACAGGUGGACCGAAGUCCUUGCGGCCAAGGAGCAUCAACUCGAGCACCCGUCCAAAAGUUACCCAAAACGCAGGUUGCUACCUCACCUCGAGGACGAAGCAUUGAAACCUCAUUCACCAGUGUACGAUGUGGUUGACCGACCACUACGCGGCCGAGCCACAGAGGCUUUUCAGCCUAAAGUUCAGACCGCACCCCGUCGCCACUCAGUCAAACAUACUAAGGCCCGGGGCAACACAGAGGACCCGCGAGACAUCUUGGACAGUAAGGAAAAAAUCGCAAGGUCAAUAUACGGAACACGGGCACGUGCGCCCACACGGGACGAUGAUCGUUGCGUCGGAUACACCAAGAGUAAAUCCGGCCGGGCCGAAUACAACAGACAAGACUCAUACGAACUAUGUUGGGAUAUAGCCCGGCACAGAGGUGCCGCACACCCCCUAUGCUUCACUGAUUAAGUUAUGAAUCAUGAAUUCCCGGAGGGUUUCAAACCCAUAAAUAUCGAAUCGUACGACGGCACAACAGAUCCCGCUGUAUGGAUUGAGGAUUUCCUCCUUCACAUCCACAUGGCUCCGGUGAUGAUCUGCAUGCCAUCAAGUACUUCCUACUAAAACUCAAAGGACCAGCUCGGCAUUGGCUGAAUAGCUUGCCAGCAGAUUCCAUCGGCAGUUGGGAGGAUCUGGAAGACGCAUUUCUUGACAACUUCCAGGGCACUUAUGUGUGGCCACCGGAUGCUGAUGACUUGAGCCACAUAACCUAGCAGCCAGGGGAAUCGGCCAGACAAUUCUGGACACGGUUACUGACUAAGAAAAAUCAAUUUGUAGAUUGUCCGGAUGUAGAGACCCUAGCGGCAUUCAAGCAUAACAUCCGCGAUGAGUGGCUCACCCGCCACCUUGGCCAAGAGAAGCCGAAAUCUAUGACAGCCCUCACGACACUGAUGACUCGCUUUUGCGCGGGCGAGGACAACUGGUUGGCUAGCAGCAAAAACACAUCGAGGAAUCCGGAUACCUCAGAUACCAAAGAUGUUAACGGUAGGCAGCGUUGUAACAGACCAAAGCGCCGCAAUAACGGCGAUAACACCAAAGAUACGACAGUCAAUGCCGGAUUCAGAGGCUCUAGAUCCGGUCAGCAGAAAAAGCCAUUUAAAAGAAAUACUCCGGCUCGGUCCAGUCUGGAUCACAUACUGGAUCGCUCGUGUCAAAUCCACGGCACCCCGACAAGCCAGCCAAUCUCACCAACAGAGAAUGCUGGGUGUUCAAGCAGGCCUGUAAGUUAAAUGCCGAGAGCAAGGACAAGGGGCUGCAUAGCGAUGACGAGGAGGAGCCCCGGCCGCCGAACACAGGAGGACAGAAGGGUUUUCCCCCACAAGUGAAGACGGUGAACAUGAUAUACGCAACCCACAUCCCCAAGAGGGAGAGGAAGCAUGCACUAAGGGACGUCUAUGCGAUGGAGCUCGUCGCCCUGAAGUUCAACCCAUGGUCUGCUUGUCCGCUCACCUUCGAUCACAGGGACCACCCGACUAGCAUCCAUCAUGGCGAAUCUGCCGCACUGGUCCUAGACCCCAUCAUUGAUGGAUUUCACCUCACUCGAGUCCUUAUGGAUGGCGGCAACAUGCUGAAUCUGCUUUAUCAGGAUACAGUGCGAAAAAUGGGUAUCGAUCCCUCGAGGAUCAAACCCAGCAAAACCACCUUUAAAGGCGUCAUCCCAGGUGUAGAGGCCCAUUGCACAGGCUCAAUCACACUGGAAGUGGUCUUUGGAUCACCGGAUAACUUCCGAAGCGAAGAGUUAAUCUUCGACAUCGUCCCGCUUCGCAGUGGCUAUCAUGCACUGCUCGGACGGACAACAUUUGCAAAUUCAAUGAAGUGCCGCAUUACGCGUACCUCAAGCUCAAGAUGCCAAGACCUCGCGGGGUCAUAACAGUAAAUGGAAACACAGAACGCUCGCUUCGUACAGAAGAGCACACUGCGGCCCUUACAGUAGAGGCACAAAGCAGCCUGUUCAGGCAGACCACUCAUUCGGCGUCACAACCCCCGGACACCUUCAAACGAGUCCGGAACAAGUUGCAACAGGAUCGCCUAGCACGAUCAGAGAUCGCCUAGCAAUCUGGUCCCCAUCCCAGUCCCAGUGAAGCGACAAAAUCCGUGUGGCGCGUACAUAACUACGCAUUGAAAAUACCAUGGACAUAGGCGGGGGCAGAAUCAGAAUACGCCCCGCAUUGUGGCUUAACCACACUAGGGGUUGUAUACCUUUGACAUUCCGCUGACUCUUUGGAAGCCCUUUCCGGCAGUAUGAUUGCCGGACACAUUCCAGAAGCAACAACCAAGGCGGCAAGAAGCUAAGAUGAACACGGGAACCGCCAGGUGGUCUCUAGUAAUACUUGAUAUACCCGCUUUUCACUAUUUAUGCGUAGCUUUCCCUGGGAUAGGACAUUUCGAAUUGUCCUACUUCAUGCUUAUUGCACUACUUGUACCAGUAUGCUUCGACGUAUUAUUCAAAUAACAAUGCAUAUCAUUAAUCUGUCAUUGCAUUCUUUCAGUUUUUCUCUUUCUCUUAUAUGUCCAUUUACGACAAUCCGCACCCGCAUGUUCGGGUAUGGUCAGUACGCCAGGGGCUCUCGUUUACCCCACAAUACGAUGCAAGAAGUCUGAACACUUUCUACAGUGCGGCACCCCGAACUUCUAGCAUUAUAUGCAUCAGCUCCGAAUCAUGUCUUUGGUCAAAUGUUGGGUCGCCCGGCUCCUAUGCUUUGGUACCUUACGUUCUGCUAUAUCGGCUAAGGUAGCGGUGGGAGAACUACUGCGAUUGUGUCCCGGUUCUUCUGGACGAGCACCUCUGUACAGAAAGCCAAAAACUGACUGUCAUGAUAAGGCGAGAGACUGGUCGCUGUUCGAGAGGUCUCAAGUCCUUAAAGACUUUUUCCGCUUCGGGCGAGGAGUCGGCCUUGUCCGGCUUAGGCAUGUAUAGCGCCCCAAAUUCGGCCCUCCGAAUACCAGGGGCUUCGCCAAAAUUUAAAAUCAUAGACUUCUAUGGCUAAGUGAGAGUGAUAAAGCAUUAUAGUCCGAUUGCCUGGUUCGUUGCGCUGAACACCUCCCUUGAAGGACCCAAAAUUUGGGUAAAGAGUGUUCAGAUUUACCCCGAACACCCCAGUACUAGUUACAUGGGGGUAGAAGCCGAUGACUGGCCAACUCUCAGAUUUUAUAAACAGCCGCAUAGAAGGUAAUAUUUUAAAUUAAGAAAGCGUCGCAUGGCGCAAAAAAACUCGUUUCAUAUUACAGGAUCACAUGGGCAUGUUCAUUCAAAAAUUACAUCCUUGGCACACUCAUCUGCCACUCAGCAGGAACCCUUCAGGACACUUUCAUAGUAAUUCUCGGGGCGGCGAUGCUCCUUGCCCUCCGGCGGCCCCUCCUUCACCAGCUUCACGGCGUCCAGCUUCGCCUAGUGCACCUUCGCCCGGGCAAAAGCCCUGCGUGCACCCUCGAUGCAGACGGACCGCUUGAUGACUUCAAGCCAUGGGCAGGCUUCCACAAACUGCCUCACCAGACUGAAGUAGCUGCCGGACAGGGGCUCGCCAGGCCACAUCCGGACUAUAAGGCCCCUCAUGGCCUGUUCGGCCACCUUGUGAAGCUCGACAACUGCUUCAGCUGGUCCCUCAAGGGCACAGGGUGUUCGGUCCCAGUAUACUGAGACCAGAACAACUUCUCCAUUGAGCUCCCCUCCGCAACCCGGUAAAACUCCACGGCAUCCAGUGCACUACGAGGAAGAUCUGCAAACGCUCCUGGAGAGCUCCGAACUCGGGUAAGAAAAAGGAAAGUCUCCUUCACGUGCUUGCUUUGCAUAAAGAAUGCCUUACCCUCUGCUAUCUUCUUCACCGCGUCAAUCUCUUGGAGGGCCUUGUGGGCUUCGGCCUUGGAGCUCCGGACGCUUUCAAGCGCCUGCGCGAGCUCGGACUCACGCGUCUUGGAGUCAAGCUCCAAGGACUCGUGCUUUUUAACGAGAGCCUCGAGCUCUUGAUGCACCUCGCCUUCUCGGGCUUCUUGUAUCUCCCAUUCCAUGCGUUCUUUGGACGCUUUGUCUUCGGCCUCGGACAAUGCCAUCCUCAGGGUCUCCACCUCGUUCGUGGCCCAUGACAAAUUCAUGAUGAUCCUAUUACUUUACACCCGAACUUCCUUUUAACUAUAUAGACAGGGGUAUAUCUUACCUUUGCUCUCUUCAAGCUGCCACUUGGUAAGGCCGAGCUCAUCCUCGGACCGCUUCAGGGCCUGCUUCAGCGCAGAGACCUCCGCAGUACAUGCGGCAGCGACCAACAGUGAAGCCUGCACAUACACAUAGACAUACUCUAAUUAGACUCCUGAGUUAUCAUUUGAUCCUCUAUUCGGCUUUUCAUCGCGAACACCGAACAGAGCAUCAGGGGCUACUAUCUAUGCGGUAAUAUUUUCUUAUAUUUUGAUUGCUUACCUCAAAGCCUGUUAGGAGGCUGGCGCAAGCUUUGGUCAGUCUGUUUUUGGCGGACCGAACCUUCUCAACCACUGCACUCAUAAUAGUGCAGUGCUCUUCAUCAAUGGAAGCGUUGUGAAGCGCUUCCAGCAAGUUGUCCGGUGCCUCUGGUUGUACAAAGGACACCGACACAGAUGGUUGGCCCCCCUUAAUGGGGGACUGCCUGCCAGAGUCUAGAACCAUCGAAGGUUCUGGCGCAGUGUCCGGCUGGGGCCCGAACUCGAAGCCCGUAGGAGCCUCGCUCCCUUGGUACCCAGGGUCCGGGAGGUCGCCGUGAGGCGCCCCCAAGAUCACCUCCCCUUGGCUCGGUGCCUUUUGAGACAACACCUCGGCGUUGUCCGUAGGGCGAGGGGUGGAAGCGGUCGGAGGAGAACCGUUGUUCAUAUCCGACGAGUCCAAAGAGCCGCUCGACGAAGGUACGUCGAGAUGAGCUCAGGACGGACUGCAUAAUCAUGUUCGGCAUGAGAAAAGCCAAUACAAUAAAACAUUCCAUGAAGUACUAUGGUGUCCGGACACUUACGACUUCGCCGGGGGCUUGUCCCUGGGUAGCCACUCGUCGCCAUUGUCGGCGGCCGUCGUGGCACAUUCCGGAGGGAGGUUCUUUCCCUUCUUGGACCCGUCGGCCUCCCUGGAUGGGUCGGCCUUCCUUUUCUUGUCUCUCCCGGCUGGGGGGGAGAACUUUUCUCCUCCUAUUCAUUUCCGUGGGAGGAGUGCGCGUUGGAGUCAUCGGACGAUGAGUCCGAUAUAACCUUGCGCCGGAGACCCUUUCGGGUCCCCGUGGCCUUCUUCUUGGCCUUCUUUUCCGGCACCUCGUAAGGUGCCGGAGUCAGCAUCUUCGUUAGAAGAGCAUCUGCAGGAUCUUCGGGCAGGGGGGCUGGGCAAUCAAGCUGCUCUGCUGUCUCUAUCCAGUCCUGUUAAUGACAUGAAAUCUUAGAUCCAGCACACAACUAAACCAGGGCAAAUAAAUACCCUGAGAGAUAUAAAAGCCUACCAGACGGGCGCGGCGCUUUGCACUAAGUCCGCGGUCCUCGGUGAAGGAGGGAAGCAUCUCGGCGCUCUUGAACAACACCCUCCAGACGUCCUCGUGCAUCGUGUCGUAGAGCUCUCACAGCAUCUGGUGCUUGGCCGAGUCGAACUCCCACAAAAAAGUGCCCGUCGUUGACACGGAAGGAUCCGGCGGAAGAGCAUAACCUGGACCACGUUGACGAGCUUGAUUUUCUUGUUUGUCAUGUUCUGGAUGCAGGUCUGGAGUUCGGUCAGCUGUACCGAAGAACCCCAGGAUUGGCCCUUCUUUUUCCAGGAGGUGAGCCGUGUGGGGAUUCCGGAUCGAAAUUUGGGGGCCGCCACCCAGUUGGAGUCGCGCGGCUCGGUGAUGUAGAACCACCCCGAUUGCCACCCCUUUAUGGUGUCCACAUAGGUGCCCUCGAGCCAGGUGACAUUAGGCAUCUUGCCCACCAUGGCGCCUCCGCACUCUGCUUGCUGGCCACCCACCACCUUCGGUUUGACAUUGAAGGUUUUCAGCCAUAGGCCGAAGUGGGGCCUGAUGCGGAGGAAGGUCUCACACACGACGAUAAACACCGAGAUGUUGAGGAUGAAAUUGGGGGCCAGAUCAUGAAAAUCCAGCCCAUAGUAGAACAUGAGCCCGCAGACAAAUGGGUGGAGAGGAAAUCCCAGUCCGCGAAUGAAAUGGGUAGGAAAAACUACCCUCUCAUGGGGUUUGGGCGUGGGGACGAUCUGGCCCGCAUUUGGCAGCCGGUGCGCGAUAUCCGCGGCCAAGUAUCCGGCUUCCCGUAACUUUUUGAUGUUCUCCUCCGUGACGGAGGAGACCAUCCACUUGCCUCGUGCUCCGGACAUGCUUGGAGCGGUUUGAGAAGAAGAACGCGAGCUUGGGUGCUAGAUCUCGAGUGUGCGGGAAUGGGUAAGCGAGAAGGAAGAAGGCGUGUGUGAAAAAAGUAAAUCUUUGUCCCUUUAUAAGGGCGGAGGAGGCGAUGUGUCUCCCACUUGCCUGGCAAAACUGCUUAUUCCCCAGGUGCCAUAAUUGAUGGCGUGGUUGGGUUACCCACGUCCGUAUUGAUGAGAAUCCCGUGAUAAAGGGAACAUGAUCUCUGCUUUGACAAGACGUGUCAAGAAAAUCGCAUCAUGAUAUGUGCGGAGCUGGUUAAGAAAAGCAGUUCGAAUAAAAACCGGGUCGUGACGUGAUGUCAUGCUAUCAAAACAUGUCAGCAGAUUAGAUUUGUGGAAAUAUUAUUCUCUCUACGGUGGUAUGUGGAACUUAUUUUGCAGGGCCGGACACUAUCCUUGUAUUCAAACUCUUCCAUGGUGUAUUCGGAGGAGGAACCCACCUUGCAAUGCCGAAGACAACACUGCGCGCCGGACUCAUCGUCAUUGAAGCCUGGUUCAGGGGCUACUGAGGGAGUCCUGGAUUAGGGGGUCUACGGACAGCCGGACUAUAUCCUUUGGCCGAACUGUUGGACUAUGAAGAUACAAGAUUGAAGACUUCGUCCCAUGUCCGGAUGGGACUCUACUUGGCGUGGAAGGCAAGCUAGGCAAUACGGAUAUGUAUAUCUCCUCCUUUGUAACAGACCUUGUGUAACCCUAGCCUCCUCCGGUGUCUAUAUAAACUGGAGGGUUUUAGUCCGUAGGACAACAUACAAUCAUACCAUAGGCUAGCUUCUAGGGUUUAGCCUCUUUGAUCUCGUGGUAGAUCAACUCUUGUAAUACUCAUAUCAUCAAGAACAAUCAAGCAGGACGUAGGGUAUUACCUCCAUCAAGAGGGACCAAACCUGGGUAAACAUCGUGUCCCCUGCCUCCUGUUACCAUCCGCCUUAGACGCACAGUUCGGGACCCCCUACCCGAGAUCCUCCGGUUUUGACACCGACACUCGCGAUACAUCAAGAUCGUACCACCUCAAGAACACGAGAGAGAGAGAGAUCAAACACAUAGCUACUGGUACAUACCCUCAGCCUCGAGGGAGAACUACUCCCUCCUCGUCAUGGAGAGCACCGGGAUGAUGAAGAUGACCACCAGAGAGGGAUUCCCCCUCUGGCAGGGUGCCGGAACAGGUCUAGAUUGGCUUUCGGUGGCUACAGAGGCUUCUGGCGGCGGAACUCCCGAUCUAUUGUGCUCCCCGGUCGUUUUAGGGUAUAUGGGUAUAUAUAGGAGGAAGAAGUACGUCAGGGGAGCCACGAGGGUGGAGGGCGCCCCCAGGGGGUGGGCGCACCCCCUACCUUGUGGCUUCCUCGAAGCUUCCUUGAUGUGGACUCCAAGUCUCCCGGGUUGCUUUCCUUCCAAAAAUAAGUUCCGUGAAGUUUCAGGUCAAUUCGACUCCAUUUGAUUUUCCUUUUCUGCGAUACUCUAAAACAAAGAAAAAAAUAGAAAUUGGCACUGGGCUCUGGGUUAAUAGGUUAGUCCCAAAAAAUCAUAUAAAAUGGCAUAUAAAUGCAUAUAAAACAUCCAAGGUUGAUAAUAUAAUAGCAUGGAACAAUCAAAAAUUAUAGAUACGUUGGAGACGUAUCAGCAUCCCCAAGCUUAAUUCCUGCUCGUCCUCGGGUAGGUAAAUGAUAAAAACAGAAUUUUUGAUGUGGAAUGCUACCUAACAUAUUCAUCAUGUAUUUCUCUUUAUUGUAGCAAGAAUAUUCAGAUCCAUAAGAUUCAAGACAAAAGUUUAUAUUGACAUAAAAAUAAUAAUACUUCAAGCAUACUAACUAAGCAAUCAUGUCUUCUCAAAAUAACAUGGCCAAAGAAAGUUCAUCCCUACGAAAUCAUAUAGUUUGGUCAUGCUCCAUUUUCGUCACACAAGAAUGCUCUCAUCAUGCACAACCCGGAUGACAAGCCAAGUAAUUGUUUCAUAUUUUAGUAAUCUCAAACUUUAUAAACCUUCAUGCAAUACAUGAGCGCGAGCCAUGGAUAUAGCACUAUGGGUGGAAUAGAAUAUGAUGAUGGGGAUUAUGUGGAGAAGACAAAAAAGGAGAAAGUCUCACAUCAACGAGGCUAAUCAAUGGGCUAUGGAGAUGCCCAUCGAUUGAUGUUAAUGCAAGGAGUAGGGAUUGCCAUGCAACGGAUGCACUAGAGCUAUAAAUGUAUGAAAGCUCAACAAAAGAAACUAAGUGGGUGUGCAUCCAACUUGCUUGCUCACGAAGACCUAGGGCACUUGAGGAGGCCCAUUGUUGGAAUAUACAAGCCAAGUUCUAUAAUGAAAAUUUCCCACUAGUAUAUGAAAGUGACAAAACAAGAUACUCUCUAUCAUCAAGAUCAUGGUGCUACUUUGAAGCACAAGUGUGGAAAAAAGGAUAGUAGCAUUGUCCCUUUUAUUUUUUUAUUUUUUAUUAUUUGGCCUUUUUUAUUUUUUAAUAUUUGGCCUUUCUUUUUUCCCCUAUUUUUGGGACAAUGCUCUAUUAAUGAUGAUCAUCACACUUCUAUUUAUUUACAACUCGAUACUAGAACAAAGUAUGACUAAAUAUGAAUGCCUCCGGUGGUUGAUAUGUCUCCAACGUAUCUAUAAUUUUUGAUUGCUCCAUGCUAUAUUAUCUACUGUUUUGGACAUCACUGGGCUUUAUUAUCCACUUUUAUAUUAUUUUUGGGACUAACCUACUAACCGGAGGCCCAACCCAGAAUUGCUGUUUUUUUGCCUAUUUUAGGGUUUCGAAGAAAAGGAAUAUCAAACGGAGUCCAAACGGAAUGAAAGCUUCGGGAACAUGAUUUUCUCAACGAACAAGACCCAGGAGACUUGGACCCUACGUCAAGACACAAAAGAGGAGGCCACGAGGUAGGGGGCGCGCCUACGCCCCCCCCCCCCAGGCGCGCCCUCCACCCUCGUGGGCCCCCUGUUGCUCCACCGAUGUACUCCUUCCUCCUAUAUAUACCAACGUACCCCCAAAUGAUCAGAUACGGAGCCAAAACCCUAAUUCCACCACCGUAACUUUCUGUAUCCACGAGAUCACAUCUUGGGGCCUGUUCCGGAGCUCCACCGGAGGGGGCAUCGAUCACGGAGGGCUUGUACAUCAUCACCAUAGCCCCUCCGAUAAAGUGGAAGUAGUUCACCUCAGACCUACGGGUCCAUAGUUAUUAGCUAGAUGGCUUCUUCUCUUUUUUUUUGGAUCUCAAUACAAUGUUCUCCCCCUCUCUUGUGGAGAACUAUUCGAUGUAAUCUUCUUUUUGUGGUGUGUUUGUUGAGAUUGAUGAUUGUGGGUUUAUGAUCAAGUCUAUCUAUGAACAAUAUUUGAAUCUUCUCUGAAUUCUUUUAUGUAUGAUUGGUUAUCUUUGCAAGUCUCUUUGAAUUAUCAGUUUGGUUUGGCCUACUAGAUUGAUCUUUCUUGCAAUGGGAGAAGUGCUUAGCUUUGGGUUCAAUCUUGCGGUGUCCUUUCCCAGUGACAGUAGGGGCAGCAAGGCACGUAUUGUAUUGUUUCCAUCGAGGAUAACAAGAUGGGGUUUUCAUCAUAUUGCAUGAUUUUAUCCCUCUACAUCAUGUCAUCUUGCUUAAGGCGUUACUCUGUUUUCAUUAACUUAAUACUCUAGAUGCAUGUUGGAUAGCGGUCGAUGAGUGGAGUAAUAGUAGUAGAUGCAGGCAGGAGUCGGUCUACCUGUCUCGGACGUGAUGCCUAUACACAUGAUUGUGCCUAGAUAUUCUCAUAACUAUGCUCAAUUCUGUCAAUUGCUCAAUAGUAAUUUGUUCACCCACCGUAGAAUACUUAUGCUCUUGAGAGAAGCCACUAGUGAAACCUAUGGCCCCCGGGUCUAUCAUCAUCAUAUUAAUCUUCCAACACUUAGUUAUUUACUUUGCCUUUUUACUUUUCUUUUAUUUUACUUUGCAUCUUUAUCAUAAAAAUACCAAAAAUAUUAUCUUAUCAUAUCUAUCAGAUCUCACUCUCGUAAGUGGCCGUGUAGCGAUUGACAACCCCUUAUCGCGUUGGUUACGAGGAUUUAUUUGUUUUGUGCAGGUACAAGGGACUCGCGCGUAGCCUCCUACUGGAUUGAUACCUUGGUUCUCAAAAACUAAGGCAAAUACUUACGCUACUCUGCUGCAUCACCCUUCCUCUUCGGGGAAAAACCAACGCAGUGCUCAAGAGGUAUCAAGAAGGAUUUCUGGCGUCGUUGCCGGGGAGUCUACGCAAAAGUCAAUAUACCAAGUACCCAUCACAAUCCCUAUCUCCCGCAUUACAUUAUUUGCCAUUUGCCUCUCGUUUUCCUCUCCCCCACUUCACCCUUUCCAUUUUAUUCGCCUCUCUCUCUAUCCUACCUCUCUUUUUCCGUUCACUUUUUUUCCGCUUGCUUUUUGUUUGCUUGUGUGUUGGGUUGCUUGCUUGUCGCGAUGGCUCAAGAUAACACUAAAUUGUGUGACUUUACCAAUACCAACAACAAUGAUUUUAUUAGCACUCCGAUAUUUCAUCUUACCGAUGCUGAAUCUUGUGAAAUUAAUACUGCUUUGCUAAAUCUUGUCAUGAAAAAUCCGUUUUCCGGCCUUCCUAGUGAAGAUGCCGCUACCAAUCUAAACAGCUUCGUUGAUUUGUGUGAUAUGCAAAAGAAGAAAGAUGUGGAUAACGAUAUUGUUAAAUUGAAGCUAUUUCCUUUUUCGCUUAGAGAUCGUGCUAAAGCUUGGAUUUCGUCUUUGCCUAAGAAUAGUAUUGAUUCAUGGAAUAAGUGCAAAGAUGCUUUUAUCUCUAAGUAUUUUCCUCCCGCUAAGAUCAUCUCCCUUAGAAACGAUAUUAUGAAUUUUAAGCAACUUGAUCAUGAAUAUAUUUCACAAGCUUGGGAGAGGAUGAAAUUAAUGACACAUAAUUGCCCUACUCAUGGUUUGAAUUUGUGGAUGAUUAUACAAAAAUUUUAUGCCAGAUUGAAUUUUGCUUCUAGAAAUCUUUUAGAUUCGGCCGCGGCAGGGACUUUUAUGGAAAUCACUUUAGGAGAAGCUACUAAACUCCUAGACAAUAUUAUGGUUAACUAUUCUCAAUGGCAUACUGAAAGAUCUACUAAUAAAAAGGUGCAUGCAAUAGACGAAAUUAAUGUUUUGAGUGGAAAGAUGGAUGAACUUAUGAAAUUAUUUGCUAGUAAAAGUGUUUCUUCUGAUCCUAAUGAUAUGCCCUUGUCUACUUGAUUGAGAAUAAUAAUGAAUCUAUGGAUGUGAAUUUUGUUGGUAGGAACAAUUUUGGUAACAACGCGUAUAGAGGAAAUUUUAAUCCUAGGCCUUAUCCUAGUAACCCCUCCAAUAAUUAUGGUAAUUCCUACAACAAUUCUUAUGGAAAUUAUAAUAAGACGCCCUCUGAUUUUGAAUCUAAUAUUAAAGAAUUUAUUACUUCGCAAAAGAAUUUCAAUGCUUUGAUUGAAGAAAAAUUGCUUAAGAUUGAUGAGUUGGCUAUGAACGUUGAUAGAAUUUCUCUUGAUGUUGAUUCUUUGAAACUUAGAUCUAUUCCACCAAAGCAUGAUAUCAAUGAGUCUCUCAAAGCCAUGAGAAUUUCCAUUGAUGAGUGCAAAGAAAGAACCGCUAGAAUGCGUGCUAAGAAAGAUGCCUUUAUAAGAGCGUGUUCUUCUAGUUCCGAUGAAAAUAAAGAUGAAGAUCUCAAAGUUAUUGAUGUGUCCCCUAUUAAAUCUUUGUUUUGCAAUAUGAAUCUUAAUAAUUAUGGGACUGAAUAUGAUCCACCAUUAUCUAGAAGGCGUUCCAAGAAUUCGGAGUCUUUAGAUCUUAAUGCUAAAAUUGAUGAAAGUGGGAUCGAAGAAAUCAAAACCCUAGAUGUUGCUAAACCCACUAUUUUUGAUUUCAAGGAAUUUAAUUAUGAAAAUUGCUCUUUAAUUGAAUGUAUUUCCUUGCUGCAAUCCGUGCUAAAUUCUCCUCAUGCUUAUAGUCAAAAUAAAGCAUUCACUAAACAUAUCGUUGAUGCCUUGAUGCAUUCUUAUGAAGAAAAACUUGAAUUGGAAGUUUCUAUCCCUAGAAAACUUUAUGAUGAGUGGGAACCAACUAUUAAAAUUAAAAUUAAAGAUCAUGAGUUCUAUGCUUUAUGUGAUUUUGGUGCUAGUGUUUCCACGAUUCCAAAGACUUUGUGUGAUUUGUUAGGUUUCCGUGAUUUUGAUGAUUGCCCUCUAAACUUGCACCUUGCGGAUUCCACUAUUAAGACACCCAUGGGAAGAAUUAAUGAUGUUCUUAUUGUUGCAAAUAGGAAUUAUGUGCCCAUAGAUUUUAUUGUUCUUGACAUAGAUUGCAAUCCUUCAUGUCCAAUUAUUCUUGGUAGACCUUUCCUUAGAACGAUUGGUGCAAUUAUUGAUAUGAAGGAAGGAAAUAUUAUAUUCCAAUUUCCGUUAAGGAAAGGCAUGGAACACUUUCCUAGAAAUAAAAUUAAAUUACCUUAUGAAUCUAUUAUGAGAGACACUUAUGGAUUGCCUACUGUCAGUGUCAAAACCGGCGGAUCUCGGGUAGGGGGUCCCGAACUGUGCGUCUAGGCGGAUGGUAACAGGAGGCAGGGGCCACGAUGUUUUACCCAGGUUCGGGCCCUCUUGAUGGAGGUAAAACCCUACGUCCUUCUUGAUUAAUAUUGAUGAUAUGGGUAGUACAAGAGUAAAUCUACCACGAGAUCAAGGAGGCUAAACCCUAGAAGCUAGCCUAUGGUAUGAUUGUUCUUCGUCCUACGGACUAAAACUGAAGGAAAUAUGCCCUAGAGGAAAUAAUAAAGUUAUUAUUUAUUUCGUUAUAUCAUGAUAAAUGUUUAUUAUUCAUGCUAGAAUUGUAUUAACCGGAAACAUAAUACAUGUGUGAAUACAUAGACAAACAUAGUGUCACUAGUAUGCCUCUACUUGACUAGCUCGUUAAUCAAAGAUGGUUAUGUUUCCUAACCAUGAACAAAGUGUUGUUAUUUGAUUAACGAGGUCACAUCAUUAGUUGAAUGAUCUGAUUGACAUGACCCAUUCCAUUAGCUUAGCACCCGAUCGUUUAGUAUGUUGCUAUUGCUUUCUUCAUGACAUAUACAUGUUCCUAUGACUAUGAGAUUAUGCAACUCCCGUUUGCCGGAGGAACACUUUGUGUGCUACCAAACGUCACAACGUAAAUGGGUGAUUAUAAAGGAGCUCUACAGGUGUCUCCAAUGGUAGAUGUUGGGUUGGCGUAUUUCGAGAUUAGGAUUUGUCACUCCGAUUGUCGGAGAGGUAUCUCUGGGCCCUCUCGGUAAUGCACAUCACUUAAGCCUUGCAAGCAUUGCAACUAAAUGAGUUAGUUGCGGGAUGGUGUAUUACGGAACGAGUAAAGAGACUUGCCGGCAACGAGAUUGAACUAGGUAUGGGAAUACCGAUGAUUGAAUCUCGGGCAAGUAACAUACCGAUGACAAAGGGAACAACGUAUGUUGUUAUGCGGUCUGACCGAUAAAGAUCUCCGUAGAAUAUGUAGGAGCCAAUAUGGGCAUCCAGGUCCCGCUGUUGGUUAUUGACCGGAGACGUGUCUCGGUCAUGUCUACAUUGUUCUCGAACCCGUAGGGUCCGCACGCUUAAGAUUACGAUGACAGUUAUAUUAUGAGUUUAUGCAUUUUGAUGUACCGAAGGUUGUUCGGAGUCCCGGAUGUGAUCACGGACAUGAUGAGGAGUCUCGAAAUGGUCGAGACGUAAAGAUUGAUAUAUUGGAAGUCUAUGUUUGGAUAUCGGAAGUGUUCCGGGUGAAAUCGGGAUUUUACCGGAGUACUGAGAGGUUACCGGAACCCCCUCGGGAGCUAUAUGGGCCUUUGUGGGCUUUAGUGGAAAGGAGAAAGGGGCAGCCCAAGGUGGCUGUGCGCCUCCUCCCUUCCCCUAGUCCUAUUAGGACUAGGAUAGGUGGCCGGCCCCCUCUCUCUCUUUCCCCCCUCAAGGAAUCCUAUUCCAACUAGGAUUGGGGGGGGGGGGGAAUCCUACUCCCAGAGGGAGUAGGACUCUCCUGGCACGCCAAGCUUGGCCGGCCAGCCUCCCCCCUCUAGUCCUUUAUAUACUGAGGUAGAGGCACCCUAGAACACACAAUUGAUCAACGUGAUCUAUUCCUUAGCCGUGUGCGGUGCUCCCAGCCACCAUAUUCCUCGAUUAUACUGUAGCGGAGUUUAGGCGAAGCCCUGCUGCUGUAGUGCAUCAAGAUCGUCACCACGCCGUUGUGCUGACGGAACUCUUCCCCGACACUUUGCUGGAUCGGAGUCCGGGGAUCGUCAUCGAGCUGAAUGUGUGCUCGAACUCGGAGGUGCCGUAGUUUCGGUGCUUGAUCGGUCGGAUCGGGAAGAUGUACGACUACUUCCUCUAUGUUGCGUCAAUGCUUCCGCAGUCGGUCUGCGUGGGUACGUAGACAACACUCUCCCCUCUCGUUGCUAUGCAUCACAUGAUCUUGCGUGAGCGUAGGAAUUUUUUUGAAAUUACUACGAAACCCAACAAAAACCCUNNNNNNNNNNNNNNNNNNNNNNNNNNNNNNNNNNNNNNNNNNNNNNNNNNNNNNNNNNNNNNNNNNNNNNNNNNNNNNNNNNNNNNNNNNNNNNNNNNNNNNNNNNNNNNNNNNNNNNNNNNNNNNNNNNNNNNNNNNNNNNNNNNNNNNNNNNNNNNNNNNNNNNNNNNNNNNNNNNNNNNNNNNNNNNNNNNNNNNNNNNNNNNNNNNNNNNNAGAGUCGGUUACAAUGGUAGAAGAUCUACAUAUCCGUAUCGCCAAGCUUGCCUUCCACGCCAAGGAAAGUCCCUUCUGGACACAGGAUGAAGUCUUCAACCUUGUAUCUUCAUAGUCUAGGAGUCUGGCCGAAGGUAUAGUCCGGCUAUCCGGACACCCCCUAAUCCAGGACUCCCUCAGUAGCCCCUGAACCAGGCUUCAAUGACGACGAGUCCGGCGCGCAGAUUGUCUUCGGCAUUGCAAGGCGGGUUCCUCCUCCAAGUACUUCAUAGAAUAUUUUGAACACAAAGGUAGUGUCCGGCUCUGCAAAAUAAGUUUCCACAUAUUGCCAUAGAGAGAAUAAUAUUUACACAAAUCUAAUCUACUGACGUAUUCCGUAGCGUGACAUCACACCACGGCCAAGUUUUUAUUCGAAUCUGUCCCACCUCAACGCGUUUAGUGAGGCGGUUUCCUUGGCACAUCUUGUCAAAGCAGAGAUUGUGUCCCCUUAUUCCGGGAUUCUCAUCAAUACGGGCGUGGGUAACCCAACCGUACCCGUCGGUAUGUUUCCUCGAUCAAAGGAGAGUCCCAAACGGUCACGGGAAGGGCCCUUGGUAUUCAACCUCUUAUAAAGAGACCAAGGCCUUACUCCUUUCUUUCAAUCUCAAAUGAGUUCGCCCUUCGCCUCUACUUCCAACACCCAAGGCUCUAGAUUUCAGGCGCUUCGGACCUUCGACAAUGUCCGGUUCCGACCUUCGAGGCCGAUGGAUGCCCUCCUCCGUCACGGAGGAGGACGUGCUGAAGUUGAGAGAGGCCAGGUUCUUGACCGGCGAAAUCUCGCAUAGGCUGCCUGCUCAAGGGCAGGUCAUUCCCACUCCCAAGCCUGGUGAGAGUGUGGUGUUCAUGUCUCACUUCCUUCGGGGGUUAGGCUUCCCGACGAUCCCUACGUGAGGGGGCUCAUGUUUUAUUAUGGGCUGGAAUUUCAUGACUUAGCUCCGGAGUCCAUCCUCCAUAUUUCUUCAUUCAGCGUCGUGUGUGAAGCCUUCCUCCAUAUUACUCCUCACUUUGGACUAUGGCUCAAGACCUUCAAAGUAGAGCCGAAGAUGAUCGAGGGAUGGCACGCGGAGUGCGGAGGUGCUUUUAUAAGCAAGAAUGCUGGUGCUCCAUGGCCCGAGGGCUCUUUUCAAGGGGAGUCCAGCUUACGGCAACGAGAGUGGUUUUAUAUCACAGCUCCCAGGAGCACCAAGUGGGUGGCGCUGCCUGCUUUUCGCUCGGGUCCCCCGCCACGACUGGCGUCAUGGGUCAACAAGGGGCUGGACUGGGGGCCGGCAAAGGACGUGCCCCUGUUGCAGGGCCGCAUCCGAGAUCUCCUAGAAAGAGACAUCAGUCUGGUCGUGGUGACGCAGGUUAUGUUAAUUCGCCGAGUUCUGCACUGCAAACGUCGGCCCCUUCGGUUGUGGAAGUUCAACCCGGAGGGACCACGAGUUCUCCAACAUUUUCUUGGCAUGACGCCCAUGGAUAUGUACAAAUUAUUCUUUGGACCACAAGUAGUGUGUCUGGAUUCUACGGAGGACGCAGGUCUGAGCUGCAAUCGUCCAGAUACUCAAGUAAGUAGCCUUGUGCCCGGACUUGCUAUCCAUAUAUUUAUCAUAAAGUUUCCCCUAAAAGAGUUGUCCUUUAAAUAGGAGUGGAUAGCGAAAGCAAAGCUAAUCAGAUGUCCGGCCCCCCUCCCCGAGACCAUGCCGGGUCCCAUGCUAGUCAAGAUGUUGGAGGUUGUGCCUUCAAAGGAAAGAGAGGGAGGGGACAAGGAAGCUACCGCCUCCUCGAAGGAGGUUGUCCAGAAGGGAGGAAUCGAAAAUUCCUCUCCUCAGGGGAAGAAGAGGACCGCCUCUGAAGACCCGGAGACCAUGGCCUCAAAGCGGGGGAAGAAAUCUUCGCUAGAGGGUCCUGUGCUGGGGGAUACUUCGGCCGAAUUAUGCCCUCAAGGGGAUCAGCCCUCCAUCGAGCCGUAAGUAGAGAGGAGUUUUAUUUUUAAGAAACGAGAGAAAUCCUUGCUUUAUAUCUGAGAAAAGUAAUCGAAAAUUUACCUUGUAGCUCGGACCUUAGCUCUUCUCAGCAGAGCUCGUCUUCGGGGGAUCUUCUUCCGGAGAUGAUGGAGAGCGGAAUGCCUCCCCCUGCCGUAUCACCUCGCGAGGUGGGCGACCCCGAGGUAUUGUCGCGGAGGGUUUCUCCGAAUCCGGCAGGGCCGGAAGGCAGUCAUAUGGCCCCCCAAAGUCCUCCUUGUCCGGCCUUCUAAAAGGGCCAUCGGACGAGUCCGGCGUCGUCUGGUGCGUGGUCGGAGGAGCUGAAGGAUCUGCUAGGGAGAGCAUCUAUCUCAGAGGAGCACCGUGCAUUGAUGGGUACGGUGAUUGAGAGGAUUUCAUCCACGGAGAGCGGAUUGCACGAGGCCGUCAGGAGUGUACUGACAGGUUUUGAGGUACGCGAAAUAAUGUACCCUUUUUGGACAGUUGCACAUAAAUAAGAUGCGACCUGUGUAGAUAGUAGCCCCUGAGACUCUGUGCAUUGUCAAAAGUGACGGUGCGCAGAGGAUCAUAAUCCCAGGUCUAAUAUGCCGCCUUCAUACGUAGGUGGCUAAGUGUCCGGUGGCAAGCCGGACUGAUGAAUUUGCCGAGCUAAAGCGGCAACUUGACGUGGCAGAUGCCGACAUCGCGCUUGUCAACAAGCGGCUUGACGAGGCGCAAGGUAUGUAAUUCCUCCGGCGGCUCCUGGUAAGAGGAGCUUUAUGCUAGUAUCUUACAAUGUGUGCGCUUGAUGCAGAUGGUGCGGCCGCCAUGGAGAAUCUUCGGGCAGAACUUGCCCGAGCCAAGGAGCAAUCCAGGAAAAGUGAUGCGGCUGCCGGAAUGGCAAUUGAAGAGCUGAAAGCCGAACAGGCUGCUCACUGCCAAAGCAAGAAGGAAAUGGCCGAGAUGGCCGUGAAGCUGAAGAACGCUGCUGACCGUUGCAAGCUUCUUGAAAAAUAAGAUCGGGCAAAACAAACGGACCUGGAGAAGGCCGUUGCCGAUGCCAAGGAUGCUCGCUCUGCGAUGAGAGCUGUGAAGGAGGAGCUGCGUCAGGCCGGAGAGAUCGCGACUGGAAAGCCCUUUAUGCUGCAGAGGAAGUUCCGUGAUCCUAAACAUGCUCCGUUGGACUGGAUGUGGAGUACGACGGACACCUAUAUGGAUUUGGCAGCGGCCGCGGAUGCGGCCGAACACUUCCGAGAUCAAGAAGAUCGCGAAGUGGAAAAGCUCUUUUGGUUGCAGUUCCACAAUCCGGAGCGUCCGCUGUCAUGAGCCGAUCAUUUGGCCGAAUGGGCCGAGCUAAAUAGGUUGUCCGGACUUGCCAUGAAGUAUGUCAUGAGUCAUCUGUGGCCAGAGAGGCCAGAGCCGAAAAGUUAUUUCAACUUGGUGCAGCAGUUCCUUGGUGCGGCGCCACAUAUCAAUGCGAUGAAGAGGUCAGCGUGCAUAGAGGGUGCGCGGAUGACUCUUGCCCGUGUCAAGACAUACUGGGCAGAAAUGGAGGCCGCCGCUGUUGCAUCCCCAGACUCGGAUGGAAGUCGAGUACCUGCCGAGCACUAUUUUCAGGAAGUUCUGCAAGGCGCUCGUUUAAUAGAGACGUAGUGCUCGAAGGACACUAUAUUCGAGUAGCAUUAUUGUAAUACAAUAUUUUGAUAAAUUGUAGAAGCUUUUUAUACUUGUGCCUGCAAGUAUUAUAAUACCUCCUGUGCGGCCGUUUAACAUAUAUGUUUAUACAAUCUGAAUGAUGGCAGUCGUCGGCUUCAGCCCCCACGCACAUAAUGCGGGGGUGUUCGCAGAAGGCGCAUUUUCACACUUGAUCCAACGUCUUGGUCCUACAAAGGAGGUGAUAGCGCAGCGAACUAGGCAAUCAUACUAUGAUGCUUUAUCACUUUCACUUAGCCAUAGGAGUUUGAUAGUGAGGCUACUUAUAUAGCCCCUGGUGGCGCCUGCGCUCGCCCGAACUCGGGGCGCGUAUGUGCCUGGCCGGGAAGCGAACCUUCGUUAAUGCGGAGGAAUCCUAAAGAUUCUGGUAAGUCAUCGAGUGGUUGACCAGUCUCACGCUAUAUCAUGACAGUCAGUUUUUGACUUUCUCUACUGAGGUGCUCGCCUCGCUGAACCGGGGCACAAUCGCAGUAGUUCUCCUGGUGCCACCUUAGCCGAUAGAGCGAAAUGUAAGGUAGCAAAACACAGGAGCCGGGCAAACCCAACAUUUGACCAAAGACAUGAUUCGGAGCUGAUGCAUAUAAGGACAAACUCGCGACGCCGAACACUCCCUAAGGUAUUUGGUCUUUAUGAGGGCGGGCGGGAUAACGCCCUUAGUAAUAAGCCCCUAGUGUCCAGGUACGUGCAAAAACUCUGACAUGGCCACAUGCCAAAAUGCCAGCCUCCUCCUUGGUUAUACCAAGAAACCAGGGGAUGUGUAUCAACAAGAGACAGUAAAAAAGGUUUACGCAGGGUCUUAAUCUGAAAAGAAUCCUUGGAACGGGUCCCUGCUGCACGUCUACGCCUGUGUCUCCGUUGUGCCGUAUCCUGGACGGGCGUAGCACGGUGUUCAUCUGUAAAAGGGAGGAACUUAGUUACAUAAAGAUCGUGCCGAACAUGAGUUAUACUAAAUAAAUGAAGUAUAAAUCGAAAUGGGUAAAAUUGAGCUUUAUUGUCUCUUGUUUUAUAUGCGCGGAGCCCCUAGUACAGGGGCAUACGGCUAUUAAGCCUUUAUAAAUUGUAUGUUUAUGCCGGACUCGUCUAGCCGUGUCCGUUGUCUUGAUGACUUGUUUACGUGCUUUGGUUGGUGAAGCCGCUUUAUUGUGGGGCUGUCAAGGCAGCCACACUGUCUUCCGCGUGGGGGGAACACUCAAUGUUUUCCCUUUAAUGAGAUGAUGCCUCGUGGACCGGGCAUCUUAAGCGUGAGAUAUGCAUAAUGCGGUAUUGCGUUAAAGCGGGUGAAAGCUUUGCGUCCCAGUAGUGCUUGAUAGCUACUUGAGAAUGGGGCGAUGUGGAAAGUUAGCUGUUCGUGACGGAAGUUAUCGGGGGAGCCGAACAUAACUUCUAGCCGGAGAGAACCCAUGCAACGGGCAUCCGGGCCUGGCGUUACCCCUUGAAAGGAGGUUUUGCUAUGGCGAAUUUUUGUUGGGUCUAUCCCCAUGUUGCGGAUUGUGUCCUGGUAUAACAGGUUUAGACCACUUCCGCCGUCCAUCAGGACAUUUGUAAAGUGGAGUCCGCCGAUUAUUGGAUCUAAUACCAAGGGGAGACCAUAAAUGCCUUCAUCAAUGAAACCAUAGAUCUGUCAAUUUGCUGUCUCUGUCUGGAGCGGCGCUUACGUCGCCGCUUUGAUUGCUUUCCCCUAAUCCACAACUCUCAAUGAAACCGACGUCCCCGUGCGUCCAAAGAUGGUGAUACCUAAAUCUAUCCUUACUUUUCAUGCCUAGCUAGGGGGCGUUAAACGAUAGCGCUUGUUGGGAGGCAACCCAAUUUUAUUUUUAUUCCUUACUUUUUGCUCCUGUUUAUUAAUAAAUAAUUUAUCUAGCCUUUGUUUAGAUAGUGUUUUUUGUGUUUAAUUAGUGUUUGUGCCAAGUAGAACCGUUGGGAAUAAUUGGGGAAAGUCUUGAUAUCUUGCUGUAAAAAACAGAAACUUUAGCGCUCACGAGAACUGCUGCCAUUUUUAUUUGGAAAGUGAUAUAUAGUUAAUUCUUUUUGCAGAUGAUUAAUAAAUAUAUUCCUCCAUCCAUAAAUUUAUUUUAGAAUUUUUGGGGUUCCAGAUCUUGCGCUAGCUUCAGAUUACUACAGACUGUUCUGGUUUUGACAGAUUCUGUUUUUCGUGUGUUGUUUGCUUAUUUUGAUGAAUCUAUGGCUAGUAAAAUAGUUCAUAAACCAUAGAGAAGUUGGAAUACAGUAGGUUUAACACCAACAUAAACAAAGAAUAAGUUCAUUACAGUACCUUGAAGUGGUCAUUUGUUUUCUUUCGCUAACGGAGCUCACGAGAUUUUCUACUUUGAGUUUUGUGUUGUGAAGUUUUCAAGUUUUGGGUAAAGAUUUGAUGGAUUAUGGAACAAGGAGUGGCAAGAGCCUAAGCUUUGGGAUGCCCAUGGAACCCCCAAGAUAAUCUAAGGACACCUAAAAGCCAAAUCUUGGUAAUGCCCCUGAAGGCAUCCCCUCUUUUCGUCUACUUCUAUCGGUAACUUUACUUGGAGCUAUAUUUUUAUUCACCACAUGAUAUGUGUUUUUCUUGGAGCGUCUUGUAUUAUUUGAGUCUUUAUUUGUUAGUUUACCACGAUCAUCCUUGCUGUACACACCUUUUCAGAGAGCCAUACAUGAUUUGGAAUUUGUUAGAAUGCUCUAUGUGCUUCGCUUAUAUCUUUUGAGUUAUAUAGUUUUGCUCUAGUACUUCGCUUAUAUCUUUUAGAGCACGGUGGUGGAUUUGUUUUAUAGAAACUAUUGAUCUCUCAUGCUUCACUUAGAUUAUUUUGAGAGUCUUAAAUAGCAUGAUAAUUUGCUUAAAUAAUGCUAAUAUGCUAGGUAUUCAAGAUUAGUAAAAAAAUAUCCUAGGAGUGUUUGAAUACUAAGAGACGUUUGAUGCUUGAUGAUCGUUUUGAGAUAUGGAGGUAAUAAUAUCAAAGUCGUGCUAGUUGAGUAGUUGUGAAUUCGAGAAGUGCUUGUGUUGAAGUUUGCAAAUCCCGUAGCAUGCACGUAUGGUAAACGUUGUGUAACAAAUUUGAAACAUAAGGUGUUUUUUUCAUUGUCUUCCUUAUGAGUGGCGGUCGGGGACGAGCGAUGGUCUUUUCCUACCAGUCUAUCCCUCUAGGAGCAUGCGCGUAGUGCCGAGGUUUUUUAUGACUUGUAGAUUUUUUCAAUAAGUAUGUGAGUUCUUUAUGACUAAUGUCGAGUCCAUGGAUUAUACGCGCUCUCACCCUUCCAUCAUUGCUAGCCUCUUCGGUACCGUGCAUUGCCCUUUCUCACAUUGAGAGUUGGUGCAAACUUCACCGGUGCAUCCAAACCCCGUGAUAUGAUACGCUCUUUCACACAUAAACCUCCUUAUAUCUUCCUCAAAACAGCCACCAUACCUACCUAUUAUGGCAUUUCCAUAGCCAUUCUGAGAUAUAUUGCCAUGCAACUUUCCACCAUUCCGUUUAUCAUGACACAUUCAUCAUUGUCAUAUUGCUUAGCAUGAUCAUGUAGUGGACAUAGUAUUUGUGGCAAAGCCACCGUUCAUAAUUCUUUCAUACAUGCCACUCUUGGUUCAUUGCAUAUCCCGGUACACCGCCGGAGGCAUUCAUAUAGAGUCAUCUUUUGUUCUAGCAUCGCGUUGUAAUCAUUGAGUUGUAAAUAAAUAGAAGUGUGAUGAUCAUCAUUUUCUAGAGCAUUGUCCCAAAUGAGGAAAAAAAGAGAAAGGCCAUAUAAAAAAAGGCCUGAAUAAAAAAAAGAGAGAAAAAGAGAGAAGGGACAAUGUUACUAUCCUUUGCCACACUUGUGCUUCAAAGUAGCACCAUAAACUUCAUGUCACUUUGCUUUUAUUUUACUUUGCAUAUUUGUCAGAAAAAUACCAAAAAUAUUAUCUUAUCAUAUCUAUCAGAUCUCACUCUCGUAAGUGGCCAUGUAGGGAUUGACAACCCCUUAUCACGUUGGUUGCGAGCAUUUAUUUGUUUUGUGCAGGUACGAGGGACUCGCGCGUAGCCUCCUACAGGAUUAAUACCUUGGUUCUCAAAAACUAAGGGAAAUACUUACGCUACUCUGCUGCAUCAUCCCUUCCUCUUCGGGGAAAAACCAACACAGUGCUCAAGAGGUAGCAGUGGUGUACCGGGAUUGCGAUGAAUCAAGAGUGACAUGUAUGAAAAAUUAUGAACGAUGGCUUUGCCACAAAUACGAUGUCAACUACAUGAUCAUGCAAAGCAAUAUGACAAUGAUGAUGCGUGUCAUAAUAAACAGAACGGUGGGAAGUUGCAUGGCAAUAUAUCUCGGAAUGGCUAUGGAAAUGCCAUAAUAGGUAGGUAUGGUGGCUGUUUUGAGGAAGAUAUAAGGAGGUUUAUGUGUGAUAGAGCGUAUCAUAUCACGGGGUUUGGAUGCACCGGCGAAGUUUGCACCAACUCUCAAUGUGAGAAAGGGCAAUGCACGGUACCGAAGAGGCUAGCAAUGAUGGAAGGGUGAGAGUGCGUAUAAUCCAUGGACUCAACAUUAGUCAUAAAGAACUCACAUACUUAUUGCAAAAAUCUACAAGUCAUCAUAAACCAAGCACUAUGCGUAUGCUCCUAGGGGGGUAGAUUGGUAGGAAAAGACCAUUGCUCGUCCCCGACCGCCACUCAUAAGGAAGACAAUCAAAGAACACCUCAUGUUUCAAAUUUGUUACAUAUCAUUUACCAUACGUGCAUGCUACGGGACUUGCAAACUUCAACACAAGCAUUUCUCAAAUACACAACUACUCAACUAGCACGACUUUGAUAUUAUUACCUCCGUAUCUCAAAACAAUCAUCAAGCAUCAAGCUUCUCUUAGUAUUCAAUGCACUCUAUAUGAAAGUUUUUAUUAUAUCCCUCUUGGAUGCCCAUCAUAUUAGGACUAGUUUCAUAACAAAAGCAAACUACCAUUCUGUUCUAAGGGACUCUCAAAAUAAUAUAAGUGAAUCAUGAGAGUUCAUCUAUUUCUAUAAAAUAAAACCACCACCAUGCUCUAAAAGAUAUAAGUGAAGCACUAGAGCAAAUGACAAACUACUCCAAAAGAUAUAAGUGAAGAUCAAUGAGUAGUCGAAUAAUUAUGCAACCAUGUGAAGACUCUCUAACAUUUAAUAAUUUCAGAUAUUGUUAUUUUAUCCAAGCAGCAAGCAAAACUAAAUAAAAUAAAAUGACUCUCCAAGCAAAACACAUAUCAUGUGGUGAAUAAAAAUAUAGCUCCAAGUGAAGUUACCGAUAGACGAGGACGAAAGAGGGGAUGCCUUCCGGGGCAUCCCCAAGCUUAGGCUUUUGGUUGUCCUUGAAUAUUACCUUGGGGUGCCUUGGGAAUCCCCAAGCUUAGGAUCUUUCCACACCUUGUUCCAUAGUCCAUCAAAUCUUUACCCAAAACUUGAAAACUUCACAACACAAAUCUUAACCAAAAACUCGUAAGCUCCGUCAGUAUAAGAAAAUAAAUCACCACUUAGGUACUGUUGUGAACUCAUUCUAAAUUCAUAUUGGUGUAAUAUCUACUGUAUUCCAACUUAUCUAUGGUUCAUACCCUCCGAUACUACUCAUAGGUUCAUCAAAAUAAGCAAACAACACAUUGAAAACAGAAUCUAUCAAAAACAGAACAGUCUGUAGUAAUAUGGAUCAAACGUAUACUUCUGGAACCCCAAAAAUUCUAAAAUAAAUUUCUGGACCUGAUUAAUUUAUCUAUUAAUCAUAUUCAAAAGGAAUUAACUAAAUAUCACUCUCCAAAUAAAAAUUGCAGCAAUUCUCGUGAGUGCUAAAGUUUCUGUUUUUUACAGCAUGAUUAUAAAGACUUCACCCAAGUCUUCCCAAAGGUUCUACUGGGCACAAACACUAAUUAAAACAUAAAACCACAUCCAAACAGGGGCUAGAUGAAUUAUUUAUUACUAAACAGGAGCAUAAAGAAAGGAACAAAAAUAAAAUUGGGUUGCCUCCCAACAAGCGCUAUCGUUUAACGCCCCUAGCUAGGCAUGAUGAUUUCAAUGAUGCUCACAUAAAAGAUAAGAAUUAAAACAUAAAGAGAGCAUCAUGAAGAAUAUUACUAGAGCAUUUAAGUCUAACCCACUUCCUAUGCAUUGGGAUUAUGUGAGCAAACAACUUGUGGGUACAAGAAUCAAUUUGCAUAGGAAGGUAAAACAAGCAUAACUUCAAAACUUUAAGCACAUAGAGAGGAAACUUGAUAUUAUUGCAAUUCCUACAAGCAUAAGUUCCUCCCUCAUAAUAAUUUUCAUUAGCAUCAUGAAUGAAUUCAACAAUAUAACCAGCACCUAAAGCAUUAUUUUCAUUAUCUAUAAGCAUAGAAAUUUUAUUACUCUCCACAUGAGCAAAAUUCUUCUCAUUCGGAAUAGUGGGAGUAUCAUAAGAAACUCGAAUACUAUAAAUUGUUUCCACAUUAAAAGAGUAAUGUUCAGAAAAGGGGUUAUCAUAAUCAUACAAGUUUUAUAAUCAUAAUCACUACUUUUUAUAGCAUAAGUACCAUCACAAUAAUCAUCAUAAGUAGGAGGCAUGCUAUCAUCAUUAUAAAUUUGCAUAUCAAAACUUGGGAGACUAAAAAUAUCAUCUUCAUUAAACGUAGCAUCCCCAAGCUUGAGACAAACAUUAGCUGCAGCAAAUAUAUUCUCAAAAACAUCAUUUUCAUCAAACAUAGCAUCCCCAAGCUUGGCCCUUUUCAUAUCAUAAGCAUAAUCACUCUCAUCAUUAAUAGUAUGGAUAGCACCAAUAGUAUAGCAAUUAUCAUAUUCUUCCAAGCAAGUGCCAAAAAGAUCUUCAAGAUCAUAAUAAGUAUCAUUAUCUUUCACAAUUAUAUUUUCAUGAGGCACAAUAGUAAUAGGAGCAGCAUUAUUUGGGGGAGAUAUCUUUUUACCUCUCUUCCUUUUUCUUUUCUUCUUCUUCACCACAUCAUGUGUGGGUUCAAUCCUCUUUUUGUAGCUCCUUAUUAAUGAGAUUGGUUGAAUAGGAGGCUCUUCCUCGUUACCUGAUUCAUCAUAAGAAAUAAUAGGAGGGUAUUGGGAAGUCUCUUCCCUUUCAUUAGUAUUCUCUUCAUCUUCUAUUUAUUUUCUUUUCUUCAUGUAGUUGGCAAUAUAAGGAUUUUCAAUACAAUUCACCGCACAAUACAUAUAAAUUUUCUCUAGAUCAAAAUCAAGAAAUCUACCAAGAUUAAACUUUGGAAUACCCUCAGUUAUACUUUUCAUUUCCUCAUACCCCAAAAGAAGACUAAGCUCUUUAUGAUGCUCAAGGGUAAUCAAAUUAUCACAAUUUUUGGGUACGAUUUGGUCAUGAAACAAUUUGCAUUGGAGAUUUAAAUGACCAUGUUCAUUGCAAAGUUCACAAGGGGCGCGAAAAAUAUUGAAUUUUUCAGCACAAACAUCAAGACUUUCUUGCAACAAUUUAGUUUCUAAAUACUUAUGCCUCUUGCAAUAUCUAUCUUCCCUAUUUGGUGUAUACUUGCAAACCCAAUGCACUCCACAAAAAUUGACAUGUUUAUAGGAGACAUUUUCAUCAUAACUAGUGCAAUCAUCAUUAGUACUACGGAUAUUCAAAGAGUUCAUACUAACAACAUUCCAAUCAUGCUCAUCAUUCAAAGAUUUAGUGCCAAACAUUUUAAUGCAUUCUUCUUAUAACACUUUGGCACAAUUUUCCUUUCCACCAUACUCACGGAAGAUAUUAAAAAGAUGAAGCGUAUGAGACAAACUCAAUGUUGGGGAACGUUGCAGAAAACAAAAAAAUUCCUACGGUUUCACCAAGAUCCAUCUAUGAGUUCAUCUAGCAACGAGUGAUCGGAUGCAUCUACAUACCUUGUAGAUCGUGAGCGGAAGCGUUCAAAGAAUGGGGAUGAGGGAGUCGUACUCGAUGUGAUCCAAAUCACCGGAGAUCCUAGCGCCGAACGGACGACACCUCCGCGUUCAACACACGUACGGUCAACGUGACGUCUCCUCCUUCUUGAUCCAGCAAGGGGAAGGAGAGGUUGAGGAAGAUGGGUCCAGCAGCAGCACGACGGCGUGGUGGUGGUGGAGAAGCAGUACUCCGACAGGGCUUUGCCGAGCUCUACGGAGGAGGAGGAGGUGUUGGAGGGGAGAGGGAGGCGCCAAGGGCAUGGGUGCGGCUGCCCUCCCUCCCCCCCUCUAUAUAUAGGGUCCCCAAGGGGGGGGCGCCGGCCCUGGAGAUUCAAUCUCCCAAGGGGCGCGGCCAAGGGGGGUGGAGUGCCCCCCAAGGCAAGUGGGGCGUGAAGGAAAUAUGCCCUAGAGGCAAUAAUAAAGUUAUUAUUUAUUUCCUUAUAAUCAUGAUAAAUGUUUAUUAUUCAUGCUAGAAUUGUAUUAACCGAAAACAUAAUACAUGUGUGAAUACAUAGACAAACAAGGUGUCACUAGUAUGCCUCUACUUGACUAGCUCGUUAAUCAAAGAUGAUUAUGUUUCCUAAUCAUGAACAAUGAGUUGUUAUUUGAUUAACGGGAUCACAUCAUUAAGAGAAUGAUCUGAUUGACAUGACCCAUUCCAUUAGCUUAGCACCCGAUCGUUUAGUAUGUUGCUAUUGCUUUCUUCAUGACUUAUACAUGUUCCUAUAACUAUGAGAUUAUGCAACUCCCGUUUACCGGAGGAACACUUUGGGUACUACCAAACGUCACAACAUAACUGGGUGAUUAUAAAGGAGUAUUACAGGUGUCUCCAAAGGUACAUGUUGGGUUGGCGUAUUUCGAGAUUAGGUUUUGUCACUCCGAUUGUCGGAGAGGUAUCUCUGGGCCCUCUCGGUAAUGCACAUCACUUAAGCCUUGCAAGCAUUGCAACUAAAUGAGUUAGUUGCGGGAUGGUGUAUUACGGAACGAGUAAGGAGACUUGCCGGCAACGAGAUUGAACUAGGUAUUGGAAUACCGACGAUCGAAUCUCGGGCAAGUAACAUACCGAUGACAAAGGGAACGACGUAUGUUGUUAUGCGGUCUAACCGAUAAAGAUCUUCGUAGAAUAUGUAGGAGCCAAUAUGGGUAUCCAGGUACCGCUAUUGGUUAUUGACUGGAGACAUGUCUCGGUCAUGUCUACAUUGUUCUCGAACCCGUAGGGUCCGCACGCUUAAGGUUACGAUGACAGUUAUAUUAUGAGUUUAUGCAUUUUGAUGUACCGAAGGUUGUUCGGAGUCCCGGAUGUGAUCAUGGACAUGACAAGGAGUCUCAAAAUGGUCGAGGCAUAAAGAUUGAUAUAUUGGAAGCCUAUGUUUGGAUAUCGAAAGUGUUCCGGGUGAAAUCGGGAUUUUACCGGAGAACCGGGAGGUUACCGGAACCCCCCGGGAGCUAAAUGGGCCAUGAUGGGCCUUAGUGGAAAAGAGAAGAGGCAGCCCUACAUGGGCCGCGCGCCCCUCCCCUCCCUUGGUCCGAAUAGGACAAGGAGAGGGGGCCGACCCCUCUCUCUCUUUUCCCCCCUCCGCGAAUCCUAUUCCAACUAGGAUUGGGGGGGGGGGGAAUCCUACCCCGAGAGGGAGUAGGACUCUCCUGGCGCGCCCUCCUUGGCCGGCCAGCCUCCUCCCUUUAGUCCUUUAUAUACGGAGGCAGGGGCACCCCAGAAACACACAAGUUGAUCCACGUGAUCUAUUCCUUAGCCGUGUGCGGCGCCCCCAGCCACCAUAGUCCUCGAUAAUACUGUACCGGAGUUUAGGCGAAGCCCUGCUGCUGUAGUGCAUCAUGAUCGUCACCACGCCGUCGUGCUGACGGAACUCUUCCCCGACACUUUGCUGGAUCGGAGUCCGAGGAUCGUCAUCGAGCUGAAUGUGUGCUAGAACUCGGAGGUGCCGUAGUUUCGUUGCUUGAUCGGUCGGAUCAUGAAGACGUACGACUACAUCAACCAAACGCUUCUGUUGUCGAUCUACUAGGUAUGUAGAUCACACUCCCCCCCCCUCGUUGCUAUGCAUCACAUGAUCUUGCGUGUGCGUAGGAAUUUUUUUGAAAUUACUACGUCCCCAACAGUGGCAUCCGAGCCUAGGUUUUAUAUGUUGAUGUUAUAUGCACGAGUAGAACACAAGUGAGUUGUGGGCGAUAUAAGUCAUACUGCCUACCAGCAUGUCAUACUUUGGUUCGGCGGUAUUGUUGGAUGAAGCGGCCCAGACCGACAUUACGCGUACGCUUACGCGAGACCGGUUCUCGCGACGUGCUUUGCACAGAGGUGGCUUGUGGGUGACAGUUUCUCCAACUUUAGUUGAACCAAGUGUGGCUACACCCGGUCCUUGCGAAGGUUAAAACGGAGUCAAAUUGACAAACUAUCGUUGUGGUUUUGAUGCGUAGGUGAGAUUUGUUCUUACUUAAGCCUGUAGCAGCCACGUAAAACUUGCAACAACAAAGUAGAGGACGUCUAACUUGUUUUUGCAGGGCAUGUUGUGAUGUGAUAUGGUCAAGACAUGAUGCUGAAUUUUAUUGUAUGAGAUGAUCAUGUUUUGUAACCGAGUUAUCGGCAACCGGCAGGAGCCAUAUGGUUGUCGCUUUAUUGUAUGCAAUGCAAUCGCGAUGUAAUGCUUUACUUUAUCACUAAAUGGUAGCGAUAGUCGUGGAAGCACAAGCUUGGCGAGACGACAAUGGUGCUACGAUGGAGAUCAAGGUGUCACGCCGGUGACGAUGGUGAUCACGACGGUGCUUCAGAGAUGGAGAUCACAAGCACAAGAUGAUGAUGGCCAUAUCAUAUCACUUAUAUUGAUUGCAUGUGAUGUUUAUCUUUUAUGCAUCUUAUCUUGCUUUGAUUGACGGUAGCAUUAUAAGAUGAUCUCUCACUAAAUUAUCAAGAAGUGUUCUCCCUGAGUAUGCACCGUUGCGAAAGUUCUUCGUGCUGAGACACCAUGUGAUGAUCGGGUGUGAUAGGUUCUACGUUCAAAUACAACGGGUGCAAAAUAGUUGCACACGCGGAAUACUCAGGUUAUACUUGACGAGCCAAGCAUAUACAGAUAUGGCCUCGGAACACGGAGACCGAAAGGUCGAGCGUGAAUCAUAUAGUAGAUAUGAUCAACAUAGCGAUGCUCACCAAUGAAACUACUCCAUCUCACGUGAUGAUCGGACAUGGUUUAGUUGAUUUGGAUCACGUGAUCACUUAGAGGAUUAGAGGGAUGUCUAUCUAAGUGGGACUUCUUAAGUAAUAUGAUUAAUUGAACUUAAAUUUAUCAUGAACUUAGUCCUGGUAGUAUUUUGCAAAUUAUGUUGUAGAUCAAUAGCUCGCAUUGUUGCUUCCCUGUGUUUAUUUUGAUAUGUUCCUAGAGAAAAUUGUGUUGAAAGAUGUUAGUAGCAAUGAUGCGGAUUGGAUCCAUGAUCUGAGGUUUAUCCUCAUUGCUGCAUAGAAGAAUUAUGUCCUUGAUGCACCGCUAGGUGACAGACCUAUUGCAGGAGCAGAUGCAGAUGUUAUGAACAUUUGGCUAGCUCAAUAUGAUGACUACUUGAUAGUUUAGUGCACCAUGCUUAAUGGCUUAGAAUCGGGACUUCAAAGACAUUUUGAACGUCAUGGACCAUAUGAGAUGUUCCAGGAGUUGAAGUUAAUAUUUCAAGCAAAUACCCGAGUUGAGAGAUAUGAAGUCUCCAACAAGGUCUAUAGCUAAAAGAUGGAGGAGAAUCGCUCAACUAGUGAGCAUGUGCUCAGAUUGUCUGGGUACUACAAUCGCUUGAAUCAAGUGGGAGUUAAUCUUCCAGAUAAGAUAGUGAUUGACAGAAUUCUCUAGUCACCAUCACCAAGUUAGUAGAACUUCCUGAUGAACUAUGAUAUGCAAGGGAUAACGGAAAUGAUUCCCAAGCUCUUCGUAAUGCGGAAAUUGACGAAGGUAGAAAUCGAGAAAAACAUCAAGUGUUGAUGGUAGACAAGACCACUAGUUUCAAGAAAAGGGCAGAGGGAAGAAGGGGAACUUCAAGAAGAACAGCAAGCAUGUUGCUACUCAAGUGAAGAAGCCCAAGUCUGGUCCUAAGCCUGAGACUAAGUGUUUCUACUGCAAAGGGACUGGUCACUGAAAGCGGAACUACCCCAAGUGAUUGGCAGAUAAGAAGGAUGGCAAAAUGAACAUAAGUAUAUUUGAUAUACAUGUUAUUGAUGUGUACUUUACUAGUGUUUAUAGCAACCCCUCAGUAUUUGAUACUAGUUCAGUUGCUAAGAUUAGUAACUUGAAACGGGAGUUGCAGAAUAAACAGAGACUAGUUAAGGGUGAAGUGACGAUGUGUGUUGGAAGUGGUUCCAAGAUUGAUAUGAUCAUCAUCGCACACUCCCUAUACUUUCGGGAUUAGUGUUGAACCUGAAUAAGUGUUAUUUGGUGUUUGUGUUAAGCAUGAAUAUGAUUUGAUCAUGUUUAUUAUAAUACGGAUAUUCAUUUAAGUAAGAGAAUAAAUUGUUGUUCUGUUUACAUGAAUAAAACCUUAUAUGGUUACACACCCAAUGAAAAUAGUUCAUUGGAUCUCGAUCGUAGUGAUACACAUAAUCAUAAUAUUGAAACCAAAAGAUGCAAAGUUAAUAAUGAUAGUGCAACUUAUUUGUAGCACUGCCAUUUAGGUCAUAUUGGUGUAAAGUGCAUGAAGAAACUCCAUGCUGAUGGAUUUUGGAAUCACUUGAUUAUGAAUCACUUGAUGCUUGAGAACCAUGCCUCAUGGUCAAGAUGACUAAGACUCCGUUCUCCGGAGAGAGCAACUGACUUAUUGGAAAUAAUACAUACUGAUGUAUGCGGUCCGAUGAGUGUUAAGGCUCACGGCAAGUAUCGUUAUUUUCUGAACUUCACAGAUGAUUUGAGCAAGAUAUGGGUAUAUCUACUUGAUGAAACAUAAGUCCUAAACAUUUGAAAAGUUCAAAGAAUUUCAGAGUGAAGUGGAAAAUCAUCAUGACAAGAAAAAAAAAUUUCUAUGAUCUGAUCGCGGAGACAAAUAUUUGAGUUACGAGUUUGGUCUUCAAAUAAAACAAUGUGGAAUAGUUUCACAAACUCAUGCCACAUGGAACACCACAGCAUAAUGGUGUGUCUGAACAUUAUAACCGUACUUUAUUAGAUAUGGUGCGAUCUAUGAUGUUUUUUUUUGAUCUACCACUAUCGUUUUGGGGUUAUGCAUUAAAGACAGCUGCAUUCACAUUUAAAAGGGCACCAUCUAAGUCCGUUGAGACGACACAAUCUGAACUGUGGUUUGGCAAGAAACCAAAGUUGUCAUUUCUUAAAGUUUGGGAUUGUGAUGCUUAUAUGAAAAGGUUUCAUCCUGAUAAGCUCAAAUCCAAAUAGGAGAAAUAUGUCUUCAUAGGAUACCCAAAGGAGACUGUUGGGUACACCUUCUAUCACAAAUCCGAAGGCAAGACUUUUGUUGCUAAAUUCGGAGUUUUUCUAGAGAAGGAGUUUCUCUCGAAAGAAGUGAGUGGGAGGAAAGUAGAACUUGAUGAGGUAACUGUACCUGCUCCCUUAUUGGAAAGUAGUUCAUCACAGAAAUCUGUUCCUGUGACUACUACACCAAUUCGUGAGGAAGCUAAUGAUGAUGAUCAUGUAACUUCAGAUCAAGUUACUACCAAAUCUCGUAGGUAAACCAGAGUGAGAUCCACACCAGAGUGGUACGGUAAUCCCAUUCUGGAAGUCGUGUUACUAGACCAUGACGAACUUGCGAACUAUGAGGAAGCGAUGAUGAGCCCAGAUUCUGCGAAAUGGUUUGAGGUCAUGAAAUCUGAGAUAUGAUCCAUGUAUGAGAACAAAGUAUGGACUUUGAUGGAUUUGCUCGAUGAUCGGCAAGCCAUAGAAAAUAAAUGGAUCUUCAAGAGGAAGACAGACGCUGAUAGUAGUGUUACUAUCUACAAAGCUAGAAUUGUCGCAAAAGGUUUUCGACAAGUUCAAGGAGUUGACUACGAUGAGAUUUUCUCACUCGUAUCUAUGCUUAAGUCUGUCCGAAUCAUGUUAGCAAUUGCCGCAUUUUAUGAAAUCUGGCAAAUGGAUAAACAAAACUGCAUUCCUUAAUGGAUUUACUAAAGAAGAGUUGUAUACGAUGCAACUAGAAGGUUUUGUCGAUCCUAAAGGUGUUAACUAAAUAUGCAAGCUCCAGCGAUCCAUCUAUGGACUAGUGCAAGAAUCUCAGAGUUGGAAUAUACGCUUUGAUAAGUUGAUCAAAGCAUAUAGUUUUAUGCAGACUUGCGGUGAAGCCUGUAUUUACAAGAAAGUGAGUGGGAGCACUACAACAUUUCUGAUAAGUAUAUGUGAAUGACAUAUUGUUGAUCGGAAAUAAUGUAGAAUUAUUCUGCAAAGCAUAAAGGAGUGUUUGAAAGGAGUUUUUUCAAAAAGGACCUCGAAGAAGCUGCUUACAUAUUGAGCAUCAAGAUCUAUAGAGAUAGAUCAAGACGCUUGAUAAGUUUUUUUUCAAUGAGUACAUACCUUGACAAGAUUUUAUAAUAGUUCAAAAUGGAACAGUCAAAGAAAGUGUUCUUGCCUGUGUCAUAAGGUGUGAAAUUGAGUAAGACUCAAAGCCCGACCACGGCAGAAGAUAGAAAGAGAAUGAAUGUCAUUCCCUAUGCCUCGGUCAUAGGUUCUAUAAAGUAUGCCAUGCUGUGUACCAGAUCUAUUGUAUACCCUACCAUUGAGUUUGGCAAGGGAGUACAAUAGUGAUCUAGGAGUAGAUCACUGGACAGCGGUCAAAAUUAUCCUUAGUGGAAUAAGGAAAUAUUUCUCAAUUAUGGAGGUGACAAAAAGGUUCGUCGUAAAAAGUUACAUCGAUGCAUGUUUUGACACAGAUCUGGAUGACUCUAAGUCUCGAUCUAGAUACAUAUUGAAAGUGGGAGCAAUAAGUUAGAGUAGCUCCGUGCAGAGCAUUGUUGACAUAGAAAUUCGCAAAAUACUUACGGAUCCGAAUGUGACAGACCUGUUGACUAAAAUUAUCUCACAAGCAAAACAUGAUCACACCUUAGUACUCUUUGGGUAUUAAUCACAUAGCGAUGUGAACUAGAUUACUGACUCUAGUAAACCCUUUGGGUGUUGAUCACAUAUCGAUGUGAACUAUGGGUGUUAAUCACAUGGUGAUGUGAACUAUUGUUGUUAAAUCACAUGGCGAUGUGAACUAGAUUAUUGACUCUAGUGCAGGUGGGAGACCGAAGGAAAUAUGCCCUAGAGGCAAUAAUAAAGUUAUUAUUUAUUUCCUUAUAAUCAUGAUAAAUGUUUAUUAUUCAUGCUAGAAUUGUAUUAACUGGAAACAUAAUACAUGUGUGAAUACAUAGACAAACAAAGUGUCACUAGUAUGCCUCUACUUGACUAGCUCGUUAAUCAAAGAUGAUUAUGUUUCCUAAUCAUGAACAAUGAGUUGUUAUUUGAUUAACGAGAUCACAUCAUUAAGAGAAUGAUUUGAUUGACAUGACCCAUUCCAUUAGCUUAGCACCCGAUCAUUUAGUAUGUUGCUAUUGCUUUCUUCAUGACUUAUACAUGUUCCUAUAACUAUGAGAUUAUGCAACUCCCGUUUACCGGAGGAACACUUUGGGUACUACCAAAGGUCACAAUGUAACUGGGUGAUUAUAAAGGAGUAUUACAGGUCUCUCCAAAGGUACAUGUUGGGUUGGCGUAUUUCGAGAUUAGGUUUUGUCACUCCGAUUGUCGGAGAGGUAUCUCUGAGCCCUCUCGGUAAUGCACAUCACUUAAGCCUUGCAAGCAUUGCAACUAAAUGAGUUAGUUGCGGGAUGAUGUAUUACGGAACGAGUAAAGAGACUUGCCGGCAACGAGAUUGAACUAGGUAUUGGAAUACCGACGAUCGAAUCUCGGGCAAGUAACAUACCGAUGACAAAGGGAACGACGUAUGUUGUUAUGCGGUCUGACCGAUAAAGAUCUUCAUAGAAUAUGUAGGAGCCAAUAUGGGCAUCCAGGUCCCGCUAUUGGUUAUUGACUGGAGACAUGUCUCGGUCAUGUCUACAUUGUUCUCGAACCCGUAGGGUCCGCACGCUUAAGGUUACGAUGACAGUUAUAUUAUGAGUUUAUGCAUUUUGAUGUACCGAAGGUUGUUCAGAGUCUCGGAUGUGAUCACGGACAUGAUGAGGAGUCUCGAAAUGGUCGAGACAUAAAGAUUGAUAUAUUGGAAGCCUAUGUUUGGAUAUCGGAAGUGUUCCAGGUGAAAUCGGGAUUUUACCGGAGUACCGGGAGGUUACCGGAACCCCCCGGGAGCUAAAUGGGCCAUGAUGGGCCUUAGUGGAAAAGAGAAGAGGCAGCCCUACAUGGGCCGCGCGCCCCUCCCCUCCCUUGGUCCGAAUAGGACAAGGAGAGGGGGCCGGACCCUCUCUCUCUUUUCCCUCCUCCGCGAAUCCUAUUCCAACUAGGAUUGGGGGGGGGGGGGAUCCUACUCCCAGAGGGAGUAGGACUCUCCUGGCGCGCCCUCCUUGGCCGGCCAGCCUCCCCCCUUUAGUCCUUUAUAUACGGAGGCAAAGGCACCCCAGAGACACACAAGUUGAUCCACGUGAUCUAUUCCUUAGCCGUGUGCAGCGCCCCCAGCCACCAUAGUCCUCAAUAAUACUGUAGCGGAGUUUAGGCGAAGCCCUGCUGCUGUAGUGCAUCAAUAUCGUCACCACGCCGUCGUGCUGACGGAACUCUUCCCCGACACUUUGCUGGAUCGGAGUCCGAGGAUCGUCAUCGAGUUGAACGUGUGCUAGAACUCAGAGGUGCCGUAGUUUCGGUGCUUGAUCGGUCGGAUCGUGAAGACGUACGACUACAUAAACCAAACACUUCCGUUGUCGAUGUACUAGGUAUGUAGAUCACACUCCCCCCCCCUCGUUGCUAUGCAUCACAUGAUCUUGCGUUUGCGUAGGAAAUUUUUUGAAAUUACUACGUUCCCCAACAGGGCGCCCCCCACCCUAGGGUUCCCAACCCUAGUCGCAGGGGGAAGGCCCAAGGGGGGCGCACCAGCCCACUAGGGGCUGGUUCCCCUCCCACUUCAGCCCAUGGGGCCCUCUGGGAUAGGUGGCACCACCCGGUGGACCCCCGGGACCCUUCCAGUGGUCCCGGUACAAUACCGGUGACCCCGAAACUUGUCCCGAUGGCCGAAAUAGCACUUCCUAUAUAUAAUUCUUUACCUCCGGACCAUUCCGGAACUCCUCGUGACGUCCGGUAUCUCAUUCGGGACUCCGAACAACUUUCUGGUUACUGCAUAUUCAUAUCCCUACAACCCUAGCGUCACCGAACCUUAAGUGUGUAGACCCUACGGGUUCGGGAGACAUGUAGACAUGACCGAGAUGGCUCUCCGGUCAAUAACCAACAGCGGGAUCUGGAUACCCAUGUUGGCUCCCACAUGCUCCUCGAUGAUCUCAUCGGGUGAACCACGAUGUCGAGGAUUCAAGCAACCCCGUAUACAAUUCCCUUUGUCAAUCGGUACGUUACUUGCCCGAGAUUCGAUCGUCGGUAUCCCAAUACCUCGUUCAAUCUCGUUACCGGCAAGUCACUUUACUCGUACCGUAAUGCAUGAUCCCGUGACCAGACACUUGGUCACUUUGAGCUCAUUGUGAUGAUGGAUUACCGAGUGGGCCCAGAGAUACCUCUUCGUCAUAUGGAGUGACAAAUCCUAGUCUUGAUCCGCGUCAACCCAACAGACACUUUCGGAGAUACCCGUAGUAUACCUUUAUAGUCAGCCAGUUACGUUGUGACGUUUGGUACACCCAAAGCACUCCUACGGUAUCCGGGAGUUACACGAUCUCAUGGUCUAAGGAAAGGAUACUUGACAUUGGAAAAACUCUAGCAAACGAACUAUACGAUCUUGUGCUAUGUUUAGGAUUGGGUCUUGUCCAUCACAUCAUUCUCCUAAUGAUGUGAUCUCGUUAUCAAUGACAUCCAAUGUCCAUAGUCAGGAAACCAUGACUAUCUGUUGAUCAACGAGCUAGUCAACUAGAGGCUUACUAGGGACAUGUUGGUGUCUAUUUAUUCGCACAUGUAUUACGAUUUCCUGAUAACACAAUUAUAGCAUGAAUAAAAUACAAUUAUCAUGAACAAGGUAAUAUAAUAAUAAUGCUUUUAUCAUUGCCUCUAGGGCGUAUUUCCAACAGUCUGCCGCUUGCACUAGAGUCAAUAAUCUAGUUACAUUGUGAUGAAUCGAACACCCAUGGAAUUCUGGUGUUGAUCAUGUUUUGCUCUAGGGAGAGGUUUAGUCAACGGAUCUGCUACAUUCAGGUCCGUAUGUACUUUACAAAUAUCUAUGUCUCCAUCUUGAACAUUUUCACGAAUGGAAUUGAAUCGACGCUUGAUGUGCCUGGUCUUCUUGUGAAACCUGGGCUCCUUGGCAAGUGCAAUAGCUCCAGUGUUGUCACAGAAGAGUUUGAUUGGCCCCGACGCAUUGGGUAUGACUCCUAGGUCAGUGAUGAACUCCUUCACCCAAAUUGCUUCAUGCGCUGCCUCAGAGGCUGCCAUGUACUCCGCUUCACAUGUAGAUCCCGCAGCGACGCUCUGCUUGCAAUUGCACCAGCUUACUGCCCCACCAUUCAAAAUAUACACUUAUCCGGUUUGUGACUUAGAGUCAUCCAGAUCUGUGUCGAAGCUAGCAUCGAUGUAACCCUUUACGACGAGCUCUUCGUCACCUCCAUAAACGAGAAACAUUUCCUUAGUCCUUUUCAGGUACUUCAGGAUAUUCUUCACCGCUGUCCAGUGUUCCUUGCCGGGAUUACUUUGGUACCUACCUACCAAACUUACGGCAAGGUUUACAUCAGGUCUGGUACACAGCAUGGCAUACAUAAUAGAACCUAUGGCUGAGGCAUAGGGGAUGACACUCAUCUCUUCUAUAUCUUCUGCCGUGGUCGGACAUUGAGCUGAGCUCAAUUUCACACCUUGCAACACAGGCAAGAACCCCUUCCUAGACUGAUCCAUAUUGAACUUCUUCAAUAUCUUAUCAAGGUAUGUACUUUGUGAAAGACCUAUGAGGCGUCUUGAUCUAUCUCUAUAGAUCUUGAUGCCUAAUAUAUAUGCAGCUUCUCCAAGGUCCUUCAUUGAAAAACUCUUAUUCAAGUAGGCCUUAAUGUUGUCCAAGAGUUCUAUAUCAUUUUCCAUCAAAAGUAUGUCAUCUACAUAUAAUAUGAGAAAUGCUACAGAGCUCCCACUCACUUUCUUGUAAACGCAGGCUUCUCCAUAAGUCUGCGUAAACCCAAACACUUUGAUCAUCUCAUCAAAGCGAAUGUUCCAACUCCGAGAUGCUUGCACUAGCCCAUAAAUCGAGGGUUGGAGCUUGCACACCUUGUCAGCAUUCUUAGGAUCGACAAAACCUUCCGGCUGCAUCAUAUACAAUUCUUCCUUAAGGAAACCAUUAAGGAAUGCCGUUUUGACGUCCAUUUUCCAUAUCUCAUAAUCAUAGAAUGCGGCAAUUGCUAACAUGAUUCGGACGGACUUUAGCUUCGCUACCGGUGAGAAAGUCUCAUCGUAGUCAACCCCUUGAACUUGUCGAUAACCCUUAGUGAAAAGCCGAGCUUUAUAGAUGGUCACAUUACCAUCCGCAUCUGUCUUCUUCUUAAAGAUCCAUUUAUUUUCUAUGGCUCGCCGCUCAACGGGCAAGUCAGUCAAAGUCCAUACUUUUUUUUCAUACAUGGAUCCUAUCUCGGAUUUCAUGGCUUCUAGCCAUUUGUCAGAAUCCGGGCCCGUCAGCGCUUUUUCAUAGUUCGGAGGUUCACCAUUGUCUAACAACAUGAUUUCCAAGACAGGGUUGCCGUACCACUCUGGUGCGGAACGUGUCCUUGUGGACCUACGAAGUUCAGUAGCAACUUGAUCCGAAGUUUCAUGAUCAUCUUCAUUAAUUUCCUCUCUAGUCGGUGCAGGCACCUCAGGAACAUUUUCUUGAGUUGUGCCAUUUUCCGGUUCAAGAGGUAAUACUUCAUCAAGUUCUACUUUCCUCCCACUUACUUCUUUCGAGAGAAACUCCUUCUCUAGAAAGGAUCCAUUCUUGGCAACAAAGAUCUUUGCCUUCGGAUCUGAGGUAGAAGGUAUACCCAAUAGUUUCUUUAGGGUAUCCUAUGAAGACGCAUUUUUCCGACUUGGGUUCGAGCUUUUCAGGUUGAAGUUUCUUGACAUAAGCAUCGCAUCCCCAAACUUUUAGAAACUAUAGCUUAGGUUUCUUCCCAAACCAUAAUUCAUACGGUGUCGUCUCAACGGAUUUCGACGGAGCCCUAUUUAAAGUGAAUGCGGCAGUCUGUAAAGCAUAGCCCCAAAAUAAUUGCGGUAAUUCGGUAAGAGUGAUCAUAGAUCGCACCAUAUCUAAUAGAGUGCGAUUACGACAUUCAGACACACCAUUACGCUGAGGUGUUCCAGGCGGCGUCAGUUGUGAAACUAUUCCACAUUUUCUUAAGUGUGUGCCAAAUUCGUGACUCAAGUAUUCUCCUCCAUGAUCUGAUCACAAGAACUUGAUUUUCCUGUCACGUUCAUUCUCAACCUCACUCUAAAAUUCCUUGAACUUUUCAAAGGUCUCAGACUUGUGUUUCAUUAAAUAGACAUACCCAUAUCUACUCAAGUCAUCAGUGAGGGUGAGAACAUAACGAUAGCCACCGCGAGCCCCAGCACUCAUUGGACCGCACGCAUCAGUAUGUAUGAUUUUCAAUAAGUUGGUUGCUCGCUCCAUUGUUCCUGAGAACAGAGUCUUGGUCAUUUUACCCAUGAGGCAUGGUUCGCACGUGUCAAAUGAUUCGUAAUCAAGAGACUCUAGAAGUCCAUCUGCAUGGAGCUUCUUCAUGCGUUUGACACCUAUGUGACCAAGGCGGCAGUGCCACAAGUAUGUGGGACUAUUAUUAUCAACCUUACAUCUUUUGGUAUUCACACUAUGAAUAUGUGUAGCAUUACGCUCGAGAUUCAUUAAGAAUAAACCAUUCACCAUCGGAGCAUGACCAUAAAACAUAUCUCUCAUAUAAAUAGAACAACCAUUAUUCUCGGAUUUAAAUGAGUAGCCAUCUCGUAUUAAACGAGAUCCUGAUACAAUGUUCAUGCUCAAACUUGGCACUAAAUAACAAUUAUUGAGGUUCAAAACUAAUCCCGUAGGUAAAUGUAGAGGUAGCGUGCCGACGGCGAUCACAUCGACCUUGGAACCAUUCCCGACGCGCAUCGUCACCUCGUCCUUCGCCAGUCUCCGCUUAUUCCGCAGCUCCUGCUUUGAGUUACAAAUGUGAGCAACUUCACCGGUAUCAAAUACCCAAGAGCUACUACAAGUACUGGUAAGGUACACAUCAAUUACAUGUAUAUCACAUAUACCUUUAUGAUGCCGGCCUUCUUGUCCGCUAAGUAUUUGGGGCAGUUCCGCUUCCAGUGACCACUUCCCUUGCAAUAAAAGCACUCAGUCUCGGGCUUGGGUCCAUUCUUUGGCUUCUUCCCGGCAGCUUGCUUGCCGGGCGCGGCAACUCCCUUGCCGUCCUUCUUGAAGUUCUUCUUACCCUUGCCUUUCUUGAACUUAGUGGUUUUAUUCACCAUCAACACUUGAUGUUCCUUUUUGACUUCUACCUCUGCUUAUUUCAGCAUUGCAAAUACUUCAGGAAUGGUCUUUUCCAUCCCCUGCAUAUUGAAGUUCAUCACAAAGCUCUUGUAGCUUGGUGGAAGCGACUAGAGGAUUCUCUCAAUGGCCGCGUCAUUUGGGAGAUUAACUCCCAGCUGAGUCAAGCGGUUAUGUAACCCAGACAUAGUGAGUAUGUGCUCACUGACAGAACUAUUUUCCUCCAUCUUACAGCUGAAUAACUUGUCGGAGACUUCAUAUCUCUCGACCCUGGCAUGAGCUUGAAAAACCAUUUUCAGCUCUUCGAACAUCUCAUAUGCUCCGUGUCUCUCAAAAUGCUUUUGGAGCCCCGGCUCUAAGCUGUAAAGCAUGCGGCACUGAACGAGGGAGUAAUCAUCGGAACGUGUCUGCCAAGCGUUCAUAACGUCUUGUUCUGCAGGGAGAACAGGUGCUUCACCUAGCGGUGCUUGUAGGACAUAAUCUUUCUUGGCAGCUAUGAGGAUGAUCCUCAGGUUCCGGACCCAGUCCGUAUAGUUCCUGCCAUCAUCUUUCAGCUUGGUUUUCUCUAGGAACGCGUUGAAGUUGAGGACAACAUUGGUCAUUUGAUCUACAAGACAUAUUGUAAAUAUUUUAGACUAAGUUCAUGAUAAUUAAGUUCAUCUAAUCAAAUUAUUCAGUGAACUCCCACUUAGAUAGACAUCCCUCCAGUCAUCUAAGUAUAACAUGAUCCGAGUUAACUAGGCCGUGUCCGAUCAUCACGUGAGACGGACUAGUCAACAUCGGUGAACAUCUUCAUGUUGAUCGUAUCUUCUAUACGACUCAUGCUCGACCUUUCGGUCUUCUAUGUUCCGAGGCCAUGUCUAUACAUGCUAGGCUCGUCAAGUCAACCUAAGUGUUUGCAUGUGUAAAUCUGUCUUACACCCGUUGUAUGUGAACGUUGGAAUCUAUCAUACCCGAUCAUCACGUGGUGCUUCGAAACAACGAACUGUCGCAACGGUGCACAGUUAGGGGGAACAUUUUCUUGAAAUUAUUAUGAGGGAUCAUCUUAUUUACUACCGUCGUUCUAAGUAAACAAGAUGCAAAAACAUGAUAAACAUCACAUGCAAUAAUAAUAGUGACAUGAUAUGGCCAAUAUCACAUAGCUCCUUUGAUCUCCAUCUUGGGGCUCCAUGAUCAUCUUGUCACCGGCAUGACACCAUGAUCUCCAUCAUCAUCGUGUCUCCAUGAAGUUGCUCGCCAACUAUUACUUCUACUACUAUGGCUAACACGUUUAGCAAUAAAGUAAAGUAAUUUACAUGGCGUUUCUCAAUGACACGCAGGUCAUACAAAAAAAUAAAGACAACUCCUAUGGCUCCUGCCGGUUGUCAUACUCAUCGACAUGCAAGUCGUGAUUCCUAUUACAAUAGCAUGAACAUCUCAUACGUCACAUAUAUAUCAUUCAUCAUUCAUCACAACUUUGGCCAUAUCACAUCACAAAACACUUGCUGCAAAAACAAGUUAGACGUCCUCUAAUUGUUGUUGCAAGUUUUACGUGGCUGAAAUAGGGUUCUAGCAAGAAUGUUUUCUUACCUACGUGAAAGCCACAACGUGAUUUGUCAACUUCUAUUUACCCUUCAUAAGGACCCUUUUCAUCGAAUCCGCUCCAACUAAAGUGGGAGAGACAGACACCCGCCAACCACCUUAUGCAACUAGUGCAUGUUAGUCGGUGGAACCGGUCUCACAUAAGCGUACGUGUAAGGUUGGUCCGGGCCGCUUUAUCCCACAAUACCGCUGAAGCAAAAUAAGACUAGUAGCGGCAAGAAAGUUGACAACAUCUACGCCCACAACAAAUUAUGUUCUACUCGUGCAAAGAGAACUACACAUAGACCUAGCUCAUGAUGCCACUGUUGGGGAACGUUGCAGAAAACAAAAAAAUUCCUACGGUUUCACCAAGAUCCAUCUAUGAGUUCAUCUAGCAAGGAGUGAUCGGAUGCAUCUACAUACCUUGUAGAUCAUGAGCGGAAGCGUUCAAAGAACGGGGAUGAGGGAGUCGUACUCGACGUGAUCCAAAUCACCGGAGAUCCUAGCGCCGAACGGACGGCACCUCCGCGUUCAACACACGUACGGUCAGCGUGACGUCUCCUCCUUCUUGAUCCAGCAAGGGGAAGGAGAGGUUGAGGAAGAUGGCUCCAGCAGCAGCACGACGGCGUGAUGGUGGUGGAGAAGCAGUACUCCGACUAGGCUUCGCCGAGCUCUACGGAGGAGGAGGAGGUGUUGGAGGGGAGAGGGAGGCGCCAAGGGCAUGGGUGCGGCUGCCCUCCCUCCCCCCUCUAUAUAUAGGGUCCCCAAGGGGGGCGCCGGCCCUGGAGAUCCAAUCUCCCAAGGGGCGGCGGCCAAGGGGGGUGGAGUGCCCCCCAAGGCAAGUGGGGCGCCCCCCACCCUAGGGUUCCCAACCCUAGGAGCAGGGGGAAGGCCCAAGGGGGGCGCACCAGCCCACUAGGGGCUGGUUCCCCUCCCACUUCAGCCCAUGGGGCCCUCCGGGAUAGGUGGCCCCACCCGGUGGACCCCCGGGACCCUUCCGGUGGUCCCGGUACAAUACCGGUGACCCCGAAACUUGUCCCGAUUGCCGAAAUAGCACUUCCUAUAUAUAAUUCUUUACCUCCGGACCAUUCCGGAACUCCUUGUGACGUCCAGGAUCUCAUCCGAGACUCCUAACAACUUUCGGGUUACUGCAUAUUCAUAUCCCUACAACCCUAGCGUCAUCGAACCUUAAGUGUGUAGACCCUACGGGUUUGGGAGACAUGUAGACAUGACCGAGAUGGCUCUCCGGUCAAUAACCAACAAUGGGAUCUAGAUACCUAUGUUGGCUCCCACAUGCUCCUCGAUGAUCUCAUCGGAUGAACCACGAUGUCGAGGAUUCAAGCAACCCCGUAUACAAUUCCCUUUGUCAAUCGGUACGUUACUUGCCCGAGAUUCGAUCGUCGGUACAAUACCUCGUUCAAUCUCGUUACCGGCAAGUCACUUUACUCGUACUGUAAUGCAUGAUCCCGUGACCAGACACUUGGUCACUUUGAGCUCAUUGUGAUGAUGCAUUACCGAAUGGGCCCAGAGAUACCUCUCCGUCAUACGGAGUGACAAAUCCCAGUCUUGAUCCGUGUCAACCCAACAGACACUUUCGGAGAUACCUGUAGUAUACCUUUAUAGUCACCCAGUUACGUUGUGACGUUUGGUACACCCAAAGCACUCCUACGGUAUCCGGGAGUUACACGAUCUCAUGGUCUAAGGAAAGGAUACUUGACAUUGGAAAAACUCUAGCAAACGAACUAUACAAUCUUGUGCUAUGUUUAGGAUUGGGUCUUGUCCAUCACAUCAUUCUCCUAAUGAUGUGAUCUCGUUAUCAAUGACAUCCAAUGUCCAUUGUCAGGAAACCAUGACUAUCUGUUGAUCAACGAGCUAGUCAACUAGAGGCUUACUAGGGACAUGUUGGUUUCUAUUUAUUCACACAUGUAUUACGAUUUCCGGAUAACACAAUUAUAGCAUGAAUAAAAGACAAUUAUCAUGAACAAGGAAAUAUAAUAAUAAUGCUUUUAUUAUUGCCUCUAGGGCAUAUUUCCAACACUCAAUUCCAUUUUUUAUAGUUUUCUUUUAUAAACUAAACUAGUGAUAAAACAAGAAACAAAAAGAUUCGACUUCAAGAUCUAAAGAUAUACCUUCAAGCGCUAACCUCCCCGGAACGGCGCCAGAAAAGAGCUUGAUGUCUACUACACAACCUUCUUCUUGUAGACGUUGUUGGGCCUCCAAGUGCAGAGGUUUGUAGGAUAGUAUAAAAUUUCCCUCAAGUGGAUGACCUAAGGUUUAUCAAUCCAUAGGAGGCGUAGGAUAAAUAUGGUCUCUCUCAAGCAACCCUGCAACCAAAUAACAUGGAGUCUCUUGUGUCCCCAACACACCCAAUACAAUGGUAAAUUGUAUAGGUGCACUAGUUCGGCGAAGAGAUGGUGAUACAAGUGGUAUAUUGAUGGUAGAUAAAGGUUUUUGUAAUCUGAAAAUAUAAAUACAGCAAAGUAACUAAUGAUAAAAGUGAGCGUACACGCUAUUGCAAUGCUAGGAAAAAAGGCCUAGGGUUCAUACUUUCACUAGUGCAAGUUCCCUCGACAAUAAUAACAUAAUUGAAUCACAUAAUUAUCCCUCAACAUGCAACAAAGUGUCACUCCAAAGUCACUAAUAGUGGAGAACGAACGAAGAGAUUAUGGUAGGGUAUGAAACCACCUCAAAGUUAUUCUUUCCAAUCAAUCCGUUGGGCUAUUCCUAUAAGUGUCACAAACAACCCUAGAGUUUGUACUAGAAUAACACCUUAAGACACAAAUCAACCAAAACCCUAAUGUCACCUAGAUACUCCAAUGUCACCUCAAGUAUCCGUGGGUAUGAUUAUACGAUAUGCAUCACACAAUCUCAGAUUCAUCUAUUCAACCAACACAUAGAACCUCAAAGAGUGCCCUAAAGUUUCUAUCGGAGAAUCACGACGAAACCGUGUGCCAACCCCUAUGCAUAGGUUCAUGGGAGGAACCCGCAAGUUGAUCACCAAAACAUACAUCAAGAGAAUCACGUGGUAUCCCAUUGUCACCACAGAUACGCAUGGCAAGACAUACAUCAAGUGUUCUCAAAUCUUUAAAGACUCAAUCCGAUAAGAUAACUUCAAAGGGAAAACUCAAUCCAUUACAAGAGAGUAGAGGGGGGAGAAAACAUCAUAAGAUCCAACUAUAAUAGCAAACUCACAAUACAUCAAGAUCGUACCACCUCAAGAACACGAGAGAGAGAGAGAGAGAGAGAGAGAGAGAGAGAGAGAGAGAUCAAACACAUAGCUACUGGUACAUACCCUCAGUCCCGAGGGAGAACUACUCCCUCCUCGUCAUGGAGAGCAUCGGGAUGAUGAAGAUGACCACCGAAGAGGGAUUCCCCCUCCGGCAGGGUGCUGGAACGGGUCUCGAUUGUCUUUCGGUGGCAACGAAGGCUUCUGGCGGCAGAACUUCCGAUCUAUUGUGAUCCCCGAUCGUUUUAGGGUAUAUGGGUAUAUAUAGGAGGAAGAAGUACGUCAGGGGAGCCACGAGGGGCCCAUGAGGGUCGAGGGCGUGCCCAGGGGGGUGGGCGCGCGCCCCUACCUCGUGGCUUCCUCGAAGCUUCCUUGACGUGGACUCCAAGUCUCCCGGGUUGCUUUCCUUCCAAAAAUAAGUUCCGUGAAGUUUCAAGUCAAUUGGACUCCGUUUGAUUUUCCUUUUCUGCGAUACUCUAAAACAAGGAAAAAAAAGAAGCUGGCACUGGGUUCUAGGUUAAUAGGUUAGUCCCAAAAAAUCAUAUAAAAUAGCAUAUAAAUGCAUAUGAAACAUCCAAGGUUGAUAAUAUAAUAGCAUGGAACAAUCAAAAAUUAUAGAUACGUUGGAGACGUGUCAACGCCGCGUGGGUCGGGCAUCGUGAGCUUACGGUAGGCAUAAUGUGGUACCGCGUUGAAUUGAGCGAACGCGGUUCGUCUGAGUAGUGCCUGAUAAUCACUGCGAAAGGGGACGAUGUCGAAGAUUAACUCUUCGGCACGGUAAUUGUCUGGUGAUCCGGAGACUACUUCAAGGGCGAAGGAGCCUGUACAGCUGGCCUCCAUACCUGGUAUGAUACCUCUGAAGGUGGUUUUAGUGGGAUUGAUCACCGAAUGAUCGAUGACCAUCUUGCGCACUGUGUCCUAGUAAAGUAGGUUUAGACUGCUCCCUCCGUCCAUAAGGACUCGCGUGAGGUGGAACCCGUCAAUUAUUGGGUCGAGGACUAGUGCGGCUGGAUUGCCCUGAUUGGUGUUAACCGGACGAUCCGUGCGGUUGAAGGUGAUCGGCCCUAGUUUAUAUUGUGGGACGACUGGUUCCGUUAAGUCGACAUCCCUAAGGGUGUGCGUCCGGUCCGGGUUGGGAGUGUAGGUGCCGUUUACUACGUUCACCGUUUGGAUUUGCGGGGGAAAUUUCUUUUGCCCUCCUGUACUCGAUGAUCUGGGCUCCUCGUCGCCAUCGUCGCUUUGAGACCCCUUAUCUUUGUUUUUGGCACCUGACCUGCCGGCUUGUUUGAAGAUCCAGCAUUCUCUGUUGGUAUGAUUGGCUGGUGUUCAUGCGGUGCCAUGAAUUUGGCAUGGGCGGUUGAGUAUGCGGUACAGGCUGGACGGACCCGAAUUUGGCAUGGGAGGGGAAAGCCAGGGUUCGUCCCGUUCGGGUUCGACCCGACCGAGCCACAAACAACGACCGAGCUGGGUGGGCCCGAGUCAGUGGCGUGGCGCGCGCGGGUAUGCCACCAUGUCACCUGACACGUGGGCCCGCUCGGUUAGAUUCAUGGUCAAUACGUGCUUAUACGGCUGUCAAACCGUUUUGCAACACUUAGGCUUAGAGCUGGUACUGAAUUGCAAAAAUUGUGUCUAAUGGUACUGAUUCGUUACGACGUGCCGAAGUGUAGUAGUUUCUUGCAAUUAACUCAAACUCUACGGUUAUAUCACCUCGAUGUGUGAGUCAAUGUGUUUGAACCAAUCAAGAGUUGCAUGUGAAUGUUUCAAGUGUGAUUAAUAGGUCCGUGUUAUAACAGCCACACCUUGCGAAAGAAGAUAGCAAACACCCAAUCAUGUCUAGUAGUUCGAUAUGGGCGCAACUAUGGGUAGCUUAUAGCGACACGGAAGCCAGCGUUUCCUAAAGAAACUCUCGGUUGGGCCGCCCUAGAGACAAAUUAUUUUUCUCUCAUUUUUUCUUAAUAUUAUUUAUUUCUAUUUUAAAAAAUAAAAGUAAAUAUAUUCCACAAACAAAUACUGAAAUUCUGAAAAAAUGUUGGUCCAUUGUUAAAAAAAUAUUGAUAGCAUUAAACAAAUCAUGGUAACAAAAUAAUCUACACAUAUUUAAAAAAUUGUACGUGAAAUUAUAAUGAAUGUUAAAUUUGUUUAAAAAUGUUCCUAAUGUAAUGUACAACAUGAAACAAAUUAUACAUCAAAACAUAUAUUUGAAAAUUGUUAAUUGUUUAUUUGAAAAAUGUUAAAUGUGUAUAGAAAAAAAGGUUCCUGAUAUAUAAGACAAAUGCAUGAAGUACAUGCAAUUUUUUUUACAUCCAAAGAUAUAUUUUAAAAAUAUUAAUCAUGUAUUUUAAAACUGUUAAAUGUUUAUAGAGAAAAAAUGCUCCUGAUGCAUACGAAACAAUUUCCAAUGUGUAUGAAAAAAUUAGACAUGAAAUAAGUAUUUUAAAAAAAAAUUAAUGAUUCUAUUUAAAAAUAUUUCUCAUGUAGAUGGAAAGAAAACUCGACUUAAAAAAGACUCAAAAAGAAAAAGAACGUACAGAGAGCAAAUUAGAAACAACUGAGUGAACUAGCGAUAUGCGAGAACACGUUAAUGGUCCAGCCCAUACAUGAGGACUCCAGAGGUGAGCCUGAAUAGGUGUGAUAUAGCUAUGACGAUUUGACACCCUUCAUAGCUUCACGAAUGCUAUAUCUCGCGCAAAGCGAGAUUAGCAUUUGCCACGCCUGAAGGUGCAAGAAUAGCAUCAGGUCGUUGUAAGGUUUGCAAUCCUACCAUCAGAGCUUCUAUCCGAUUUAAAUCAUGUUUCUGGCAACCUUGGGUCAUUCGCUCGCGCUCAAGCCAUUCGCUCACAGGUUCCACACACUAGUUUGGUUACUUUUUUUUCUUAUUUUCUUUCUUCACCGGUUUUCUUUCAUUUUUUGAAAAAAAAAAUUCAUCGGUUUUCUUUGUGUCUUUCAUGUUUUACUCUUGUUUUCCUUUUUUACUCGUUUAUCUAUCCUUUUUUUUCUUUGUUUCUUUCUCAGUGUUCUUUGUUUAGGGUUUAGGGAUUUCUUUGUUUUCCUUUCUUUUAAUGUCAACCUUUUGACAUAUAUUUUUUGUAUAUAUCAAAAAUAUUUUUGAUAGAGAGGUUUAACAGUUUUCAAAUACAUGAUUACCCUUUUUAAAGUUAUAUUUUUUGACAUCUACUUGUUCCAUAAACAUAGUGAUGGGGUUAUACAUAAGGGAUGGGCCCAAGUACACAUAUGUCCCAGCCAAAGGCCCAGGGUAUUCAAGGAUACGGUCCCAAAGACAAUGGGGCAUUGGAGAUACAAGCCCAAGGCAUCAGAUACAAGGGGAAUACUCGCUAAGGAGUCAAGUGUCUAUAGUCGGAUUACACACCCCCUGACAGACAAGACUCAAUAGUCGGUCAUGAGAAAGAUAUGAGCAGUAAGAUCAUCUACAGUCGGACAUCAGCAAGAUAGGAGCAGUCGGACCAUCUACAGUCGGCUACGUCCUAGGAUGAUGUGACCCUCAUGAUGCAUUCAUCGCCGUUACAUAACUGACUAGUUAAAUACGCCAGUUAGUAUUAAUAAUAGCCACGAACAGUCGAUCAUGCAUGUGACCAUCAAUAGUAUUUACACCAGCCUGUUAUGGCACUCCCUCCUAGCGCACUCCAUAUAAGACAAGAGUAGGACAUCACACGGAGGGUUGAACUCUCUCACAUUGUAACCUACGCCAAGAGCGAGAUCACACAGGAGUAGGGCGUUACCAACACCAUAGAGGGCCCAAACCUAUAUAAUUCCUUGUGUUUAAUCCCAUCUGCUUUACAUACCAAUUAGCUUAUAAUUGCCUCUACAUUCACAUCACCAUAGUAUUGUCAUGGUUAUAUCCAUGACAAGAACUAAUUUUUUUUACAUUAUAUAUAAAAAAAUAAUAUUUUUAGAUGCAUGGUUUCUUCCAUACACAUUAUACAUGUUUGUAUACAUAUCAGGACCAUUUAUAUAUACACAUUAAAAAAACUAAUUACAUGAUUACUUUUUUUAAAAUGUAUACUUUUAUGUCUAAUAUUUUCAUACAUACUGUACAUUUUUUGUACAUCAGGAACCUUUUUAUAUUUACAUUUAACAUUUUCAAAUACAUAAUUAAUAUUUUUUACACAUAUAUUUUUAUAUCUACUUUUCCCUUAAACAUUAUACAUUUUUUUAUACAUCAGGAACAUUUUUUAUAUACCAAUUCAACAGUUUUGAAAUACAUGAUUAACAUGUCUCAUAUAUAUGUUUGUGUCUAUUUUUUCAUACAAAAUAUACAGUUUUUUAUUAAUUAGAAACAUGUUUCUGUACAUGUUUAAUAUUUUCUUAUAAUGCGCAAUUAACAUUUUCAACUUUUCUGUAUAAAGUGAAUUUUACAAUAGAUAUAUUCAGAAUAUUUCAUAAAAAAGGCAAAGUAAAAAAACAAAAAAAAUGCAAAUAUGUGUAAAAGGAAGGAAGAAACCGUAGAAGGCAUGUGUAGGCGCUGUGGCGGCCCAAUAGGUCUGCUGCACAUCCUACUAUCUUGUGUCAAUCGAGACAUAGGCUUGCCCUCUUAAGGAGCAACUAACCAACGGUUACCCCUUGGCGAGCUCCUGCAAGGGUCAUUGUUGUGGUAUGAGAGCACGCCAAGUGGUCCGUCCAACUGCUGUCACAUGUCGUGUGUUAGGUGCUUCCUGUGGAUUUCAUUUUCAUUUUUUAUUUUUUGUACGCGUUUUCGGGUUUCUGAUUGUCUUUUCAAUGGGUUUUGGAUUUCUGCUUUUUCCAUGGUUUUCUCUAGAUCAUGAAAGAAAAAUAUCUUUUUAUUUUCUUAUGAAGCACAACCCUGCUUCUAAAAAAACAAUUUUAUGCUUUCACGAGAAGCACAAUUUUUGUUUCUCAUGUAAUCACAAAAUUGCUUGCAGCAGGCGCACCACAUGUGCUUCCAUGAUUAGCAUAGCUAUGCUUCCACGCGAAUCAAAUAUGUGCUUAUGCUACAAGCACAACCUAUGCUUCCAUAUGCUUCUCGAAAAGAGAAAAGGCACACCCUGUGUUUUCACGAGAAGUACAUUUGUGCAUCCCUGAGAACUGUAGCCUUGCUUCCGUGAGAAGCACAGUCUAUCUAUUACCUAAUAUUAAAAGAUAGAAGAUCUCAUAGUUCUCCAUCAGUCACCUCUUCAUAAACCGUUGGUUUUGUGUUAAUCUUAUAGAUUGACGGCCGAGAUUUAAAAAUAGAUUUGCACAGGAAAAAAAAGAUCCGCAUUGACGAUCCAUCGUAGGUAUCCAUCCAUCCAACUUUCUUUGUUCUGCCCACAUCACGCUUGGUAAAAAAAGAAAAAAAAUCAGAAACCCAUCGAUGCACGAUUGAGUAAGCCGGGAUAAAAAACAGCUCAAUAAAAUAUGGCCAGCCACGCGCGAUCUUAGGAGAAAAAUUGUUUGCCACAUGAUCUAUCUCCUAGCUACGCCGAUCCUCAACGGCGAUCAUGCCAAGAUGUUCGCCAGGAUCCGCAACUCCGUCGACCACUCGGGUGACAUGCCACAGCGACACAACAGGGCAGCAGCGAGUGACAUGGCCGGCUUGCCGGGCCGCGCGCUCUCCGGCUCCAGGUGCGCGCGGCACACCAGACAUGACGCACAUCCAGGUAGUAAUGCAACUGCCCUCGAAGAAGUGAUGCCGGCAUUACACGCACCGCGUUGAGGUUCUGCAGCCACACACUCCACCGACGUUGCCCUCGCCUUGCAGCCGCUCUUCCUCUUACAACUGGUGCUCCUGCAGCCAGUGGCGGAGACAGGGGGGACCAGCAGGGCCCUGGCCCCCCCUAACAGCAGAGAUAUAGUGCUAAUUUGCAGAUGAAUAGUGCUAAAAUUAGUGAUUAAUUUCUGUCAAAUGCAUGUUUUUCAUUGGCUUGGCCCUCCCUAAGCAGUUUUAACAUCAUUCGGCCUGGUUGAUACAAUUUUCCUGGCUCCGCCAUUGCCUCCAACUGCCCCAGCUACCCUGGGGCUGGGGCGACGAUGUCGGCGCCUCGCGCGCUCUGUAGGUGAAGGUGGGGAGCGCGGGGAUGUCCUUGAUGCUCGGCCUGAGGUGGGUUGCCAGAGGCGGGUCGUCGCCGGUGCGGUGGAGCUUGCGCCACUCAGACAAGAGCGACCGGCCAUAGCGGACGGCCACGUACAAUACGACACUGACAAGGACAAUGAUGAUGAUGUACAACAGCAUCAGGAAGGAGAACAACAUGCUCGUCCUUAGGGGACAUGCGCCGACGCGUCCGGCACUCCGACGCAAUGGUGGUGUAUGCGCCGGUCAACAUGCAGUCCAUGCACACGUCGUCAUGGGCGGUGGCGACUCGGCCUACAUCUCCCUCCUGCCCUAUCGGUUCGCCAUUCUCCCGAGCGUCCACAACGCACACUCGCCGGUGGCCGCCACUCUAGAAGUCGAGUCUAGACCGUUCGCCCCAGGGAUCGUAGCUCAGCGCUCAUGGAGCCCUGCUCCAGUGCUCCCCCUAACCUAAUUUUGAAGGAGUAUUUUUGUCCCCGCAAAUUUGUUUUUUUUCUGGCCCGCCGCCGCCCAGAUCCAAGCCCUGUCUAGUCCUGUAUAACCCAGAACGUAUACGUACAGUACCCUGGUUCGAAAAAAAAAACAUCACACGACCCCACGUCCACGUAAGACCUGCCGAAUCCAAUCAUUCACACGAGCAGCUCCAUCAAUCUUGCGAGCAUUGACGCAGCUCCAUAAGUCACGUAGUAGAUCUCCAGCGGCGGCUAUCUCGUCGCCGGCGAUCUCGUCGGACAGCGGGCGCGACAACGUCGUGAAUCUCUAACGAGCGCGCACAGGUACCGCAUCCCGCGUCCCCCCUCUAGUCUCGCUCGCGGCAACAUCGAACGAACUGCCGCCGCCAGUGGUAGUGGUUAACCUAGCGGGGCGGGUAACCUAGCUACCUGGCGGCGCAUGUGAUCGUGGAUCUUGUUCCGGUAGUGCUGCUCCUCGUGAUCUGGGUUCACGUAGCGUCGGUUGCCGUCGGCUGUGCGCACCACUGGUAUCGUUAUUUGAUGUGGCGGCUAACCUAGGUAUCCGACGGCAGAGGUAAUCACAGAUCAAGCUAGGUUUUGAGAUCGUGCAGUUCCUCGCGAUUGAAAGUGAUCGCGACGGGUGCCGUGGCCAUCUUCCUUACUAAGUUGGGCAGAUCUGAACGGCCUCGGUUGCGGUUGUUUACAUAACAUCCGUGAUCGUGUGCUAUGUGUUUUAUAUUUCAUCAUUGAUAAUGUUUGCACAUGUGAUGAUACAUAAUAUUGGUUGUAGGAAAUGGCGGACGAGGAGUUAACUGAUAUCAUGGUAGACAUGGAGUUUGGAGAACUGAUGAAAGACUGGAUAGAAGAUUGGUCAGAUGAUGAAAAUUCAGAUCGUGAAGAUCGGUCAGAGAAUGGGAACGAAUGGGACGAUCUUAUUGUGAGUGGCAUUGUCAUGUUGUAAUUUUUUGGUGGCAUCCGACAACAUUAAAUCUUUGUGUUGAAAAUUUAUAGAUCGAUGAGCUUGAUGAUGAUCAGGAAAACAACUCAGAGCUCUCGAAUGAAGAUUACAUUAGUCAGGUACGUAAGUGAAAAAGAUUGUUGGCAUGCAAAUUGAAUUUCUUCUGGAAUAUUAUAUGAUAAGUAAUUAUGUAUUUGUGUUGUAUUUUUCAGUUCAUUCUCGAAUGUCAUAAUGCGUAUGACUAUUACGGUGAAUCCGACGCGGAGACAGGCCUUAACAACGAAUCAUUAGAUGCACCUGGUUCUGGGGAGUCCGAGUCGUCGGUCAUCAUGAGUGAGGUAUGUGUGUAAUCAAUGUUCUAUGGAAGUAAGUAAUGUUAAACCUUAGAAAUAUGUUUUCAUGGUUGUGGUUUGAUUGUGUAGGUGACACAAAAUGAUGGGGCAAAGAAUGUCCAAGAUACUGCCAGUGCAGAUGAUAAGAGGGAUAUGUUCAUGCAGAUAAUGGAAAUGACCUUUAUGUCUCACGAUGCUGCGUAUGAUUUCUACAACAGCUAUGCUAGAGAUAAUGGUUUCAGCAUUAGAAAGAAUAAGGUCAGGUAUAGCAAAACAGAGUCACGUCAUAUGCGUUAUAGGCGGUUUGUUUGUUCAAGACAAGGGAAACGUGACAGCAAGUUGCUAACCGAGGAAGGACACAGCCGUAGGCUCAGAGCCGAGACACGCUGCUUUUGCGAAGCGCACCUGACCGUCAAGCUUGACCAAAAGCAUGGGGUUUGGUAUGUUGAAAGUUUUGAGGACAAGCAUAGCCAUAUGUUGGCAGGACCGGACGAGGUACCUUUUCUUUGGUCCCACAGAAAAAUCAAAGAGUACCAGAAGCAUGAGAUAAUGUCCACGGCUCGGAGAGCUCGGGAAUCCGGACAUAGUUGGUCCUCAAGAUAGAGGAAAGGUCGCGACAUUGUUCCUCCACCACUGCAAUAUGAUGGGUGACCGGUGGAGAGUUAAUCUCCCUUUGAUCGGGUUUAAGCCCAAUCCGAUCAUAGUCCGUAGCGACUCCCAAGGCGGCGAUGCGAUCCAAGAGCUCGUUUAAGGGGGCGAGCUCCAUUGGAUCCAUCUGUUCGGCGAGUGCCGAUUUGACGUGGAGGCUGUUUUCGAUGACCCGAGAAGUCAUCAUCGGCUCGGCGGCCGAACAUGCGGUCAUGAUGAAACCGCCUAGCCGGAGAGUUUGGCCGACAACCAAAGCUCCCCCAACAGUAGUACCGUCUUUAAAGACGAGACGAGACAUUCUUCCUUCUGGCAACGACACAGAGGAACUCUCAAUGAAAGCUUCAAUGUCGGUGUCAAAACCAGCGGAUCUCGGGUAGGGGGUCCCGAACUAUGCGUCUAAGGCGGAUGGUAACAGGAGGCAGGGAACACGAUGUUUUACCUAGGUUCGGGCCCUCUUGAUGGAGGUAAAGCCCUAUGUCCUGCUUGAUUAAUAUUGAUGAUAUGGGUAGUACAAGAGUAGAUCUACCAGGAGAUCAGAGAGGCUAAACCCUAGAAGCUAGCCUAUGGUAUGAUUGUAUGUUGUCCUACGGACUAAAACCCUCCGGUUUAUAUAGACACCGGAGGGGGCUAGGGUUACACAAGGUCGGUUACAAAGGAGAAGAUGUACAUAUCCGUAUUGCCUAGCUUGCCUUCCACGCCAAGUAGAGUCCCAUCCGGACACGAGACGAAGUCUUCAAUCUUGUAUCUUCAUAGUCCAACAGUCCGGUCAAAGGAUAUAAUCCGGCUGUCCGGAGCCCCUAAUUCAGGACUCCCUCAGGCCCCCUGUUGCUCCACCGACGUACUCCUUCCUCCUAUAUAUACCUAUGUACCCCCAAAUGAUCAGAUACGGAGCCAAAACCCUAAUUCCACCGUCGUAACUUUCUGUAUCCACCGCCGGAGGGGGCAUCGAUCAUGGAGGGCUUCUACAUCAACACCAUAACCUCUCCGAUGAAGUGUGAGUAGUUUACCUCAGACCUACGGGUCCAUAGUUAGUACCUAGAUGGCUUCUUCUCUCUUUUUGGAUAUCAAUACAAUGUUCUCCCCCUCUCUUGUGGAGAUCUAUUCGAUGUAAUCUUCUUUUUGCGGUGUGUUUGUUGAGACCGAUGAAUUGUGGGUUUAUGAUCAAGUCUAUCUAUGAAUAAUAUUUGAAUCUUCUCUGAAUUCUUUUAUGUAUGAUUGGUUAUCUUUGCAAGUCUCUUCGAAUUAUCAGUUUGGUUUGUCCUACUAGAUUGAUCUUUCUUGCAAUGGGAGAAGUGCUUAGCUUUGGGUUCAAUCUUGCGAAGUCCUUUCCCGGUGACAGUAGGUGCAGCAAGGCACGUAUUGUAUUGUUGCCAUCGAGGAUAACAAGAUGGGGUUUUCUUCAUAUUGCAUGAGUCUAUCCCUCUACAUCAUGUCAACUUGCUUAAGGCGUCACUCUAUUUUUAACUUAAUACUCUAGAUGCAUGCUGGAUAGCGGUCCAAGAGUGGAGUAAUAGUAGUAGAUGCAGGCAGGAGUCGGUCUACUUGUCUCGGAUGUGAUGCAUAUAUACAUGAUCAUACCUAGAUAUUCUCAUAACUAUGCUCAAUUCUGUCAAUUGCUCAACAGUAAUUUGUUCACCCACCGUAGAAUACUUAUGCUCCCGAGAGAAGCCACUAGUGAAACCUAUGGCCCCCGGGUCUAUCUUUAUCAUAUUAAUCUCCUACCACUUAGUUAUUUCCUUUGCUAUUUACUUUGCCUUUAUUUUACUUUGCAUCUUUAUCAUAAAAAUACCAAAAAUAUUAUCUUUAUCAUAUCUAUCAUAUCUCACUCUCGUAAGUGGCCUUAUAGGGAUUGACAACCCCUAUUUGCGUUGGUUGCGAGGAUUUAUUUGUUUUGUGCAGGUACGAGGGACUCGCGUGCAGCCUCCUACUGGAUUGAUACCUUGGUUCUCAAAAACUGAGGGAAAUACUUACGCUACUUUGUUGCAUCAUCACUUCCUCUUCGGGGAAAACCAACACAGUGCUCAAGAGGUAGCAAGAAGGAUUUCUGGCGCCGUUGCCGGGGAGGUCUACGCAAAAGUCAACAUACCAAGUACCCAUCACAUACCCUUAUCUCCCGCAUUACAUUAUUUGCCAUUUGCCUCUCGUUUUCCUCUCACCCACUUCACCCUUGCUGUUUUAUUCGCCCUCUCUCUCUCUAUCCUCCCUCUCUUUCUCUAUUUGCCUCUUUUUGCCCGCUUGCUUUUUGUUUGCUUGUGUGUUAGUUUGUUUGCUUGUCGUUAUGGCUAGUCCCUUACCUUCUCCGUUGUCUCCCAAGAAUGAAAUUUUAAAUUUUAAGCAAAGGGAGGGAGAAAAUCUAAAAGAUGCUUCGUAUAGAAUUUGCAAUGCUCAAAAUAGAUCAACUAGGAAGCAAUCUACUUCCGUUCUUCUUUGCAAUUUUUAUGUAGGCAUUACUCCUUGGCACCGUUAUGUUCUUGAUACUAUUACCGGAGGGAACUUUUUGGGUAGCCAUACUUUUGAUUCUUAAAAUGCUAUGUUAGAUUUAUUUGUUUCACCCCCUCUCUUGGUUAAUGGAACUAUAUUAACUUUGGAGCAUGUAAUGCAACGGCUUGAAAUUAUUGAAAAUAAGGUUGCUACCAUAGAAUUAAUUGAAAAUUUGGAUAUGGAUCUAAAGUAGGAGUUACUUUGAAAGAUAUUAAAGAAAAGGAACCCAUAGUUAAUGAGAAAAUAAAUCAUGAUUCCACUAGGAUCGAUAAACUUGAAGGUAUUAUUACCAACUUGGGAACCGCUUUUUCUUCUGUAAAGAAUACUCCAAGUCCUCCCAGUAAAAUUACCAAGCUUAUGUAUGUUCCUAAAAAUAAGGGUGAAUCCUCUAGUAAGGAAAAUGCGGAUCUCAAAUCUAGAAGUAUUCAUCCCAAUCUUUUUACUAUCAUUAAGGAACCAUUUGUUACAAAUGAGUUUUUUGAUGUUGUGCCUAAAAGUUUGAUAAUUAAUAAAAAGAAAGAAAUUCCUAAAGAUGGUAGAUGCCUCAUUGAAUAAUUACCUACCAAAGAUGGCAAUACUUAGAUCUAUCCCUGCUUGUUAUGCCUAGCUAGGGGCGUUAAACGAUAGCGCUUGUUGGGAGGCAACCCAAUUUUAUUUUUAUUCCUUGAGUUUUGCUCCUGUUUAGUAAUAGAUAAUUAUCUAGCCUCUGUUAUGAUUGUGUUUUUUGUGUUUAAAUUAGUGUUUGUGCCAAGUAGAACCGUUGGGAAGACUUGGGGAAAGUCUUGUUGAAUUUGCUGUAAAAACAGAAACUUUAGCGCUCACAAGAACUGCUGUCAUUUUUAUUUGAAAAGUGAUAUUUAGUUCAUUCUUUUUGCAUAUGAUUAAUAUAUAAAUUCCUCACGUCCAGAAAAUUAUUUUAGAAUUUUUGGGGUUCCAUAUCUUGCGCUAGCUACAGAUUACUACAGACUGUUCUGUUUUUGACAGAUUCUGUUUUUCGUGUGUUGUUUGCUUAUUUUGAUGAAUCUAUGGCUAGUAAAAUGGUUUAUAAACCAUAGAUAAGUUGGAAUACAGUAGGUAUAACACAAAUAUAAAUAAAUAAUGAGUUCAUUACAGUACUUUGAAGUGGUCUUUUAUUUUCUUUCGCUAACGGAGCUCACGAGAUUCUCUACUUUAAGUUUUGUGUUGUGAAGUUUUCAAGUUUUGGGUAAAGAUUUGAUGGAUUAUGGAACAAGGAGUGGCAAGAGCCUAAGCUUGGGGAUGACCAUGGCACCCCCAAGAUAAUCUAAGGACACCUAAAAGCCAAAGCUUGGGGAUGCCCCGGAAGGCAUCCCCUCUUUCGUCUACUUCUAUCGGUAACUUUACUUGGAGCUAUAUUUUUAUUCGCCACAUGAUAUGUGUUUUGCUUGGAGCGUCUUGUAUGAUUUGAGUCUUUUCUUGUUAAUUUACCACAAUCAUCCUUGCUGUACACACCUUUUGAGAGAGCCAUACAUUAUUUGGAAUUUCUUAGAAUACUCUAUGUGCUUCGCUUAUAUCUUUUGAGUUAUAUAAUUUUGCUCUAGUACUUCGCUUAUAUCUUUUAGAGCACGGUGGUGGAUUUGUUUUAUAUAAACUAUUGAUCUCUCAUGCUUCACUUAGAUCAUUUUUGAGAGUCUUAAUAGCAUGUUAAUUUGCUUAAAAUCCUAAUAUGCUAGGUAUUCAAAGUUAGUAAAAUUUCCUUAAGAGUGUUUUGAAUACUAAAGUUUGAUGCUUGAUGAUUGUUUUGAGAUAUGGAGAUAAUAAUAUCAAAGUCGUGCUAGUUGAGUAGUUGUGAAAUUGAGAAAUACUUGUGUUGAAGUUUGCAAGUCCCGUAGCAUGCACGUAUGGUAAACGUUAUGGAACAAAUUUGAAAGAUGAGGUGUUAUUUGAUUGUCUUCCUUAUGAGUGGCGGUCGGGGACGAGCGAUGGUCUUUUCCUACCAAUCUAUCCCCCUAGGAGCAUGCGCGUAGUACCGAGGUUUUUGAUGACUUGUAGAUUUUUGCAAUAAGUAUGUGAGUUCUUUAUGACUAAUGUUGAGUCCAUGGAUUAUACGCACUCUCACCCUUCCAUCCUUGCUUGCCUCUUCGGUACCGUGCAUUGCCCUUUCUCACAUUGAGAGUUGGCGCAAAGUUCGCCGGUGCAUCCAAACCCCGUGAUAUGAUACGCUCUUUCACACAUAAACCUCCUUAUAUCUUCCUCAAAACAGCCACCAUACCUACCUAUUAUGGCAUUUCCAUAGCCAUUCCGAGAUAUAUUGCCAUGCAACUUUCCAUCAUCCCGUUCAUCAUCACACAUUCAUUAUUGUCAUAUUGCUUAGCAUGAUCAUGUAGUUGAUAUAGUAUUUGUGGCAAACCCACCGUUCAUAAUUCUUUCAUACAUGUCACUCUUGGUCCAUUGCAUAUCCCGGUACACCGCCGGAGGCAUUCAUAUAGAGUCAUAUUUUGUUCUAAGUAUCGAGUUGUAAUUGUUCAGUUGUAAGAAAAAUGAAAGUGUGAUGAUCAUCAUUAUUAGAGCAUUGUCCCAGUGAGGAAAGGAUGAUGGAGACUAUGAUUUCCCCACAAGUCGGGAUGAGACUCCGGACGAAAAAAAAAGAAAAAAAGAGGCCAUAAAAAAAGAGAAAAGGCCCAAAUAAAAAAAGAGAGAGAAAAAGAGAGAAGGGACAAUGUUACUAUCCUUUUACCACACUUGUGCUUCAAAGUAGCACUAUGAUCUUCAUAGUAGAGAGUCUCUCAUGUUAUCACUUUCAUAUACUAGUGGGAAUUUUUCAUUAUAGAACCUGGCUUGUAUAUUCCAAUGAUGGGCUUCCUCAAGUGCCCUAGGUCUUCGUGAUCAAGCAAGUUGGAUGCACACCCACUAGUUUCUUUUGUUGAGCUUUCAUACAUUUAUAGCUCUAGUGCAUCCAUUGCAUGGCAAUCCCUACUUCUUGCAUUAACAUCAAUCGGUGGGCAUCUCCAUAGCCCAUUGAUUAGCCUCGUUGAUGUGAGACUUUCUCCUUUUUUGUCUUCUCCACAUAACCCCCCUCAUUAUAUUCUAUUCCACCCAUAGUGCUAUGUCCAUGGCUCGCGCUCAUAUAUUGCGUGAAAGUUUAUAGGUUUGAGAUUACUAAAGUAUGAAACAAUUGCUUGGCUUGUCAUCGGGGUUGUGUAUGAUGAGAGCAUUCUUGUGUGACGAAAAUGAAACCUGACUAAACCAUAUGAUUUUGUAGGGAUGAACUUUCUUUGGCCAUGUUAUUUUGAGAAAACAUAAUUGUUUAGUUAGUAUGCUUGAAGUAUUAUUAUUUUUAUGUCAAUAUGAACUUUUGUCUUGAAUCUUUCGAAUCUAAAUAUUCAUACCACAAUUAAGAAGAAUUACAUUAAAAUUGUGCCAAGUAGCACUCCGCAUCAAAAAUUCCGUUUUUUUCAUUUACCUACUCAAGGACGAGCAGGAAUUAAGCUUGGGGAUGCUUGAUACGUCUCCAACGUAUCUACAAUUUUUGAUUGCCCCAUGCUAUAUUAUCUACUGUUUUGGACAUUACUAGGCUUUAUUAUCCACUUUUAUAUUAUUUUUGGGACUAACCUAUUAACCGGAGGCCCAGCCCAGAAUUGUUGUUUUUUUGCCUGUUUUAGGGUUUCGAAGAAAAGGAAUAUCAAACGGAGUCCAAACGGAAUGAAACCUUCGGGAACGUGAUUUUUAGGAAGAUUAUGAUCCGGGAGACUUGGACCCUAUGUCAAGAAAAGAAACAGGAGGCCACGAGGUAGGGGGCGCGCCCCCCCCCCCCCCCCCAGGCACACCCUCCACCCUCGUGGGCCCCCUGUUUCUCCACCGACGUACUCCUUCCUCCUAUAUAUACCUAUGUACCCCCAAACGACCAGAUACGGAGCAAAAACCCUAAUUCCACUUCCGUAACUUUCUGUAUCCACGAGAUCCCAUCUUGGGGCCUGUUCCGGAGCUCCGCCGGAGGGGGCAUCGAUCACGGAGGGCUUCUACAUCAACACCAUAGCCUCCCCAAUGAAGUGUGAGUAGUUUACCUCAGACCUAUGGGUCCAUAGUUAGUACUUAGAUGGCUUCUCCUCUCUUUUUGGAUCUCAAUACAAUGUUCUCCCCCUCUCUUCUGGAGAUCUAUUCGAUGUAAUCUUCUUUUUGCGGUGUGUUUGUUGAGAUCGAUGAAUUGUGGGUUUAUGAUCAAGUCUAUCUAUGAAUAAUAUUUGAAUCUUCUCUGAAUUCUUAUGUAUGAUUGGUUAUCUUUGCAAGUAUCUUCGAAUUAUCAGUUUGGUUUGGCCUACUAGAUUGAUCUUUCUUGCAAUGGGAGAAGUGCUUAGCUUUGGGUUCAAUCUUGUGGUGUCCUUUCCCAGUGAGAGUAGGGGCAGCAAGGCACGUAUUGUAUUGUUGCCAUCGAGGAUAACAAGAUGGGGUUUUCUUCAUAUUGCAUGAGUCUAUCCCUCUACAUCAUGUCAUCUUGCUUAAGGCGUUACUCUGUUUUUAACUUAAUACUCUCGAUGCAUGCUGGAUAGCGGUCGAUGAGUGGAGUAAUAGUAGUAGAUGCAGGCAGGAGUCGGUCUACUUGUCCCGGACGUGAUGCCUAUAUACAUGAUCAUACCUAGAUAUUCUCAUAACUAUGCUCAAUUCUGUCAAUUGCUCAACAGUAAUUAGUUCAACCACCGUAGAAUACUUAUGCUCUUGAGAGAAGCCACUAGUGAAACCUAUGGCCCCCGGGUCUAUCUUUAUCAUAUUAAUCUCCUACUACUUAGUUAUUUCCUCUGCUAUUUACUUUGCCUUUAUUUUACUUUGCAUGUUUAUCAUAAAAAUACCAAAAAUAUCAUCUUUAUCAUAUUUAUCAGAUCUCACUCUCGUAAGUGGCCUUAUAGGGAUUGACAACCCCUGUUUGUGUUGGUUGCGAGGAUUUAUUUGUUUUGUGUAGGUACGAGGGACUCACGCAUAGCCUCCUACUGGAUUGAUACCUUGGUUCUCAAAAAAUGAGGGAAAUACUUACGCUACUUUGUUGCAUCAUCCCUUCCUCUUCGGGGAAAACCAACGCAGUGCUCAAGAGGUAGCAGAUAGGCAUCCAAGAUGGGUAUAAUAAAAACUAUCAUAAAAAGUGCAUUGAAUACUAUGAGAAGUGUGAUACUUGAUGAUUGUUUUGAGAUAUCAAGAUGGUGAUAUUAGAGUCAUGCUAGUUGAGUAAUUGUGAAUUUGAGAAAUACUUGUUCUAAAGUUUGUGAUUCCCCUAGCAUGGACAUAUGGUGAACCGUUAUGUGAUGAAGUCAGAGCAUGAUUUUUUAUUGAUUGUCUUCCUUAUGCGUGGCGGUCAGGGACGAGGCGAUGGUCUUUUCCUACCAAUCUACCCCCCUAGGAGCAUGCAAUGCACGUAGUACUUUGUUUCGAUAACUAAUAGAUUUUUGCAAUAAAUAUGUGAGUUCUUUAUGACUAAUGUUGAGUCCAUGGAUUAUACGCACUCUCACCCUUCCACCAUUGCUAGCCUCUCUAAUAUUGUGCACCUUUCGCUGGUAUCAUACAUCUACCAUAUACCUACCUCAAAACAGCCACCAUACCUACCUAUUAUGGAAUUUCCAUAGCCAUUCCGAGAUAUAUUGCCAUGCAACUUUCCACCGUUCCGUUUGUUAUGACACGCUUCAUCGUUGUCAUAUUUCUUUGCAUGAUCAUGUAGUUGACAUCGUAUUUGUGGCAAAGCCAUCUUUAUAAUUCUUUCAUACAUGUCUGUUGGGGAACGUUGCAGAAAACAAAAAUUUUCCUACAGUUUCACCAAGAUCCAUCUAUGAGUUCAUCUAGCAACGAGUGAUCGGAUAGCAUCUACAUACCUUUGUAGAUCACGCGCGGAAGCGUUCAAAGAAUGGGGAUGAGAAAUUCGUACUCGACGUGAUCCAAAUCACCGGAGAUCCUAGCGCCGAACGGACGGCACCUCCGCGUUCACGUACGGUCAGCGUGACGUCUCCUCCUUCUUGAUCCAGCAAGGGGGAAGGAGAGGUUGAGGAAGAUGGCUCCAGCAGCAGCACGACGGCGUGGUGGUGGUGGAGCAGCAGUACUCCGGCAGGGCUUCGCCAAGCUCGUGACGGAGGAGGAAAUGUGUUGGGGAGGGGAGGGGCUGUGCCUUGGAUGUCCUCUGCAGCCCUUCCCUCACCCCUCUAUUUAUAGGGGAAGGAGGAAGGGGGCCGGCCCCCUCUAGAUGAGAUCUAGAGGGGGGGCGGCGGCCAAGGGGAGGGGGGCUUGCCCCCCAAGCAAGGGGCGCACCCCCUUAGGGUUUCCCCCAACCCUAGGCGCAUGGGCCGUAGGGGGAGUGUGUUGGGUUUCGUUGUAAUUUCAAAAAAAUUCCUACGCACACGCAAGAUCAUGUGAUGCAUAGCAACGAGAGGAGAGUGUGAUCUACAUACCUAGUAGAUCGACAACGGAAGCGUUUGGUUGAUGUAGUCGUACGUCUUCACGAUCCAACCGAUCAAGCACCGAAACUACGUCACCUCCGAGUUCGAGCACACGUUCAGCUCGAUCACGAUCCCCGGACUCCGAUCCAGCAAAGUGUCGGGGAAGAGUUCCGUCAGCACGACGGCGUGGUGACGAUCUUGAUGCACUAUAGCAGCAGGGCUUGGCCUAAACUCCGCUACAGUAUUAUCGAGGACUAUGGUGGCUGGGGCGCCGCACACGGCUAAGGAAUAGAUCACGUGGAUCAACUUGUGUGUUUCUGGGGUGCCUCUGCCUCAGUAUAUAAAGGACCAAAGGGGGGAGGCUGGCCGGCCACAUAGGGCGCGCCAGGAGAGUCCUACUCCCUCUGGGAGUAGGAUCCCCCCCCCAAUCCUAGUUGGAAUAGGAUUCGCGGAGGGGGAAAAGAGAGAGGGGAGGCUGGCCACCUCUCCUUCUCCUAAUAGGACUAGGGGAGGGAGGGAGGCGCGCAUCCCAUCUUGGGCAGCCCCUUCUCUUUUCCGCCAAGGCCCACUAAGGCCCAUAUAGCUCGCGGGGGGUUCCGGUAACCUCCCGGUACUCCGGUAAAAUCCCGAUUUCACCCGGAACACUUCCGAUAUCCAAACAUAGGCUUCCAAUAUAUCAAUCUUUAUGUAUCGACCAUUUCGAGACUCCUCGUCAUGUUCGUGAUCACAUCCGGGACUCCGAACAACCUUCGGUACAUCAAAAUGCAUAAACUCAUAAUAUAAUUGUCAUCGUAACCUUAAGCGUGCGGACCCUACGGGUUCGAGAACAAUGUAGACAUGACCGAGACACAUCUCCAGUCAAUAACCAAUAGCGGGACCUGGAUGCCCAUAUUGGCUCCUACAUAUUCUACGAAGAUCUUUAUCGGUCAGACCGCAUAACAACAUACGUUGUUCCCUUUGUCAUCGGUAUGUUACUUGCCCGAGAUUCGAUCGUCGGUAUUCCAAUACCUAGUUCAAUCUCGUUACCGGCAAGUCUCUUUACUCGUUCUGUAAUACAUCAUUCCGCAACUAACUCAUUUAGUUGCAAUGCUUGCAAGGCUUAAGUGAUUUGCAUUACCGAGAGGGCCCAGAGAUACCUCUCCGACAAUCGGAGUGACAAAACCUAAUCUCGAAAUACGCCAACCCAACAUGUACCUUUGGAGACACCUGUAAUACUCCUUUAUAAUCACCCAGUAACGUUGUAACGUUUGGUAGUACCCAAAGUGUUCCUCCGGUAAACGGGAGUUGCAUAAUCUCAUAGUUAUAGGAACAUGUAUAAGUCAUGAAGAAAGCAAUAGCAACAUAUUAAACGAUCGGGUGCUAAGCUAAUGGAAUGGGUCAUGUCAAUCAGAUCAUUCUCUUAAUGAUGUGAUCCCUUUAAUCAAAUAACAACUCAUUGUUCAUGGUUAGGAAACAUAACCAUCUUUGAUUAACGAGCUAGUCAAGUAGAGGCAUACUAGUGACACUUUGUUUGUCUAUGUAUUCACACAUGUAUUAUGUUUCCGGUUAAUACAAUUCUAGCAUGAAUAAUAAACAUUUAUCAUGAUUAUAAGGAAAUAAAUAAUAACUUUAUUAUUGCCUCUAGGGCAUAUUUCCUUCAGUCUCCCACUUGCACUAGAGUCAAUAAUCUAGAUUACACUGUAAUGAUUCUAACACCCAUGGAGCCCUGGUGUUGAUCAUGUUUUGCUCGUGGAAGAGGCUUAGUCAACGGGUCUGCAACAUUCAGAUCCGUAUGUAUCUUGCAAAUUCUAUGUCUCCCACCUGGACUAGAUCCCGGAUGGAAUUGAAGCGUCUCUUGAUAUGCUUGGUUCUCUUGUGAAAUCUGGAUUCCUUUGCCAAGGCAAUUGCACCAGUAUUGUCACAAAAGAUUUUCAUUGGACCCGAUGCACUAGGUAUGACACCUAGAUCGGAUAUGGACUCCUUCAUCCAGACUCCUUCGUUCGCUGCUUCCGAAGCAGCUAUGUACUCCGCUUCACAUGUAGAUCCCGCUACGACGCUUUGUUUAGAACUGCACCAACUGACAGCUCCACUGUUCAAUGUAAACACAUAUCCGGUUUGCGAUUUAGAAUCGUCCGGAACAGUGUCAAAGCUUGCAUCAACGUAACCAUUUACGACGAGCUCUUUGUCACCUCCAUAUACGAGAAACAUAUCCUUAGUCCUUUUCAUGUAUUUUAGGAUGUUCUUGACGGCUGUCCAGUGAUCCACUCCUGGAUUACUUUGGUACCUCCCUGCUAGACUUAUAGCAAGGCACACAUCAGGUCUGGUACACAGCAUUGCAUACAUGAUAGAUCCUAUCGCUGAUGCAUAGGGAACAUCUUUCAUAUUCUCUCUAUCUUCUGCAGUGGUCGGGCAUUGAGUCUUACUCAAUUUCACACCUUGUAACACAGGCAAGAAUCCUUUCUUUGCUUGAUCCAUUUUGAACUUCUUCAAAAUUUUGUCAAGGUAUGUUGUUUGUGAAAGUCCAAUUAAGCGUCUUGACCUAUCUCUAUAGAUCUUUAUGCCUAAUAUGUAAGCAGCUUCACCGAGGUCUUUCAUUGAAAAACUCUUAUUCAAGUAUCCCUUUAUGCUAUCCAGAAAUUCUAUAUCAUUUCCAAUCAGUAAUAUGUCAUCCACAUAUAAUAUCAGAAAUGCUACAGAGCUCCCACUCACUUUCUUGUAAAUACAGGCUUCUUCGAAAGUCUGUAUAAAAUAAAAUGCUUUGAUCACACUAUCAAAGCAUUUAUUCCAACUCCGAGAGGCUUGCACCAGUCCAUAAAUGGAUCGCUGGAGCUUGCACACUUUGUUAGCUCCUUUUGGAUCGACAAAACCUUCUGGUUGCAUCAUAUACAACUCUUCUUCCAGAAAUCCAUUCAGGAAUGCAGUUUUGACAUCCAUUUGCCAAAUUUCAUAAUCAUAAAAUGCGGCAAUUGCUAACAUGAUUCGGACAGACUUAAGCAUCGCUACGGGUGAGAAGGUCUCAUCGUGGUCAACCCCUUGAACUUGUCGAAAACCUUUUGCGACAAGUCGAGCUUUGUAGACAGUAACAUUACCGUCAGCGUCAGUCUUCUUCUUGAAGAUCCAUUUAUUCUCAAUUGCUUACCGAUCAUCGGGCAAGUCAACCAAAGUCCAUACUUUGUUCUCAUACAUGGAUCCCAUCUCAGAUUUCAUGGCUUCAAGCCAUUUUGCGGAAUCUGGGCUCACCAUCGCUUCUUCCUAGUUCGCAGGUUCAUCAUGAUCUAGUAGCAUGACUUCCAGAACAGGAUUACCGUACCACUCUGGUGCGGAUCUUACUCUGGUUGAUCUAUGAGGUUCAGCAGUAUCUUGAUCUGAAGUUUCAUGAUCAUUAUCAUUAGCUUCCUCACUAACUGGUGUAGGUGUCACUGAAACAAUUUUCUGUGAUGUACUACUUUCCAAUAAGGGAGCAGGUACAGUUACCUCGUCAAGUUCUACUUUCCUCCCACUCACUUCUUUCGAGAGAAACUCCUUCUCUAGAAAGUUUCCGAAUUUAGCAACAAAAGUCUUGCCUUCGGAUCUGUGAUAGAAGGUGUGUCCAAUAGUUUCCUUUGGAUAUCCUAUGAAAACACAUUUCUCUGAUUUGGGUUCGAGCUUAUCAGGUUGAAGCUUUUUCACAUAAGCAUCGCAGCCCCAAACUUUCAGAAACGACAACUUUGGUUUCUUGCCAAACCACAGUUCAUAAGGCGUCGUCUCAACGGAUUUUGAUGGUGCCCUAUUUAAAGUGAAUGCGGCCGUCUCUAGAGCGUAUCCCCAAAAUGAUAGUGGUAAAUCAGUAAGAGACAUCAUAGAUCGCACCAUAUCUAGUAAAGUACGAUUACGACGUUCGGACACACCAUUACGCUGUGGUGUUCCGGGCGGCGUGAGUUGCGAAACUAUUCCACAAUUUUUCAAAUGUACACCAAACUCGUAACUCAAAUAUUCUCCUCCACGAUCAGAUCGUAGAAACUUUAUUUUCUUGUUACGAUGAUUUUCAACUUCACUCUGAAAUUCCUUGAACCUUUCAAAUGUUUCAGACUUAUGUUUCAUUAAGUAGAUAUACCCAUAUCUGCUUAAAUCAUCUCUGAAGGUGAGAAAAUAACGAUAUCCGCCACGAGCCUCAAUAUUCAUCGGACCACAUACAUCUGUAUGUAUGAUUUCCAACAAAUCUGUUGCUCUCUCCAUAGUACCGGAGAACGGUGUUUUGGUCAUCUUGCCCAUAAGGCACGGUUCGCAAGUACUAAGUGAUUCAUAAUCAAGUGGUUCCAAAAGUCCAUCAGAAUGGAGUUUCUUCAUGCGCUUUACACCGAUAUGACCUAAACGGCAGUGCCACAAAUAAGUUGCACUCUAAUUAUCAACUCUGCAUCUUUUGGCUUCAACAUUAUGAAUAUGUGUGUUACUACUAUCGAGAUUCAACAAGAAUAGACCACUCUUCAAGGGUGCAUGACCAUAAAAGAUAUUACUCAUAUAAAUAGAACAACCAUUAUUCUCUGAUUUAAAUGAAUAACCGUCUCGCAUCAAACAAGAUCCAGAUAUAAUGUUCAUGCUUAACGCUGGCACCAAAUAACAAUUAUUUAGGUCUAACACUAAUCCCGAAGGUAGAUGUAGAGGUAGUGUGCCGACUGCGAUCACAUCGACUUUGGAACCGUUUCCCACGCGCAUCGUCACCUCGUCCUUAACCAAUCUUCGCUUGAUCCGUAGUCCCUGUUUCGAGUUGCAAAUAUUAGCAACAGAACCAGUAUCAAAUACCCAGGUGCUACUGCAAGCAUUAGUAAGGUACACAUCAAUAACAUGUAUAUCACAUAUACCUUUGUUCACCUUGCCAUCCUUCUUAUCCACCAAAUACUUGGGGCUGUUCCGCUUCCAGUGACCAGUCUGCUUGCAAUAGAAACACUCAGUUUCAGGCUUAGGUCCAGGUUUGGGUUUCUUCUCUUGAGUAGCAACUUGCUUGCCGUUCUUUUUGAAGUUCCCCUUCUUCUUCCCUUUGCCCUUUUUAUUGAAACUAGUGGUCUUGUUGACCAUCAACACUUGAUGCUCCUUCUUGAUUUCUACCUCCGCGGCUUUCAGCAUCACGAAGAGCUCGGGAAUAGUCUUGUUCAUCCCUUGCAUAUUAUAGUUCAUCACGAAGCUCUUGUAGCUUGGUGGCAGUGAUUGAAGAAUUCUGUCAAUGACGCGAUCAUCUGGAAGAUUAACUCCCAAUUGAAUCAAGUGAUUAUUAUACCCAGACAUUUUGAGUAUAUGCUCACUGACAGAACUGUUCUCCUCCAUCUUGCAGCUAUAGAACUUAUUGGAGACUUCAUAUCUCUCAAUCCGGGCAUUUGCUUGAAAUAUUAACUUCAACUCCUGGAACAUCUCAUAUGCUCCAUGACGUUCAAAACAUCGUUGAAGUCCCGAUUCUAAGCCGUAAAGCAUGGCACACUGAACUAUCGAGUAGUCAUCAGCUUUGCUCUGCCAGACAUUCAUAACAUCCGGCGUUGCUCCUGCAGCAGGGCUGGCACCCAGCGGUGCUUCCAGGACGUAAUUCUUCUGUGCAGCAAUGAGGAUAAUCCUCAAGUUAUGGACCCAGUCCGUGUAAUUGCUACCAUCAUCUUUCAACUUUGCUUUCUCAAGGAACGCAUUAAAAUUCAACGGAACAACAGCACGAGCCAUCUAUCUACAAUCAAACAUAAACAAGAAAGAUACUAAUCAGGUACUAAGUUUCAUGAUAAAUUUAAGUUCAGUUAAUCAAAUUAAUUAAAGAACUCCCACUUAGAUAGACAUCCCUCUAAUCCUCUAAGUGAUUACGUGAUCCAAAUCAACUAAACCAUAACCGAUCAUCACGUGAGAUGGAGUAGUUUUCAAUGGUGAACAUCGUUAUGUUGAUCAUAUCUACUAUAUGAUUCACGCUCGACCUUUCGGUCUCCGUGUUCCGAGGCCAUAUCUGUAUAUGUUGGCUCGUCAAGUAUAACCUGAGUAUUCCGCGUGUGCAACUAUUUUGCACCCGUUGUAUUUGAACAUAGAACCUAUCACACCCGAUCAUCACGUGGUGUCUCAGCAUGAAGAACUUUCGCAACGGUGCAUACUCAGGGAGAACACUUCUUGAUAAUUUAGUGAGAGAUCAUCUUAUAAUGCUACCAUCAAUCAAAGCAAGAUAAGAUGCAUAAAAGGAUAAACAUCACAUGCAAUCAAUAUAAGUGAUAUGAUAUGAGCAUCAUCAUCUUGUGCUUGUGAUAUCCAUCUCCGAAGCACCGUCGUGAUCAGCAUCGUCACCGGCGUGACACCUUGAUCUCCAUCGUAGCAUCGUUGUCGUCUCGCCAAGCUUGUGCUUCUACGACUAUCGCUACCGCUUAGUGAUAAAAGCAAAGCAUUACAUCGCGAUUGCAUUCCAUACAAUAAAACGACAACCAUAAGGCUCCUGCCAGUUGCCGAUAACUCGGUUACAAAACAUGAUCAUCUCAUACAAUAAAAUUCAGCAUCAUGUCUUGACCAUAUCACAUCACAACAUGCCCUGCAAAAACAAGUUAGACGUCCUCUACUUUGUUGUUGCAAGUUUUACGUGGCUGCUAUGGGCUUAAGCAAGAACCAAUCUUACCUACGCAUCAAAACUACAACGAUAGUUUGUCAAUUUGACUCCGUUUUAACCUUCGCAAGGACCGGGCGUAGCCAUACUCGGUUCAACUAAAGUUGGAGAGACAGUCGCCCGCAAGCCACCUAUGUGCAAAGCACGUCGGGGGAACCGGUCUCGCGUAAGCGUACGCGUAAUGUUGGCCGGGUCGUCUCGUCCAACAAUGCCGCCGAACCAAAGUAUGACAUGCUGGUAGGCAGUAUGACUUAUAUCGCCCACAACUCACUUGUGUUCUACUCGUGCAUAUAACAUCAACAUAAAUAACCUAGGCUCGGAUGCCACUGUUGGGUUUCGUAGUAAUUUCAAAAAAAUUCCUAUGCACACGCAAGAUCAUGUGAUGCAUAGCAAUGAGAGGAGAGUGUGAUCUACAUACCUAGUAGAUCGACAACGGAAGCAUUUGGUUGAUGUAGUCGUACGUCUUCACGAUCCAACCGAUCAAGCACCGAAACUACGGCACCUCCGAGUUUGAGCACACGUUCAGCUCGAUGACGAUCUCCGGACUCUGAUCCAGCAAAGUGUCGGGGAAGAGUUCCGUCAGCACGACGGCAUGGUGACGAUCUUGAUGCACUACAGCAGCAGGGCUUCGCCUAAACUCCGCUACAGUAUUAUCGAGGACUAUGGUGGCUGGGGCGCCGCACACGGCUAAGGAAUAGAUCACGUGGAUCAACUUGUGUGUUUCUGGGGUGCCUCUGCCUCAGUAUAUAAAGCACCAAAGGGGGGAGGCUGGCCGGCCACAUAGGGCGCGCCAGGAGAGUCCUACUCCCUCUGGGAGUAGGAUUCCCCCCCCCCCCAAUCCUAGUUGGAAUAGGAUUCGCGGAGGGGGAAAAGAGAGAGGGGGGCCGGCCACCUCUCCUUCUCCUAAUAGGACUAGGGGAGGGAGGGAGGCGCGCAUCCCAUCUUGGGCAGCCCCUUCUCUUUUCCACUAAGGCCCACUAAGGCCCAUAUAGCUCUCGGGGGGUUCCGGUAACCUCCCGGUACUCCGGUAAAAUCCCGAUUUCACACGGAACACUUCCGAUAUCCAAACAUAGGCUUCCAAUAUAUCAAUCUUUAUGUCUCGACCAUUACUAGACUCCUCGUCAUGUCCGUGAUCACAUCCGGGACUCCGAACAACCUUCGGUACAUCAAAAUGCAUAAACUCAUAAUAUAACUGUCAUCAUAACCUUAAGCGUGCGGACCCUAUGGGUUCAAGAACAAUGUAGACAUGACCGAGACACGUCUCCGGUCAAUAACCAAUAGCGGGACCUGGAUGCCCAUAUUGGCUCCUACAUAUUCUACGAAGAUCUUUAUCGGUCAGACCGCAUAACAACAUACGUUGUUCCCUUUGUCAUCGGUAUGUUACUUGCCCGAGAUUCGAUCGUCGGUAUUCCAAUACCUAGUUCAAUCUUGUUACUGGCAAGUCUCUUUACUCGUUCUGUAAUACAUCAUUCCGCAACUAACUCAUUUAGUUGCAAUGCUUGCAAGGCUUAAGUGAUGUGCAUUACCGAGAGGGCCCAGAGAUACCUCUCCGACAAUCGGAGUGACAAAACCUAAUCUCGAAAUACGCCAACCCAACAUGUACCUUUAGAGACACCUGUAAUACUCCUUUAUAAUGACCCAGUAACGUUGUGACGUUUGGUAGUACCAAAAGUGUUCCUCCGGUAAACGGGAGUUCAUAAUCUCAUAUAGGAACAUGUAUAAGUCAUGAAGAAAGAAAUAGCAACAUACUAAACGAUCGGGUGCUAAGCUAAUGGAAUGGGUCAUGUCAAUCAGAUCAUUCUCUUAAUGAUGUGAUCACGUUAAUCAAAUAACAACUCAUCGUUCAUGGUUAGGAAACAUAACCAUCUUUGAUUAACGAGCUAGUCAAGUAGACGCAUACUAGUGACACUUUGUUUGUCUAUGUAUUCACACAUGUAUUAUGUUUCUGGUUAAUACAAUUCUAGCAUGAAUAACAAACAUUUAUCAUGAUUAUAAGGAAAUAAAUAAUAACUUUAUUAUUGCCUCUAGGGCAUAUUUCCUUCAGAGUGGCGCCCCAGCCCACUUUGGGCUGGAUCCCUUCCUCAUACAGCCCAUAAGGCCCUCCGGGAGAGGUGGCCCCUCCGAGUGGACCCCCGGAACCCCUCCGGUGGCCCCGGUACAAUACCGUUAUGCCCCCGAACCUUUCCGGUGACCGUAUGACAACUUCCCAUAUAUAAUUCUUUACCUCCGGAUUAUUCCGGGACUUCGAACAACUUUCGGAUUACUGCAUACUCAUAUCUAUACAACCCUAGCAUCACUGAACCUUAAGUGUGUAGACCCUACGGGUUCGGGAGACAAUCAGACAUGACCGAGACGACUCUCUGGUCAAUAACCAACAGUGGGAUCUGGAUACCCAUGUUGGCUCCCACAUGCUCCUUGAUGAUCUCAUCGGAUGAACCACGAUGUCGAGGACCUAAUCAAUCCCGUACUCAAUUCCCUUUGUCAAUCGGUACAUUACUUGCCCGAGACUCGAUCGUCGAUAUCCCAAUACCUUGUUCAGUCUCGUUACCAGCAAGUCACUUUACUCGUACCGUAAUGCAUGAUCCCGUGAUCAACCACUUGAUCACAUUGAGCUCAUUAUGAUGAUGCAUUACCGAGUGGGCCCAGAGAUACCUCUCCGUCAUACGGAGUGACAAAUCCCAGUCUCGAUUCGUGCCAACCCAACAGACACUUUCGGAGAUACCUGUAAUGUACCUUUAUAGUCACCCAGUUACCUUGUGACGUUUGGCACACCCAAGGCACUCCUACGGUAUCCGGGAGUUGCACGAUCUCAUGGUCUAAGGAAAUGAUACUUGACAUCCAGAAAAGCUACAGCAAACGAACUACACGAUCUUUGUGCUAUACUUAGGUUUGGGUCUUGUCCAUCACAUCAUUCUCCUAAUGAUGUGAUCCCAUUAUCAAUGACAUCCCCAUGUCCAUAGCCAGGAAACCAUGACUAUCUGUUGAUCAACGAGCUAGUCAACUAGAGGCUCACUAGGGACACAUUAUGGUCUAUGUAUUCACACAUGUAUUACGAUUUCCGGACAAUACAAUUAUAGCAUGAAUAAUAGAAAAUUAUCAUGAACAAGGAAAUAUAAUAAUCAUUUUAUUAUUGCCUCUAGGGCAUAUUUCCAACAGUCUCCCACUUGCACUAGAGUCAAUCAUCUAGUUACAUUGUGAUGAAUCGAACACCCAUGGAAUUCUGGUGUUGAUCAUGUUUUGCUCUAGGGAGAGGUUUAGUCAACGGAUCUGCUACAUUCAGGUCCGUAUGUACUUUACAAAUCUCUAUGUAUCCAUUUUGAACACUUUCACGAAUGGAGUUGAAACGACGCUUGAUAUGCCUGGUCUUCCUGUGAAACCUGGGCUCCUUGGCAAGGGCAAUAGCUCCAGUGUUGUCACAGAAGAGAGUCAUCGGGCCCGACGCAUUGGGUAUGACUCCUAGGUCGGUAAUGAACUCCUUCACCCAGACUGCUUCGUGUGCUGCCUCCGAGGCUGCCAUGUACUCCGCUUCACAUGUAGAUCCUGCCACAAUGCUUUGCUUGCAACUGCACCAGCUUACUGCCCCACCAUUCAAAAUAUACACGUAUCCGGUUUGUGACUUAGAGUCAUCCAGAUCUGUGUCGAAGCUAGCAUCAACGUAACCCUUUACGACAAGCUCUUCGUCACCUCCAUAAACGAGAAACAUUUCCUUAGUCCUUUUCAGGUACUUCAGGAUAUUUUUGAUCGCUGUCCAGUGUUCCAUGUCGGGAUUACUUUGGUACCUUCCUACCAAACUCACGGCAAGGUUUACAUCAGGUCUGGUACACAGCAUAGCAUACAUGAUAGACCCUAUGGCUGAGGCAUAGGGGACGACACUCAUCUUUUCUCUAUCUUCUGCCGUGGUCGGGCAUUGAGCCAAGCUCAAUCUCGUACCUUGCAAUACAGGCAAGAACCCCUUCUUUGACUGAUCCAUUUUGAACUUCUUCAAUAUCUUGUCAAGGUACAUACUCUAUGAAAGACCAAUGAGGCGUCUCGAUCUAUCUCUAUAGAUCUUGAUGCCUAAUAUAUAAGCAGCUUCUCCAAGGUCCUUCAUUGAAAAACACUUGUUCAAAUAGGCCUUUAUGCUUUCCAAGAAUUCUAUAUCAUUUCCCAUCAACAGUAUGUCAUCCACAUACAAUAUGACAAAUGCUACAGAGCUCCCACCCACUUUCUUGUAAAUGCAAGCUUCUCCAUAAGUCUGCAUAAACCCAAACGCUUUGAUCAUCUCAUCAAAGCGAAUGUUGCAACUCCGAGAUGCUUGCACCAGCCCGUAAAUCGAGCGUUGGAGCUUGCACACCUUGUCAGCAUUCUUAGGAUCGACAAGACCUUCCGGUUGCAUCAUAUACAAUUCUUCCUUAAGGAAACCAUUAAGGAAUGCCGUUUUGACGUCCAUUUGCCAUAUUUCAUAAUCAUAGAAUGCGGCAAUUGCUAACAUGAUUCGGACGGACUUCAGCUUCGCUACGGGUGAGAAAGUCUCAUCGUAGUCAACCCCUUGAACUCGUCGAUAACCCUUAGCGACAAGCCGUGCUUUAUAGAUGGUCACAUUACCAUCCGCGUCUGUCUUCUUCUUAAAGAUCCAUUUAUUUUCUAUGGCUCGCCGAUCAACGGGCAAGUCAGUCAAAGUCCAUACUUUGUUUUCAUACAUGGAUCCUAUCUCGGAUUUCAUGGCUUCCAGCCAUUUGUCGGAAUACGGGCCCGCCAUCACUUCUUCAUAGUUCAAAGGUUCACCGUUGUCUAACAACAUGAUUUCCAAGACAGGGUUGCCGUACCACUCUGGUGAGGAACGUGUCCUUGUGGACCUUCGAAGUUCAGUAGGAGCUUGAUCAGAAGUAUCUUGAUCAUCAUCAUUAACUUCCUCUCUAAUUGGUGCAAGCACCACAGGAACAUUUGCCUGAGUUGCGCCACUUUCCGGUUCAAGAGGCAAUACUUCAUCAAGUUCUACUUUCCUCCCACUUACUUCUUUCGAGAGAAACUCCUUCUCUAGAAAGGAUCCAUUCUUGGCAACAAAGAUCUUGCCUUCGGAUCUGAGGUAGAAGGUAUACCCAAUAGUUUCUUUAGGGUAUCCUAUCAAGACGCAUUUUUCCGACUUGGGUUCGAGCUUUUCAGGUUGAAGUUUCUUGACAUAAGCAUCGCAUCCCCAAACUUUUAGAAACGACAGCUUAGGCUUCUUCCCAAACCAUAAUUCAUACGGUGUCGUCUCAACGGAUUUCGACGGAGCCCUAUUUAAAGUGAAUGCAGUAGUCUCUAAAGCAUAGCCCCAAAAUGACAGCGGUAAAUUGGUAAGAGACAUCAUAGAUCGCACCAUAUCUAAUAGAGUGCGAUUACGACGUUCGGACACACCAUUACGCUGAGGUGUUCCAGGCGGCAUGAGUUGUGAAACUAUUCCACAUUUUCUUAAGUGUGUACCAAAUUCUUGACUCAAGUAUUCUCCUCCACGAUCUGAUCGCAAAAACUUGAUUUUUCUGUCAUGUUGAUUCUCAACCUCACUCUGAAAUUCCUUGAACUUUUCAAAGGUUUCAGACUUGUGUUUCAUUAAGUAGAUAUACCCAUAUCUACUCAAGUCAUCAGUGAGGGUGAGAACAUAACGAUAGCCACCACGAGCCUCAACAUUCAUUGGACCGCACACAUCAGUAUGUAUGAUUUCCAAUAGGUUGGUUGCUCGCUCCAUUGUUCCUGAGAACGGAGACUUGGUCAUCUUACCCAUGAGGCAUGGUUCACACAUGUCAAAUGAUUCGUAAUCAAGAGACUCUAAAAGUCCAUCUGUAUGGAGCUUCUUCAUGCGUUUGACACCUAUGUGACUAAGGCGGCAGUGCCACAAGUAUGUGGGACUAUCAUUAUCAACCUUACAUCUUUUGGCAUUCACACUAUGAAUAUGUGUAGCAUUACGCUCGAGAUUCAUUAAGAAUAAACCAUUCACCAUAGGAGCAUGACCAUAAAACAUAUCUCUCAUAUAAAUAGAACAACCAUUACACUUGGAUUUAAAUGAGUAGCCAUCUCGUAUUAAACGAGAUCCUGAUACAAUGUUCAUGCUCAAACUUGGCACUAAAUAACAAUUAUUGAGGUUCAAAACUAAUCCCGUAGGUAAAUAUAGAGGUAGCGUGCCGACGACGAUGACAUCGACCUUGGAACCAUUCCCGACGCGCAUUGUCACCUCGUCCUUCGCCAAUCUCCGCUUAUUCCGCAGCUCCUGCUUUGAGUUACAAAUGUGAGCAACUGCACCGGUAUCAAAUACCCAGGAGCUACUACGAGUAUUGGUAAGGUACACAUCAAUUACAUGUAUAUCACAUAUACCUUUCGUUUUGCCGGCCUUCUUGUCCGCUAAGUAUUUGGGGCAGUUCCGCUUCCAGUGUCCACUUCCCUUGCAAUAAAAACACUCAGUCUCGGGCUUGGGUCCAUUCUUUGGCUUCUUCCCGGCAGCUUGCUUACCAGGCGCGGCAACUCCCUUGCCGUCCUUCUUGAAGUCCUUCUUACCCUUGCCUUUCUUGAACUUAGUGGUUUUAUUCACCAUCAACACUUGAUGGUCCUUUUUGACUUCUACCUCUGCUGAUUUCAGCAUUGCAAAUACUUUAGGAAUGGUCUUUUCCAUCCCCUGCAUAUUGAAGUUCAUCACAAAGCUCUUGUAGCUUGGUGGAAGCGACUGGAGGAUUCUGUCAAUGACCGCGUCAUCCGGGAGAUUAACUCCCAGCUGAGUCAAGCGGUUAUUUAACCCAGACAUAGUGAGUAUGUGCUCACUGACAGAACUAUUUUCCUCCAUCUUACAGCUGAAGAACUUGUCGGAGACUUCAUAUCUCUCGACCCGGGCAUGAGCUUGGAAAACCAUUUUUAGCUCUUCGAACAUCUCAUAUGCUCCGUGUCGCUCAAAACGCUUUUGGAGCCCCGGUUCUAAGCUGUAAAGCAUGCCGCACUGAACGAGGUAGUAAUCAUCAGCACGUGUCUGCCAAGCGUUCAUAACGUCUUGGUUCUGUGGGACGGGUGCGUCACCUAGCGGUGCUUCUAGGACAUAAUCUUUCUUGGCAGCUUUAUAGUUGCUGCCAUCGUCUUUCAGCUUGGUUUUCUCUAGGAACGCAUUGAAGUUGAGGACAACGUUGGCUAUUUGAUCUACAAGACAUAUUGUAAAUAUUUUAGACUAAGUUCAUGAUAAUUAAGUUCAUCUAAUCAAAUUAUUCAAUGAACUCCCACUUAGAUAGACAUCCCUCCAGUCAUCUAAGUAUAACAUGAUCCGAGUUGACUAGGUCGUGUCCGAUCAUCACGUGAGACGGACUAGUCAACAUCGGUGAACAUCUUCAUGUUGAUCGUAUCUUCUAUACGACUCAUGCUCGACCUUUCGGUCUUCUGUGUUCCGAGGCCAUGUCUGUACAUGCUAGGCUCGUCAAGUCAACCUAAGUGUAUUGCGUGUGUAAAUCUGUCUUACACCCGUUGUAUGUGAACGUUGGAAUCUAUCACACCCGAUCAUCACGUGGUGCUUCGAAACAACGAACUGUCGCAACGGCGCACAGUUAGGGGGAACACUUUCUUGAAAUUAUUAUGAGGGAUCAUCUUAUUUACUACCGUCGUUCUAAGUAAACAAGAUGCAAAAACAUGAUAAACAUCACAUGCAAUCAAAUAAUAAUAGUGACAUGAUAUGGCCAAUAUCACAUAGCUCCUUUGAUCUCCAUCUUGGGGCUCCAUGAUCAUCUUGUCACCGACAUGACACCAUGAUCUCCAUCAUCAUGAUCUCCAUCAUCGUGUCUCCAUGAAGUUGCUAGCCAACUAUUACUUCUACUACUAUGGCUAACGCGUUUAGCAAUAAAUUAAAGUAAUUUACAUGGCGUUUCUCAAUGACACGCAGGUCAUACAAAAAAUAAAGACAACUCCUAUGGCUCCUGCCGGUUGUCAUAAUCAUCGACAUGCAAGUCGUGAUUCCUAUUACAAGAACAUGAUCUCAUACAUCACAUAUAUAUCAUUCAUCAUUCAUCACAACUUUGGCCAUAUCACAUCACAAAUCACUUGCUGCAAAAACAAGUUAGACGUCCUCUAAUUGUUGUUGCAAGUUUUACGUGGCUGCAAAAGGGUUCUAGCAAGAACGUUUUCUUACCUACGUAAUAGCCACAACGUGAUUUGUCAACUUCUAUUUACCCUUCAUAAGGACCCUUUUCAUCGAAUCCGCUCCAAAUAAAGUGGGAGAGACAGAAACCCGCUAGCCACCUAAUGCAACUAGUGCAUGUCAGUCGGUGGAACCAGUCUCACGUAAGCAUACGUGUAAGGUCGGUCCGGGCCGCUUCAUCCCACAAUACCGCUAAAGCAAGAUAAGACUAGUAGCGGCAAGAAAGUUGACAACAUCUACGCCCACAACAAAUUGUGUUCUACUCGUGCAAGGAGAACUACGCAUAAACCUGGCUCUGAUACCACUGUUGGGGAACAUUGCAGAAAACAAAAAAUUUCCUACGAUUUCACCAAGACCCAUCUAUGAGUUCAUCUAGCAACGAGUGAUCGGAUUGCAUCUACAUACCUUUGUAGAUCACGCGCGGAAGCGUUCAAAGAACGGGGAUGAGAAAGUCGUACUCGACGUGAUCCAAAUCACCGGAGGUCCUAGCGCCGAACAGACGGCACCUCCGCGUUCAACACACGUACGGUCAGCGUGACGUCUCCUCCUUCUUGAUCUAGCAAGGGGGAAGGAGAGGUUGAGGAAGAUGGCUCCAGCAGCAGCACGACGGCGUGGUGGUGGUGGAGCAGCAGUACUUCAGCAGGGCUUCGCCAAGCUCGUGACGGAGGAGGAGAUGUGUUGGGGAGGGGAGGGGAUGUGCCUUGGAUGUCCUCUGCAGCCCUCCCCUCACCCCUCUAUUUAUAGGGGAAGGAGGAAGGGGGCCGGCCCCCUCUAGAUGAGAUCUACAGGAGGGGCGGCGGCCAAGGGGAGGGGGGCUUGCCCCCCAAGCAAGGGGGCGCCCCCCCUUAGGGUUUCCCCCAACCCUAUGCGCAUGGGCCCUAGGGGGAGUGGCACCCCAGCCCACUUUGGGGUGGAUACCUUCCUCAUACAGCCCAUAAGGCCCUCCGAGAGAGGUGGCCCCUCCUGGUGGACCCCCGGAACCCCUCCGGUGGCCCCGGUACAAUACUGAUACGCCCCCGAACCUUUCCGGUGACCAUAUGACAACUUCCCAUAUAUAAUUCUUUACCUCCGGAUUAUUCCGGAACUCCUCGUGACGUCCAGGAUCUCAUCCGGGACUCCGAAAAACUUUCGGAUUACUGCAUACUCAUCUAUACAACCCUAGCGUCACCGAACCUUAAGUGUGUAGACCCUACGGGUUUGGGAGACAAGCAUACAUGACCGAGAUGACUCUCUGGUCAAUAACCAACAGCGGGAUCUGGAUACCCAUGUUGGCUCCCACAUGCUCCUCGAUGAUCUCAUCAGAUGAACCACGAUGUCGAGGACCUAAUCAAUCUCGUACUCAAUUCCCAUUGUCAAUCGGUACGUUACUUGCCCGAGACUCGAUCGUCGGUAUCCCAAUACCUUGUUCAGUCUCGUUACCGGCAAGUCACUUUACUCGUACCGUAAUGCAUGAUCCCAUGAUCAACCACUUGAUCACAUUGAGCUCAUUAUGAUGAUGCAUUACCGAGUGGGCCCAGAGAUACCUCUCCGUCAUACGGAGUGACAAAUCCCAGUCUCGAUUUGUGCCAACCCAACAGACACUUUCGGAGAUACCUGUAAUGUACCUUUGUAGUCACCCAGUUACGUUGUGAUGUUUGGCACACCCAAGGCACUCCUACGGUAUCCGGGAGUUGCACAAUCUCAUGGUCUAAGGAAAUGAUACUUGACAUCCAGAAAAGCUAUAGCAAAUGAACUACACGAUCUUUGUGCUUUGCUUAGGUUUGGGUCUUGUCCAUCACAUCAUUCUCCUAAUGAUGUGUUCCCAUUAUCAAUGACAUCCCCAUGUCCAUAGCCAGGAAACCAUGACUAUCUGUUGAUCAACGAGCUAGUCAACUAGAGGCUCACUAGGGACACAUUAUGGUCUAUGUAUUCACACAUGUAUUACGAUUUCCGAACAAUACAAUUAUAGCAUGAAUAAUAGACAAUUAUCAUGAACAAGGAAAUAUAAUCAUCAUUUUAUUAUUGCCUCUAGAGCAUAUUUCCAACAAUGUCACUCUUGGUUCAUUGCACAUCCCGGUACAACGCCGGAGGCAUUCACAUAGAGUCAUAUUUUGUUCUAAGUAUCGAGUUGUAAUUUUUGAGUUGUAAAGUAAAUAAAAGUGUGAUGAUCAUCAUUAUUAGAUCAUUGUCCCAUGUGAGGAAAUGAUGAUGGAGACUAUGAUUCCCCAGAAGUCGGGAUGAGACUCGGGAUGAAAAAGAAAAAAAAGAAAAAAAGAGGCCAUAAAAAGAGAGAAGGCCCAAAAAGAAAAAAUAAUGAGAGAAAAGAGAGAAGGGACAAUGCUAAUAUCCUUUGACCACACUUGUGCUUCAAAGUAGCACCAUGAUCUUCAUGAUAGAGAGUCUCCUAUGUUGUCACUUUCAUAUACUAGUGGGAAUUUUACAUUAUAGAACUUGGCUUGUAUAUUCCAAUGAUGGGCUUCCUCAAAAUGCCCUAGGUCUUCGUGAGCAAGCAAGUUGGAUGCACACCCACUUAGUUUCUUUUUGAGCUUUCAUAUACUUAUAGCUCUAGUGCAUCCGUUGCAUGGCAAUCCCUACUCACUCACAUUGAUAUCUAUUGAUGGGCAUCUCCAUAGCCCGUUGAUACACCUAGUUGAUGUGAGACUAUCUUAUCCUUUUUGUCUUCUCCACAACCACCAUUCUAUUCCACCUAUAGUGCUAUGUCCAUGGCUCACGCUCAUGUAUCGCGUGAAGAUUGAAAAAGUUUGAGAACAUCAAAAGUAUGAAACAAUUGCUUGGCUUGUCAUCGGGGUUGUGCACGAUUUAAAUACUUUGUGUGAUGAAGAUAGAGCAUAGCCAUACUAUAUGAUUUUGUAGGGAUAACUUUCUUUGGCCAUGUUAUUUUGAGAAGACAUCAUUGCUUUGUUAGUAUGCUUGAAGUAUUAUUAUUUUUAUGUCAAUAUUAAACUUUUGUCUUGAAUAUUUCGGAUCUGAACAUUCAUGCCACAAUAAAGAAAAAAUAUAUUGAGAAUUAUGCUAGGUAGCAUUCCACAUCAAAAGUUCUGUUUUUAUCAUUUACCUACUCGAGGACGAGUAGGAAUGAAUCUUGGGAUGCUUCAUACGUCUACAACAUAUCUAUAAUUUGUGAUUGUUCCAUGCUAUUAUAUUAUCUGUUUUGGAUGUUUAAUGGGCUUUAAUAUACAUUUUUAUAUUAUUUUUGGGACUAACCUACUAACCAAAGCCCCAGUGCAAAUUGCUUUUUUUUGCCUAUUUCAGUGUUUCGCAGAAAAGGAAUAUCAAACGGAAUCCAAACGGAAUGAAACCUUCGGGAGAGUUAUUUAUAGAACAAAUGUGAUCCAGGAGACUUGAGUGGAUGUCAAGAAAGAAGCGAGGAGGCCACUGAAGGAAAUAUGCCCUAGAGGCAAUAAUAAAGUUAUUAUUUAUUUCCUUAUAAUCAUGAUAAAUGUUUAUUAUUCAUGCUAGAAUUGUAUUAACCGGAAACAUAAUACAUGUGUGAAUACAUAGACAAACAAAGUGUCACUAGUAUGCCUCUACUUGACUAGCUCGUUAAUCAAAGAUGGUUAUGUUUCCUAACCAUGAACAAUGAGUUGUUAUUUGAUUAACGAGGUCACAUCAUUAGUUGAAUGAUCUGAUUGACAUGACCCGUUCCAUUAGCUUAGCAACCGAUCGUUUAGUAUGUUGCUAUUGCUUUCUUCAUGACUUAUACAUGUUCCUAUAACUAUGAGAUUAUGCAACUCCCGUUUGCCGGAGGAACACUUUGGGUGCUACCAAACGUCACAAUCUAACUGGGUGAUUAUAAAGGAGCAUUACAGGUGUCUCCAAAGGUAGAUGUUGGGUUGGCAAAUUUCGAGAUUAGGAUUUGUCACUCCGAUUGUCGGAGAGGUAUCUCUGGGCCCUCUCGGUAAUGCACAUCACAUAAGCCUUGCAAGCAUUGCAACUAAUGAGUUAGUUGCGAGAUGAUGUAUUACAAAACGAGUAAAGAGACUGGUUGGUAACGAGAUUGAACUAGGUAUUGUAUAUCGACGAUCGAAUCUCGGGCAAGUAACAUACCGAUGACAAAGGGAACAACGUAUGUUGUUAUGCGGUCUGACCGAUAAAGAUCUUCGUAGAAUAUGUAGGAGCCAAUAUGGGCAUCCAGGUCCCGCUAUUGGUUAUUGACCAGAGACGUGUCUCGGUCAUGUCUACAUUGUUCUCGAACCCGUAGGGUCCGCACGCUUAAGGUUACGAUGACAGUUAUAUUAUGAGUUUAUGCAUUUUGAUGUACCGAAGGUUGUUCGGAGUCCCGGAUGUGAUCACGGACAUGACGAGGAGUCUCGAAAUGGUCGAGACGUAAAGAUUGAUAUAUUGGAAGCCUAUGUUUGGAUAUCGGAAGUGUUCCGGGUGAAAUCGGGAUUUUACCGGAGUACCGGGANNNNNNNNNNNNNNNNNNNNNNNNNNNNNNNNNNNNNNNNNNNNNNNNNNNNNNNNNNNNNNNNNNNNNNNNNNNNNNNNNNNNNNNNNNNNNNNNNNNNNNNNNNNNNNNNNNNNNNNNNNNNNNNNNNNNNNNNNNNNNNNNNNNNNNNNNNNNNNNNNNNNNNNNNNNNNNNNNNNNNNNNNNNNNNNNNNNNNNNNNNNNNNNNNNNNNNNNNNNNNNNNNNNNNNNNNNNNAAGGUGGCCGCGCGCCUCCCCCUCCCCCUAGUCCUAUUAGGACUAGGAGAGGUGGUCGGCCCCCCUUCUCUCUCUUCCCCCCUCGGGGAAUCCUAGUCCAACUAGGAUUGGGGGGGGAGUCCUACUCCCGGAAGGAGAAGGACUCCUCCUGCGCCCUCCUCCUGGCCGGCGCCCCCCUCCCCCUUGGCUCCUUUAUAUACUAAGGCAGAGGCACCCCAGAAACACACAAGUUGAUCCACGUGAUCUAUUCCUUAGCCGUGUGCGGUGCCCCCAGCCACCAUAUUCAUCGAUAAUACUGUAGCGGAGUUUAGGCGAAGCCCUACUGCUGUAGUGCAUCAAGAUCGUCACCACGCCGUCGUGCUGACGGAAUUCUUCCCCGACACUUUCCUGGAUCGGAGUCCGGGGAUCGUCAUCGAGCUGAACGUGUGCUCGAACUCGGAGGUGCCGUAGUUUCGGUGCUUGAUCGGUUGGAUCGCGAAGACGUACGACUACUUCCUCUACGUUGUGUCAACGCUUCCGCAGUCGGUCUGCGUGGGUACGUAGAAAGCACUCUCCCCUCUCGUUGCUAUGCAUCACCAUGAUCUUGCGUGUGCGUAGGAAUUUUUUUGAAAUUACUACGAAACCCAAAAGUCGCAUCCGUGCCUAGGUUAUUUAUGUUGAUGUUAUAUGCACGAGUAGAACACAAGUGAGUUGUGGGCGAUAUAAGUCAUACUGCCUACCAGCAUGUCAUACUUUGGUUCGGCGGCAUUGUUGGACGAGACGACCCGGACCAACCUUACGCGUACGCUUACGCGAGACCGGUUCCCCCGACGUGCUUUGCACACAGGUGGCUUGCGGGCGACUGUCUCUCCAACUUUAGUUGAACCAAGUAUGGCUACGCCCGGUCCUUGCGAAGGUUAAAACGGAGUCUAUUUGACAAACUAUCGUUGUGGUUUUGAUGCGUAGGUGAGAUUGGUUCUUGCUUAAAGCCCGUAGCAGCCACAUAAAACUUGCAACAACAAAGUAGAGGACGUCUAACCUGUUUUUGCAGGGCAUGUUGUGAUGUGAUAUGGUCAAGACAUGAUGCUGAAUUUUAUUGUAUGAGAUGAUCAUGUUUUGUAACCGAGUUAUCGGCAACUGGCAGGAGCCUUAUGGUUGUCGUUUUAUUGUAUGCAAUGAAAACGCGAUGUAAUGAUUUACUUUAUUACUAAGCGGUAGUGAUAGUCGUGGAAGCAUAAACUUGGCGAGACGACAACGAUGCUAUGAUGGAGAUCAAGGUGUCACGCCGGUGAUGAUGGUGAUCACGACGGUGCUUCGGAGAUGGAGAUCACAAGCACAAGAUGAUGAUGGCCAUAUCAUAUCACUUAUAUUGAUUGCAUGUGAUGUUUAUCCUUUUAUGCAUCUUAUCUUGCUUUGAUUGACGGUAGCAUUAUAAGAUGAUUUCUCACUAAAUUACCAAGAAGUGUUCUCCCUGAGUAUGCACCGUUGUGAAAGUUCUUCGUGCUGAGACACCACGUGAUGAUCGGGUGUGAUAGGUUCUACGUUCAAAUACAACGGGUGCAAAACAGUUGCCCACGCGGAAUACUCAGGUUAUACUUGACGAGCCAAGCAUAUACAGAUAUGGCCUCAGAACACGGAGACUGAAAGGUCGAGCGUGAAUCAUAUAGUAGAUAUGAUCAACAUAACGAUGUUCACCAUUGAAAACUACUCCAUCUCACGUGAUGAUCGGUUAUGGUUUAGUUGAUUUGGAUCACGUAAUCACUUAGAGGAUUAGAGGGAUGUCUAUCUAAGUGGGAGUUCUUUAAUUAAUUUGAUUAACUGAACUUAAAUUUAUCAUGAAACUUAGUACCUAAUUAGUAUCUUGCUUGUUUAUGUUUGAUUGUAGAUAGAUGGCUCGUGUUGUUGUUCCGUUGAAUUUUAAUGCGUUCCUUGAGAAAGCAAAGUUGAAAGAUGAUGGUAGCAAUUACACGGACUAGGUCCGUAACUUGAGGAUUAUCCUCAUUGCUGCACAGAAGAAUUACGUCCUGGAAGUACCACUGGGUGCCAGGCCUGCUGCAGGAGCAACGCCGGAUGUUAUGAACGUCUGGCAGAGCAAAGCUGAUGACUACUCAAUAGUUCAGUGUGCCAUGCUUUACGGCUUAGAAUCGGGACUUCAACGACGUUUUGAACGUCAUGGAGCAUAUGAGAUGUUCCAGGAGUUGGAGUUAAUGUUUCAAGCAAAUGCCCAGAUUGAGAGAUAUGAAGUCUCCAAUAAGUUCUAUAGCUGCAAGAUGGAGGAGAACAGUUCUGUCAGUGAGCAUAUACUCAAAAUGUCUGGGUAUAAUAAUCACUUGAUUCAAUUGGGAGUUAAUCUUCCAGAUGAUUGCGUCAUUGACAGAAUUCUUCAAUCACUGCCACCAAGCUACAAGAGCUUCGUGAUGAACUAUAAUAUGCAAGGGAUGAACAAGACUAUUCCCGAGCUCUUCGCGAUGCUGAAAGCUGCGGAGGUAGAAAUCAAGAAGGAGCAUCAAGUGUUGAUGGUCAACAAGACCACUAGUUUCAAGAAAAAGGGCAAAGGGAAGAAGAAGGGGAACUUCAAAAAGAACGGCAAGCAAGUUGCUACUCAAGAGAAGAAACCCAAACCUGGACCUAAGCCUGAAACUGAGUGUUUCUAUUGCAAGCAGACUGGUCACUUGAAGCGGAACUGCCCCAAGUAUUUGGCAGAUAAGAAGGAUGGAAAGGUGAACAAAGGUAUAUGUGAUAUACAUGUUAUUGAUGUGUACCUUACUAAUGCUCGCAGUAGCACCUGGGUAUUUGAUACUGGUUCUGUUGCUAAUAUUUGCAACUCGAAACAGGGACUACGGAUCAAGCGAAGAUUGGUUAAGGACGAGGUGACGAUGCGCGUGGGAAACGGUUCCAAAGUCGAUGUGAUCGCAGUCGGCACACUACCUCUACAUCUACCUUCGGGAUUAGUAUUAGACCUAAAUAAUUGUUAUUUGGUGCCAGCGUUAAGCAUGAACAUUAUAUCUGGAUCUUGUUUGAUGCGAGACGGUUAUUCAUUUAAAUCAGAGAAUAAUGGUUGUUCUAUUUAUAUGAGUAAUAUCUUUUAUGGUCAUGCACCCUUGAAGAGUGGUCUAUUCUUGUUGAAUCUCGAUAGUGGUAACACACAUAUUCAUAAUGUUGAAGCCAAAACAUGUAGAGUUGAUAAUGAGAGUGCAACUUAUUUGUGGCACUGCCGUUUAGGUCAUAUCGGUGUAAAGCGCAUGAAGAAACUCCAUUCUGAUGGACUUUUGGAACCACUUGAUUAUGAAUCACUUGGUACUUGCGAACCGUGCCUUAUGGGCAAGAUGACAAAACACCGUUCUCCGGUACUAUGGAGGGAGCAACAGAUUUGUUGGAAAUCAUACAUACAUAUGUAUGUGGUCCGAUGAAUAUUGAGGCUCGUGGCGGAUAUCAUUAUUUUCUCACCUUCACAGAUGAUUUAAGCAGAUAUGGGUAUAUCUACUUAAUGAAACAUAAGUCUGAAACAUUUGAAAGGUUCAAGGAAUUUCAGAGUGAAGUUGAAAAUCAUCGUAACAAGAAAAUAAAGUUUCUACGAUCUGAUCGUGGAGGAGAAUAUUUGAGUUACGAGUUUGGUGUACAUUUGAAAAAUUGUGGAAUAGUUUCGCAACUCACGCCACCCGGAACACCACAGCGUAAUGGUGUGUCUGAAUGUCGUAAUCGUACUUUACUAGAUAUGGUGCGAUCUAUGAUGUCUCUUACUGAUUUACCGCUAUCGUUUUGGGGAUACGCUCUAGAGACGGCCGCAUUCACUUUAAAUAGGGCACCAUCAAAAUCCGUUGAGACGACGCCUUAUGAACUGUGGUUUGGCAAGAAACCAAAGUUGUCGUUUCUGAAAGUUUGGGGCUGCGAUGCUUAUGUGAAAAAGCUUCAACCUGAUAAGCUCGAACCCAAAUCGGAGAAAUGUGUCUUCAUAGGAUAUCCAAAGGAAACUAUUGGAUACACCUUCUAUCACAGAUCUGAAGGCAAGACUUUUGUUGCUAAAUUCGGAAACUUUCUAGAGAAGGAGUUUCUCUCGAAAGAAGUGAGUGGGAGGAAAGUAGAACUUGACGAGGUAACUGUACCUGCUCCCUUAUUGGAAAGUAGUACAUCACAGAAAAUUGUUUCAGUGACACCUACACCAGUUAGUGAGGAAGCUAAUGAUAAUGAUCAUGAAACUUCAGAUCAAGAUACUGCUGAACCUCGUAGAUCAACCAGAGUAAGAUCCGCACCAGAGUGGUACGGUAAUCCUGUUCUGGAAGUCAUGCUACUAGAUCAUGAUGAACCUGCGAACUAGGAAGAAGCGAUGGUGAGCCCAGAUUCCGCAAAAUGGCUUGAAGCCAUGAAAUCUGAGAUGGGAUCCAUGUAUGAGAACAAAGUAUGGACUUUGGUUGACUUGCCCGAUGAUCGGUAAGCAAUUGAGAAUAAAUGGAUCUUCAAGAAGAAGACUGACGCUGACGGUAAUGUUACUGUCUACAAAGCUCGACUUGUCGCAAAAGGUUUUCGACAAGUUCAAGGGGUUGACUACGAUGAGACCUUCUCACCCGUAGCGAUGCUUAAGUCUGUCCGAAUCAUGUUAGCAAUUGCCGCAUUUUAUGAUUAUGAAAUUUGGCAAAUGGAUGUCAAAACUGCAUUCCUGAAUGGAUUUCUGGAAGAAGAGUUGUAUAUGAUGCAACCAGAAGGUUUUGUCGAUCCAAAAGGAGCUAACAAAGUGUGCAAGCUCCAGCGAUCCAUUUAUGGACUGGUGCAAGCCUCUCGGAGUUGGAAUAAAUGCUUUGAUAGUGUGAUCAAAGCAUUUUGUUUUAUACAGACUUUCGGAGAAGCCUGUAUUUACAAGAAAGUGAGUGGGAGCUCUGUAGCAUUUCUGAUAUUAUAUGUGGAUGACAUAUUACUGAUUGGAAAUGAUAUAGAAUUUCUGGAUAGCAUAAAGAGAUACUUGAAUAAGAGUUUUUCAAUGAAAGACCUCGGUGAAGCUGCUUACAUACUAGGCAUAAAGAUCUAUAGAGAUAGAUCAAGACGCUUAAUUGGACUUUCACAAACAACAUACCUUGACAAAAUUUUGAAGAAGUUCAAAAUGGAUCAAGCAAAGAAAGGAUUCUUGCCUGUGUUACAAGGUGUGAAAUUGAGUAAGACUCAAUGCCCGACCACUGCAGAAGAUAGAGAGAAUAUGAAAGAUGUUCCCUAUGCAUCAGCGAUAGGAUCUAUCAUGUAUGCAAUGUUGUGUACCAGACCUGAUGUGUGCCUUGCUAUAAGUCUAGCAGGGAGGUACCAAAGUAAUCCAGGAGUGGAUCACUGGACAACCGUCAAGAACAUCCUGAAAUACAUGAGAAGGACUAAGGAUAUGUUUCUCGUAUAUGGAGGUGACAAAGAGCUCGACGUAAAUGGUUACGUUGAUGCAAGCUUUGACACUGAUCCGGACGAUUCUAAAUCGCAAACCGGAUACGUGUUUACAUUAAACGGUGGAGCUGUCAGUUGGUGCAGUUCUAAACAAAGCGUCGUAGUGGGAUCUACAUGUGAAGCGGAGUACAUAGCUGCUUCGGAAGCAGCGAACGAAGGAGUCUGGAUGAAGGAGUUCAUAUCCGAUCUAGGUGUCAUAUCUAGUGCAUCGGGUCCAAUGAAAAUCUUUUGUGACAAUACUGGUGCAAUUGCCUUGGCAAAGGAAUCCUGAUUUCACAAGAGAACCAAGCACAUCAACAGACGCUUCAAUUCCAUCCAGGAUCUAGUCCAGGUGGGAGACAUAGAGAUUUGCAAGAUACAUACGGAUCUGAAUGUUGCAGACCCGUUGACUAAGCCUCUUCCACGAGCAAAACAUGAUCAGCACCAAGGCUCCAUGGGUGUUAGAAUCAUCACAGUGUAAUCUAGAUUAUUGACUCUAGUGCAAGUGGGAGACUGAAGUAAAUAUGCCCUAGAGGCAAUAGUAAAGUUAUUAUUUAUUUCCUUAUAAUCAUGAUAAAUGUUUAUUAUUCAUGCUAGAAUUGUAUUAACCGGAAACAUAAUACAUGUGUGAAUACAUAGACAAACAAAGUGUCACUAGUAUGCCUCUACUUGACUAGCUCGUUAAUCAAAGAUGGUUAUGUUUCCUAACCAUGAACAAUGAGUUGUUAUUUGAUUAACGAGGUCACAUCAUUAGUUGAAUGAUCUGAUUGACAUGACCCGUUCCAUUAGCUUAGCACCCGAUCGUUUAGUAAGUUGCUAUUGCUUUCUUCAAGACUUAUACAUGUUCCUAUAACUAUGAGAUUAUGCAACUCCCGUUUGCCGGAGGAACACUUUGGAUGCUACCAAACGUCACAACGUAACUGGGUGAUUAUAAAGGAGCAUUACAGGUGUCUCCAAAGGUAGAUGUUGGGUUGGCGUAUUUCGAGAUUAGGGUUUGUCACUCCGAUUGUCGGAGAGGUAUCUCUGGGCCCUCUCGGUAAUGCACAUCACAUAAGCCUUGCAAGCAUUGCAAUUAAUGAGUUAGUUGUGAGAUGAUAUAUUACAGAACGAGUAAAGAGACUUGCCGGUAACGAGAUUGAACUAGGUAUUGGAUACCGACGAUCGAAUCUCGGGCAAGUAACAUACCGAUGACAAAGGGAACAACGUAUGUUGUUAUGCGGUCUGACCGAUAAAGAUCUUCGUAGAAUAUGUAGGAGCCAAUAUGGUCAUCCAGGUCUGGCUAUUGGUUAUUGACCGGAGACGUGUCUCAGUCAUGUCUACAUUGUUCUCGAACCCGUAGGGUCCGCACGCUUAAGGUUACGAUGACAGUUAUAUUAUGAGUUUAUGCAUUUUGAUGUACCGAAGGUUGUUCGGAGUCCCGGAUGUGAUCACGGACAUGAUGAGGAGUCUCGAAAUGGUCGAGACGUAAAGAUUGAUAUAUUGGAAGCCUAUGUUUGGAUAUCGGAAGUGUUCCGGGUGAAAUCGGGAUUUUACCGGAGUACCGGGAGGUUACCGGAACCCCCCNNNNNNNNNNNNNNNNNNNNNNNNNNNNNNNNNNNNNNNNNNNNNNNNNNNNNNNNNNNNNNNNNNNNNNNNNNNNNNNNNNNNNNNNNNNNNNNNNNNNNNNNNNNNNNNNNNNNNNNNNNNNNNNNNNNNNNNNNNNNNNNNNNNNNNNNNNNNNNNNNNNNNNNNNNNNNNNNNNNNNNNNNNNNNNNNNNNNNNNNNNNNNNNNNNNNNNNNNNNNNNNNNNNNNNNNNNNNNNNNNNNNNNNNNNNNNNNNNNNNNNNAAGGAGAAAGGGGCAGCCCAAGGUGGCCGCGCGCCUCCCCCCUUCCCCUAGUCCUAUUAGGACUAGGAGAGGUGGCCGGCCCCCCUUCUCUCUCUUUCCCCCUCGGGGAAUCCUAGUCCAACUAGGAUUGGGGGGGAGUCCUACUCCCGGAAGGAGAAGGACUCCUCCUGCGCCCUCCUCCUGGCCGGCGCCCCCUCCCCCUUGGCUCCUUUAUAUACUAAGGCAGAGGCACCCCAGAAACACAUAAGUUGAUCCACGUGAUCUAUUCCUUAGCCGUGUGCGGUGCCCCCAGCCACCAUAUUUCUCGAUAAUACUGUAGCGGAGUUUAGGCGAAGCCCUGCUGCUGUAGUGCAUCAAGAUCGUCACCACGCCGUUGUGCUGACGGAAUUCUUCCCCAACACUUUGCUGGAUCGGAGUCUGGGGGUCGUCAUCGAGCUGAACGUGUGCUCGAACUCGGAGGUGCCGUAGUUUCGGUGCUUGAUCGGUUGGAUCGCGAAGACGUACGACUACUUCCUCUACGUUGUGUCAACGCUUCCGCAGUCGGUCUGCGUGGGUACGUAGACAGCACUCUCCCCUCUCAUUGCUAUGCAUCACCAUGAUCUUGCGUGUGCGUAGGAAAUUUUUUGAAAUUACUACGAAACCCAACAGCCACGAGGCAGGACGGCGCACCUAGGGGGUAGGCCCGCCCUCCACACUCGUGGGCCCCUUGCAGCUCCACUGACGUACUUCUUCCUCCUAUAUAUACCCAUAUACCGCGAAAACAUCCAGGAGCACCACGAAACCCUAUUUCCAUCGCCACAACCUUCUGUACCCGUGAGAUCCCAUCUUGGGGCCUUUUUCGACGCUCCGCCGGAGGGGGAAUUGAUCAUGGAGGGCUUCUACAUCAACACCAUAGCCUCUCCGAUGAUGUGUGAGUAGUUUACCACAGACCUUCGGGUCCAUAGUUAUUAGCUAGAUGGCUUCUUCUCUCUCUUUGGAUCUCAAUACAAAGUUCUCCUCGAUUCUCUUGGAGAUCUAUUCGAUGUAAUUUCUUUUUGCGGUGUGUUUGUCGAUAUCCGAUGAAUUGUGGGUUUAAUCAAGAUUAUCUAUGAACAAUAUUUGAUUCUUCUCUGAAUUCUUUUAUGCAUGAUUUAAAUAUCUUUGCAAGUCUCUUCGAAUUAUCAAUUUGGUUUGGCCUACUAGAUUGAUCUUUCUUGCAAUGGGAGAAGUGCUUAGCUUUGGGUUCAAUCUUGCGGUGUCCUUUCCCAGUGACAGCAGGGGCAGCAAGGCACGUAUUGUAUUAUUGACAUCGAGGAUAAAAAGAUGGGGUUUAUAUCAUAUUGCUUCAGUUUAUUCCUCUACAUCAUGUCGUCUUGCCUAAUGUGUUACUCUGUUCUUAUGAACUUAAUACUCUAGAUGCAUGCUGGAUAGCGGUCGAUGUGUGGAGUAGUAGUAGUAGAUGCAGAAUCGUUUAGGUCUACUUGUCGCGGACGUGAUGCCUAUAUACAUGAUCAUGCCUAGAUAUUCUCAUAAUUAUUCGAUUUUCUAUCAAUUGCUCGACAGUAAUUUGUUCACCCACCGUAGAAUUUGCUAUCUUGAGAGAAGCCACUAGUGAAACCUAUGGCCCCCGGGUCUAUCUUCCAUCAUAUCUAUUUUCUAUUUCUAUCAUAGUUUAUUUUUGCAAUCUUUACUUUCCAAUCUAUACCAUAAAAAAUACCAAAAAUAUUUAUCUUAUUAUCUCUACAGAUCUCACUUUGUAAGUGACCGUGAAGGGAUUGACAACCCCUUUAUCGCGUUCGUUGCAAGGUUCUUGUUUGUUUGUGCAGGUACUAGGCAAAUUUCGUGUUACCUCCUACAGGAUUGAUACCUUGAUUCUCAAAAACUGAGGGGGAAAUACUUACGCUAUUGUGCUGCAUCACCCUUUCCUCUUCAAGGGAAAACCAACGCUUGCUCAAGAGUUAGCAGAUGCCAAUUCAAAUAAUCAUCAAAAUAAUUCUCCUACACGCGUUAUUCAGAUGGAGAAGAAGCGGUUGGCGUGGACAUUUCGUUUCUUAUCGAUGUCCAAGAGAAAAGCUACUAGGAAGUUCGUCCGCGCGGUGGAUUAUAAGUUUAAGUCUGUUACAUGAUACGUCCAUUUUGUAUCAUGUUUUCUUACUAUUAUUUAUAAUGUUUUAUCCAUAAUAAUGCUUUUUGGAGUAAUUCUAAUGUCUUUUCUCUCAUAAUUUGCAGUGUACACACAAAGAGGGAGAAUUUCGGCAGCUGGAAAUCUUGACCUGGGAAAGCUACAUCAGGCUACCUAUUCUGCACAACUCCAAACAAGCUGAAACUUGACAAUGAUUUUUUAUGGAAUAUAUAAGAAAUACUGGAGGAAAUAACUACCAUAGGGGGCCCAUCAGGUGGGCACAACCCACCUGGGCACGCUAGGGAGCCCAGGCAUGCCCUGGUGGGUUGUGCUCACCCAGGCCCACCUCUGGUGCCCAUCUUCUGGUAUAUAAGUCAUUUUAACCUAGAAAAAAUAAGGAUAAGGCUUUUGGGACGGAGCGCUGCCGUCUCGAGGCGGAACUUGGGCAGGAGCACUUUUGCCCUCCGGCGGAGCGAUUCCGCCNNNNNNNNNNNNNNNNNNNNNNNNNNNNNNNNNNNNNNNNNNNNNNNNNNNNNNNNNNNNNNNNNNNNNNNNNNNNNNNNNNNNNNNNNNNNNNNNNNNNNNNNNNNNNNNNNNNNNNNNNNNNNNNNNNNNNNNNNNNNNNNCAUCGUCCUCAUCAUCACCAACAACUCUCCCAUCUUGGGGAGGGUUAUCUCCAUCAACAUCUUCAACAACACCAUCUCAUCUCAAACCCUAGUUCAUCUCUUGUGUUCAAUCUUGUUACCGGAACUAUAGAUUGGUGCUUGUGGGUGACUGGUAGUGUUGAUUACAUCUUGUAGUUGAUUACUAUAUGGUUUAUUUGGUGGAAGAUUAUAUGUUCAGAUCCAUUAUGCUAUUUAAUACUCCUCUGAGCAUGAGCAUGUUUAUCAUUUGUGAGUAGUUACUUUCGUUCUUGAGGUUACGGGAGAAAUCAUGUUCCAAGUAAUCCUGUGAACUUCAUAUGUGUUCGAUAUUUUGAUAUUAUGUAUGUUGUGAUUCCCUUAGUGGUGCCAUAUUUGAACGUCGACUACAUGACACUUCACCAUAUUUGGGCCUAAGCGAAUGCAUUGUGGAGUAGCAAUUAGAUGAUGGGUUGCUAGAGUGACAGAAACUUAAAUCCCAGUUUAUGCGCUAUUCCGUAAGGGACCGAUUGGAUCCAAAAGUUUAAUGCUAUGGCUAGAAUUUAUUCAUAAUACUUUUCUCAUAGUUGCGGAUGCUUGCGGGAGGGUUAAUCAUAAGUAGGAGGUUUGUUCAAGUAAGAACAUCACCUAAGCACCGGUCCACCCACAUAUCAAAUUAUCAAAGUAGCGAACACAAAUCGAACCAACAUGACAAAAGUGACUAGAUGAAAAUCCCGUGUAGCCUCAAGAACGCUUUGCUUAUCAUAAGAGACCGUUUUGGCCUGUCCUUUUGCCUCAAAAGGAUUGGGAUACCUUGCUGCACUUUUGUCACUACUAUUGUUACUUGUUACAAAUUAUCUUGCUAUCAAACUACUUUGCUACUUACAAUUUCAGCACUUGCAAACAUUACCUUACUGAAAACUACUUGUCAUUUCCUUCUGCUCCUUGUUGGGUUUGACACUCUUACUUAUCGAAAAGAGCUAUAAUUGAUCCCCUAUACUUGUGGGUCAUCAUUACAACAUCCAAUCAUCCAUAUAAUCUCUGUGUUUCUUCUGUUUUCUACCAGUCAUAUUUCAUAUGUGCAUCAGAGGAAAAAUGCUUUCAGCGGGCAUGUUGGAGUGCACAUACCAAGUUCCCAGAUUGCAAAUAUGAUCCUGGGCUCCUAGCCAUUAAUAUGUUUAAUUCCACAUUUUCUUCAUCUAAUUUCUAAAUGACUAGACAACCUGUUAUACUCUUAUAGAAUUAUGAGCCGCCCAAACCAUGUUUCUCUUGGUCUAAUUUCUAAAUGAUAAUGUGCAACAUCUAUCUCCUUGUGAACCUUUUUUUUCUUCCGACUGUAUCCCCUGGUGAACCUAUCUUACGAUAAGAUUUUUUAGGGCAUUUUUUGAUGAUUUUUUCCUAUAGCCCUUAAAUAAAAUCAAAUAAAAUCAAGUGCAACUCACAGUAAGUUUUCUGCUCCUAGCUAGUUGUAAAGAACAAGUUCAAUUCAGUCUGAUUUAGUUCUUGACAUGACCGUGCUGCCAGCAACUCCUUUUCUCUAGCUAGCACAAUAAUUGUACUUGUUUGAUGUAAAGGACAUAAAUACAAAGAAAUAAAUUGGAAGCUUAUUUCAAAUUAACUAGCUAGUGGUGUUUGUGAAGUUCAAGAAAAAUCUAGUCUUUUUCUCGACAAAUAAGUUGACAUGCAAGGAAUCAAUGAAUGUAUUUGCAAGAAAGCAAACAUAAUUAUCGAUAAAAUUGGUUGUGAUUGUCACUAUAGACAAUGGUAGUAGCUAAUUGGAACUAGAUACAAACCAAUAAAAAACAAGAUCUCAAAUCUCCAACCAAUAAAGAGUUCAACCCAAAUUUUACAAUUACACUAUUAUAUUUAAAUAGUGAUUAUUGUAAUACAUGGCUAAUUAAUUAAUGCACUAGGUUGCGCUUGUGACCAGGCAAGACAAACUUAUGAACUUGCAUGCAUGGCAAUCAGAUCGACAUCCACACAAUGCCGAUAUGAACAUUUUCUUAAUACACCUUUAUUUGUAUUUUAUUUCAGAAUUUAAACAACUAGUUUGAGCGGGUCACACAUGACGUUGUGUGACACUUUAUUUGUCACCGCUACAUUGACAUAUCCAUCGACUAAACAACGGUGAUCCAACUAUAUAUUACUAGAGAUCUUUUCUUAUCAGUAGACACCAACUCCGAUGCCAACGCCUAAUGGCACACUAGUGGUGGUUUCGUACAACGGCACAUUGACACUGCACAUUGUUGGCAGGGUACGGAGUGCAAUGGAAGUCAUCACCUCAAGCUGAGCUAUCUGGUGUGGCUGCAAAAAGGUACCAUGUGCCAAUUGUUGUUGUUGAGGUUGUUGCCCGAGUUGCUGCUGCAACUGCUGUUGGGGUUGGGAGACACAUUGGCCCAACUGUUGGGGUUGUUGUUGCUGAUAUUGGAUGAUACUCUGACCC